UUCUCUCCAGGUUCUUUUGGAGGUCUGCCUCUCUUUUUAGGUUGAAUAUCACCUGUUGUUUUGGGCACAGGUUGAAUAUCACCUGAUGUACUUCUAUCCUUUCGAGGCCUGCCCCUUUUCUUAGGUUGAUCACUAGGUUUCAGACAUACUAGAGCAUUUUCUCCUGCUGAUGCUGACGCCUGAAGCCACCCUGGUAGUGGUGGGUUGUUUGACUGUUGGCCAUGUACCGCUCUGACCACCAUCUGAUUGCUAGCAACAUAAGUUCUGUAGUCGGGAGCAAGAUUCUGAUGUCUGAAUUUGUCCAUCACAAGUGUGUUGAGUGGAAUGGUUAUGUCCAACGGUAGCAGGAUCUCCUCCAGUUCGUGCCACUCAAGAUCUUCCUGGUCUCCGUCUUCAUAGACAACGGUGUACCAAUUGUUUACACUGUCAUACCAGACAACGUUCCCUGCAUAGUACUUGUCUCCAAACCACUUCCUCACUUUCCGCUCUACUAGCCAUUCACCAAAGCGGUGAUCAACUCGAGACCGCGGAGCAUCUCUUACUGCAAGUUGUGAACCAGAUGCGAAAUCAGGAGGAAAGUUUGGGACACCAUUGAUAACGAUGGCAGGCUCUCUGGGUACUUGAACAACAGGUGCAGCGUCUGACUCUUGCAUGUCCUUCCUCCCCUCCAUGACCUGAUAUUGCAUCACUUCCUUGGAUUUAGCUAGAAACAUCCUGGAGGAGAAAGAAAAUGGUGUCAUCCACAAAAUGGGUCAUUGUAAGCAAGAAAACUCAAAGAACAAGCAAGCAUAAAUCAAACAGUUUCACAGAUACAAUGCAGUAUUUUGAUGAGUCAGGCAUGUCAAAAAAUAAGAGAUAGCAACCAACGCUUGUACUCCCUCUGUCUCAGUGUCAAAAAACAUCUUAUAUUUUGAGACUGAGGGAGUAAUUUAGGAAGCACUGCACAUCACAUUCGCAUCAGUACUGAUACUUGUGUCUCUACUUUCAUUUAGGGAACACUUGGAUAUUAACCAGUUACAGAUGCAUUUCUGUACUUCACGUAUGCGCCAGACUGCUGUAUUAGUGCGAUGUGUACAAUGUACUAGUGUAUCAAACGACAAAAACUCCAAUAAGCACUAUCUACAAACAACAGAGCAAUGCACACUAUCUCCACAAAUAUCAGCUGCCAAGUAAAAUGCCCACUGUGUACACAUGCUUCAAUUGAAAAAUUGACAAAUUUCCGAGAACAGCAGCCACUAGCAUCAGCACAACCACCAAUCCAUAACACAAGCAGCAGCACAACACCAGUAGCUUAAGCGGCAGCAGCUAGCGCACGCACGAGAGUGGAAGAGGAGCUCACUGUCCGGCGACGAGGCAGAUGCAGAUCCGCGGCGGCCGGCGUCGGAGAGGAGGCACAGUCGGGUCGUUGUCGAGGAGGGGGCGUCUAGGAGGGCGGUGGCGAGGAGGGCAUCGUCGAGGAAGAUGGAGGGCGUCGGCGUCCCGCCUGGAUGCUCUGCACCACGGGGGAGGUGGCGCGGCGUCCGGCGGAGGAUGCGUGCACUACGGAGGAAGCGAGGGGGCCGCGACGGCGGGAUCCGGGGGAGCGGCGACCGGCAACCGGCGGCUUGUGGCGGCGCUGGUGGGAUUUGGGAACCGCUAGCACGCGCAAGCAAGAGGGAAAUGAGUUUUUUUUUCUUGAAGAAGAAAGGAGUCGGAUGGGGAAAUGGGGAUGGGUUUAUUUAUUUUUCGCCAAUACGCAAUCAUUGCAUUGAUACAUGAAAACACAUGACACGGACGCAAGGGGCGUGAACAAUGAAGAACACGGCUAAACUCGUCAACUGAAGAAGCAAUCCAAUCAACAACUAGACGACCAAAACUCCGAAACCAGCACUGAGGAUGCCACGAGCAACCAAGACAACGCCUUCAUGAAGAAGAAUAGUGACACCUAGACACCAUCGUCAUCUGAUCCGAAAACCCGGACCUGGAGUUUCCCCUAAUGCUCGAAGAGGGCACAUAAAACGGCCAUGGCAGCGCCUUCAAGAAGGAGACGACAGCCGCGGGUGUCACUGCUACUAGCAUAAGAUGUAGGGUUUAGCCCUGGACAAUUCCAAGUUGGUGGAACAUUGUCGAAGAGGUGGUCGUCGGGCACAUGCCGGAGCUGCGACUGCGGGAAGGGGAACCACGCACGACGCUGAAGGAGGCACCGGGCAUCGCCGGACGUGAGAACUCCGAAGGAGGGGGAGGAUGUGUGGCUGCGCGGAAUGAGAGGCGGCGGGGAUGGGACGGUGACCGUAGCCCCGGAUAAGCCAAGAUCUGGAAGGAGGCACAGGUCCGGGCCACGGGGACCAGGGCAGCAUGAGUGCCGAUGGGCUAAAGGAGAUGGAAGGGGACACAACUCCGGAACGUGCCAGAGACGUAGAUGCACCGGGAUGGACGGCCAACCAAGGCACCCGCUGGGUGGUGGUGGUGCAGAGAGGUCGAGGAGCCAACGAGCCAAAAGAGCCAUCGAGCCGAAAAGAGCGCAUCUCCCGAGGCUCGUCCAAUCCGAAGCCGCACCGGCCGACCGUGAACGCAUGAAAUGGAUACAGGUCCAUGCCCAUCGGGCUGAAGACGCCCCUGGGAGGGGAUGGUGGUGGUGGUGGUGGUCGUCGAAGUGGUCUCGCACGCAGCCAAACUCCCAACCGGUCCAAAAGGCAACCACCGACGGGAACAACCGCAUCCAACAGCCUCCAUGGACGCCUCGCGAAGAGGCAGCCCUGAAGCUCAAGUAAAGGGUGGGUGGGGGACGGGAGGGGGUGGAGCCGCAGCUAGCAGGGCUCAACCGGCCACCAUGGCUGGCCGGACGGAGCAUUGCAAUCAGCUGGAAAAGGGCGUCCAAAUCGCAUCCGGGGCGGACAGUUAGCCACCACAGGGGAAGUUCGGCCGAGGCAGGCCACCCACUCCGCCAGGAAGCCGGGGGAGGCAGCCUCUGCCGCUGCCAAACCAGAUCUGGGGGGGGGGGGGGGAAGGAAAGACAGCCCCGCCGCGCCAUCCCAAGGCCGCCGUGGUUUCAUCGGCCAGCCCUCCGGCAGCAGCAACGCGGGGCAGGUGGAGGAUGGGUGCCGGCCGCCGGCGUCUAGGGUUUCCCCUGAGUCGCCCGACUCGGGCGAUGCGGGGGUCAAGGGCGGGCAGGGUAUUUAUUUUGCCAUUUUCAUUAAUAAUCAAUAAAUAAACAAGAAAUUAUUAGGUUAAUUAGCAGAAAAUUGGGCUAAAACCAACACGAUUCAACCCACACACAGUGCACAACAUCGACCAACUGGUCACCUGACGUGCAGAGUAGCAAAAAAAAAAAGCAACCAUCGAAGAGGCCGCAAGCACAUCAUCAUCAUUGUUUGCCCGUGAACAAACGAACCCAGUCGUAGUCUUCCUCAACAAACCACGCUGGUAAGAUACCCCUAAGCACCGGUUUUUCAGUCGUGGUCAGCUCCGAAACGAUGCCCCCAAAGGGGAAGAAAGACACGAAGACGCCUCCAUCACCCGAUCAAGAAUUUGAGGUUUACCUCGGGAGACAAGGCCGUAGGGAGAAGGAUGAGCACACCUCCAUGACAGAAGCUUUCAACAAAGAUUGCGACACUUGUGACCAUCAGGCACUUUCUGACGUGAAGAAUACCGAUGCUGUAAAUAAAUUGAUCAAGUGCCUGACAGGAAGCUCCAGCGUGAACGCUCCGAACAAAAUGGUUCUAAAUCGAAAUUAGAACAGAAAAUGGUUUCGUGGUGUAGUUGGUUAUCACGUCAGUCUAACACACUGAAGGUCUCCGGUUCGAACCCGGGCGAAGCCAUCGUUUUGUGGUGUGUCUUUUUUUCUUAACCUUUUCAUGUCAGCCGGGAGCUCCUUCAGUAGUGUUUUCUUGUAGUUUUAAUUAAUUCUCUGAACUCGCACUAGAAGGAUCACCGGCCGGCCUGUUCUUUUCCUUCCCCCUUUUUUCAUCUUCUUUUUCAACCAACCCUUCUUUCAUCUUCUUUUUCAACCAAAACUGUAUGUCAUGCUGUUCUGUUUUCCUUGUCAGGUAAAUAUGGAUGGGUUGACAAGGAAUCGUUCAGAGACGAGAGACACCAACCGGGUACAGAGCAAGUAGAUCUCCAUGUCCACCUGUACCACGCAGAUUGCUUUGCUCCUCCUCCCUUUCCUCGUGGCGAUUAGCCUCCUCUGCUCGCUCCGACACGGCCUACCUUGCAGCAUCUAUGAAUGAAGAAGCCGACGACGGUCAGCGGUGACUGUCGUAAAGACACAAAACCGCUCCGUGAAACUUGCUACUGUAUUUGUGGUCGUCGUAGAAGACAUAACUGCUUCUGAGCGCACGACACAAUGGUUUACAUGUGCUAGAUGAUACCUUGCGAACUCAAAACGCAGCUCGUGCUCAAAGUUGAACCGGCCAAACAGAAGCGCGGAUCCAAUGUCGAAUUCCGAAAAUUACAACCAGGCUAGACAUGGGUAGAAAUUCUGUUUGCAAAUACAGAAUGACUCCGUGUCUCGGUAGAUUCAUUCGUCAAACAAGUUGAUGGCGGCUAGACCGCAAAAUGCUAGAUGCCUAUCAUGGCCGUUGGGGAGCGGUGGCACGCCAGGGCAGCACACCGUGCCUUACUUGAUCUUUGGUGUCUGCUACGCUUUGGCAUCCUGAUGUCUCCUAUUCUGAAGUUCUCUACAUUUCUACUAGUAAGUAGCACAUGCUUUGCAUGCUUAGAAUCGGUCUCAUCUCAAAUUUAAAUUUCGGCAAAUUUCAAAACUUUAGUGUUGAUUAUCACAAUGUUGCAAAAUUAUAUAAUUUCCAAUAUAGUAAGCAAUAUAUUUCCAUAAAAAGUUUAUAUCCAUAUGUUAUCCAUAAAAAAGCUCCCUAUAAUCACGCCAUGAAAUCUUCCAACCACCUUUAUCUGUUGGCUACUUCUCACGCCAUUCCCUGGAUCCAUAUCUUGCACUAAAAAAUCGCUUCCAUUCCUCCAUUAAAAACACUCAAAAGACACAACCUCCCUGUCAACGCUAUUAUCGCGCGCGCUGCCGGCCCUCACGGUCUGGAUGCCAGUGCGUAUGCCAUGAGAUGUACGGUUGGCCCGGCCAGCUACGCACACGGAUGGACUGGGCAGCGGCAGUAAGUAGGUGAACUUUUCCUGCAUGGCCGCAUGGUAAUCUGUCGAUGGUUCUGGAAUACAACAGUAUCUUCGCUGGCACUGUAGCGUGUACUGUAGAUGCGAAUCCCAGCAUUUUUAACCAUUGGAUGGACUUUAUCAACGGCUAAGGUUGAUUCCUGGCCAUCAAGUUUAAAAGUUUGCAACUGGUACACUAUAUAGUACUCCCUCCGUUCCGAAUUACUUGUCUUGAAUUUGUCUAGAUACGGAUGUAUCUAGCAAGAUACAUCCGUAUCUAGACAAAUCCAAGACAAGUAAUUCAGAACGGAGGGAGUAGUAUAGAAAUGCGCAUACAUAUGCAUGUACGUUGCUACUACUUGCUAGCUAGCCUGCACUACCUUCGUCCAUUUCACUAGCUUGUUUUCUGCCAACAAGUCACAAGUUUUUAUAGGAGACAAGACUAGUGAAACACUUGAAACAAAGAGCGAGCUUUCUCCAUCAAUCGCAAAGAUCCAAAAAUUGAUUAGCGUGUCCUAUGCAUUGUGGUUGGUCGAGAGCCUUUAUCUACAUGGAAACCGUUCUAGGACAUAUUAUUUUCUAGAAGAUAUUCACAAAUAAAUUAUUGUCCACAUAGAGGCCAUUUCAUUCAUAUGUGAUGCUUUUGCGCAAUCCUUAGCGAUCAUUUUAAAAUUUGGUGAGCCAGCUCAACUCAUUAUUUUCCAUGUUCAUACUGUAGUAAAUUAAAUAACUAGCACUAUUCCCAAAGAAGAACUAACUAGAACUCGGAUAUGGAUGGAAAGCAAUGUAUGGUACAUGUAUAUGCCAUCAUGGGUAGAUAGGUGAUCAAAUAAAUGAUCAUAUGUUUGUCUCCUUGCUAAAAAAAGACUACGAAUUAAUUCAAACAUUAGUUGGGUAUGUUCUAAUUUUUGGGACAUUAGACAAUAAAAAAAGCUAAUCAUUGUAGGCAUAAAAUUCCCAUCUACUUGUCUUAUUAAGAAUUUUGGCAUAUUGAACCACCUGCGUGUUCGUAUUGACAAAAAGGACCACCCCUGAACGUAAUUGACAAAACUACCUGGCAUUAGGCCCGACAGCCAAUGCAUGGCACCUGUCGCCACAACUGGAGGUGGUAGGGCCUGCCGCCAUAGCAUGUGGCAGCAAGUUGAGCAGAACAGCUCCCAGCGUUAAUGGGGAACCGAAAACGGAAGAGAUGGGCCCUGCCGCCACAUGCUAUGGCGACACCCUAUGAUGUGGCGACAAUACUGUUGAGGUUGCUCGGGAUUGGACAGUGCAUUGCAGUCUUGUUAGUUGUUGGAAGGAUUGGCGUCGCCUUUUCUGUCGAAAAUGCUCCAGCCAACGACAUGGAUUGGUUCCCAUGUGAUGCUGAUUCCCAUGCAUGUUGAAUCUCUCUUCAUCAUUCCCGCUCAAUUUUUCUACCAUCGCACUCAUAAUCUAAGCCUAUAAAAUUAGCCAUCGAACCGCUCUUCACCCUUCAUCGAGAAACUGUCCUUACCCAUUUCUUUGUUCAUGUUUGGUGAUCCUUCCUGUCGUUUUACUCCAACGAUGUCUCAUUAGCUUUUGUCAGGUGCGGCAAGAAUGCCGAGUGUUAGUAGGGGAGGUGUGCAUUUUGAAGAACUAGAUAACCCCGCACGUUGUUACGGAAUUUUUCAGCAAUGAACUUACUAAAAAUAAAAUUACAAUAUAUGAGAGUAUUACCGCACCACAUUCAGCCUAGGAGUAAAUGAAAGGCCGAUGCAUGAAUUCACGUUCAAUUAUUUAUUUUCCCGCAAAAAAUAUUCAAUUAUUUAUUAUUGAAAAAAUCAAUCAUGUGAACCAUUUUCAUGUGCUUGAUGAUGUGGAGGGCUUGCAUGUGGUGGAAAUGGAAACAAAUGAAAAGUUGAAUGAUUGCAUGGCGCUUUAUGAUGUGGAGGGGGUGUGUGUGGUGGAAAGUAGAAAGUUAAAGGUUUAUUGGUUGCAUGCACUUGAUGAUAUAGAUGACUUUCAUGUGCAUUUAAUGGGAGAUGGUAUAUGUGGGACUUAGUAGUGUUUUACCUACAUAGACAUGCUGCUAGCUUGAUCUAUUAUAUUGAUAUUGAAGGAAGUAAAAACUGAGAUGUUAAAACAAAACUAGGUCUUGAUUUUGCCAUGGUCUUAUUACAUGGCCAUUUUUCUGUGACCAUGCAUGUUUUUUAAAAUGUUAGAGAUCAUUUCUAAUUACAUGCCCAAUUUUAGGUAUUUUUUGGUUUUUUCUCAUAUUUUUAGAGAAUAUAACUUAAUGCAUAGUUAACAUUGUGUAAUAUGGAUCGCACGCUGCUAGAUCUAGACUUAGUAGCGUUUCACUUCCUGUCACACGCUACUAACUAGAUUUUUAUACAUAUUGUCUCACUAUUAGUAUAUCAUAUUGAAAUUAUUUCUAUCUACAGGAUCGAUAUAUAACAUACAUAUAUGAAGAAGUACUGCUUUAAUAUCUGGAGUACAUGCAUAAUACAUAUUAAUUCGGAAAGAACUAGUUUUUGGUAGGUUCAAGAACUAAAAGCAAUACAUAACUGGCCAUUGCUACUCUCGAUAAUGCCUAAGCGGAAAACAUCACCAGUGCAAUGGAUGCCACCAGAAGAAAUCUUGCAACUGAUCCAGCAGGGAGUACGAAACAAAUCAUCACAACAAUGAGGAGUGCAUAUCGAAGCUUCUUAAAGUUUUCUAUCUUGGCUUGGAUCUUGUUUUUUUGGGUGUGCAUAACAUUCAUUUGUAUUCGUUGCUGAUCCAUCUUUACUUGCUUCUCAUGUGCGUCCGUCAAAGAAUCAUCCAACCGGAUCCACCAGACGGCGUGCUGUUGUGACGCGAUGAUACGCCCGACACAUCCAACAACAAUGGAGAGCUCAUGGUGGGCACCCCAUGUUGAGAGAAGAAAAGUACGAGGGGAAGAUCAAGGAAAAAUAGAUCUAUUAAUGAAAAUGUGGGGGUGGGUUAGAUGUAGUAGUGAUGUAUGUAGAUUUGGGGGAGAAAGAAGUAAAGAAAGAAAGGGGUGAAUAUCAGAAUGAAGGGGGGUGAGGGAAGAAGAGAGAGUGGAAGGACGGAAGAAUGGGUGGUCCAGCGUGUAGGGCAAGCGAACACUAUUAGUUUGUACUCCCUCCGUCCCAAAAUUCUUGUCUUACAUUUAUCUAGAUACGGAUGUACCUAAUACUAAAACGUGACUUGAUACAUCCGUAUUUGGACAAAUUCAAGACAAGAAUUUUGGGACGGAGGGAGUACCAAUUAGCAGCGUUCAGGCCAAGUAAACGCCGCUAAUUUAUAAGGCCCACAUGUAUGUCAGUGCUCAGUCUGUCAGACAUCCAAGUAGCAGCGUUUCGUAAAACAGCACACACUGCUACAAAGAGUGACACUGGCAGCCUGCACGUUUCUACUCCCUCCGUUCCGAAUUACUUGUCUUAGAUUUAUUUAGAUACAGAUGUAUCUAACACUAAAAUGAGUCUAGAUACAUCUGUAUCUAGACAAAUUCAAGACAAGUAAUUUGGAACGGAGGGAGUAGUAAUUUGUGGCACAACGGCUAGUUUCAGGCACCAAUCUUGCAGCGUUCUAUUUUUCCGAAUAUCGCUACUGUCUUCAUGUUUGCAGAUAGUUAGUGAAGUUAGUGAAGUUAGUUGUUCCGUCCUAUAAUGGUGGACGAAAUGUGAAUCGGAGACUUAAUCCUGAUAUACCUCAGAAUGAUACAUAUGCAUGUACAAAAUACCAAAUGCCUAUCAUGGCUGUUGGGGAGCGGUGGCACGCCACAGCAGCACACCGCGCCUUACUGGAUCUUCCGUUUGAGCUACGCUUUGGCAUCCUGAUAUCUCCUAUUCUCAAGUUCACUACAUUUCUAAAUGUGCAUAUAAGUUGCUACUUCCUUCAUCCGGAAAUACUUAUCAUCAAACUAGAUAAAAGGGGAUGUAUCUAGAUGUAUUUUAGUUCUAGAUACAUCUCUUUUUAUUCAUUUUGAUGACAAGUAUUUCUGGACGGAGGGAGUACUUGCUAGCUAUCCUGCACUACCUUGGUCCAUUUCACUAGCUUGUUUUCUGCCAACAAGUCACAAGUUUUUAUAGGAGACAAGACUAGUGAAACACUUGAAACAAAGAGCGAGCUUUCUCCAUCAAUCGGAAAGAUCCAAAAAUUGAUUAGCAUGUCCUAUACAUUGUGGUUGGUUGAGAGGGAGUACAAGAUAUCCACAAAUAAAUGAUUAUCCACAUGGAGGCCUUCUCAUUCAUAUGUGAUGCUUUUGCGCAGUACUUUAGCGGUCAUUUUAAAAUGAAAAAAGUAUGUUUUUGGUCUCUCAAGUUCCCAAAAAAUAUAGACGUGGUCUCUUAAGAUUUUUUGGUAUACAUUCGGUCCCUCAAGUCUUAAAACCGGAUAAGUUAGGUCCUAAACCAGAUUUUGAGCCUGUUAACCGGCUUUGACCGCCACAAAACUGCCCGAUGAGCAGUAAAUUAAGAAAAACAAAUAACUUCAAAAAAAAACUGAAAUUUGUUUGGGGCCAAUAUGCUUACAUGCAAAAGAUGCGACCAAAAAUUCAUGGCCUUUUGACACACGAGGAGGUCGUGGCAAAAUAUAAAAUAUCUACAUCAGAUGAACAGUACAUUUGAAAAAAAUCAUGGUCUUUCGACGCACGAGGAGCUUGUGGCAAAAACUACAAAAACAUCUACGUCCAAUGAACAGUACAUUCAAAAAAAAAAUCAAAAAAAAAUCUGAAAUUUGUUGGGGGCAAUAUGCUUACGUGCACAAGGUGCGACCAAAAAUUCAUGGUCAUUCGACACACGAGAAUUUUGGUCGCACCUUGCCCAUGUAAGCAUAUUGGACCAAAAAAAAUCAGAAUUUUUUGAAUUUACUAUUCAUCAAACAAUUUUUUUUUGCCACGAGUACCUCGAGUGUCAAAAGACCACGAAAUUUCGGUCGCACCUUGCACAUGUAAGCAUAUUGGACCCCAAAAAAUUCAUGGUCAUUCGACACACGAUCACCAUGUGCAAACGAUCACCAUGUGCCCACCACCGUCACCAAGCUGGACUCAUUCCACCACAGCUCCUACUUCACGACAAACCAGCGAACCACUGAAGUACUCAUUGGACCCACCGAAAAGAGCCAACUACCAGAUGAGCUCGAGCUGCAUCGCAAACUCAUCUUGAUGCCAUUUAUCAUCGCCAAACAGAUGUCGACACCCCUAAUACAACUGCCUCAACAAACCACGUGGAUUAGACACCCCCAACGCCUGUUUCCCAAUCGUAAUCAGCUCCCGGACGAUGCCCCCCAAAGAUGCCUCCAUCACCCUAUUCAAGAAUCUAAGGUUUCCCUCCGGAGCCAAAGCCGUAGGAAGAAGGAUGAGCACACCUCCAUGACGACGCUUUCAAAAACGAUUGCGACAACUGUGACUAUUAGCCACACCUGAAGAAUGCUGAUACUCUAAAUAAACUGAUUUAGUGCCUGAUUGGUUUCCGUAGGGAAGCUCUCGCGUGAGCUGCGCGAACAAAUAGAAUCCAAAUCGAAAUUAAACCCAGAUGGUUGGUUAUCACGUCAGUCUAACACACUGAAGGUCUCCGGUUCAAACCCGGGCGAAGCCAGUUACUGUUUUUUUUUUCAUACUUUCUUUUGGGUGUGUUCUUUUCUGAACUCUUUCAUGUCAGCCGAAGCUCCCCGACUAGUGUUUUCCGGUUGUUUACUUCUCUGAACUCGUACCUCAAGGAUCACUGUUAUUUUCCCUCCCCUGCUUUCAUUUGGUCACCGGUGUAUGUAUCGUACCAUCUUCUUAGAGCAACUCAACGCAGUUUGGAAACAGUCUUUUCCUGUCAGGUAAGUAGGGAAGGGUUGAGAAGGAACCAUUCAGCCUUCCCGUCUUAUCCCAUUCCGUUGCUGAUAACUUCUGUUGCAGAUUCAGACACAUUUUGCGAGACCUAACUGAAGAAAAAAAAAUAUUCAGACACAUUUUGCAAAACCUAAUUGGAGACAAGUGUUCUCUCGUUCACAAGAACUCUCAAUAUAGGUGACUACAUUCGCUAAACACCUUGUCGUGGCCAAUUCAUACGUACAUGAGUGUGUUUCCCAUCGAGGAUCUCCAACACUCACGAAACAACUAGCUCAAGGAUCUUUCAAAAGAAUUUAUUCAGCCAGACAACCACAACUUGUAUGUAUAGGGAGAACUUCUAAGGCCAAAUCUAACCGAUCUCCUGUAAAAUAGCGGAUGAUCCGGCCGGGCAAUUUUUUUUAUUCCAGUAACUUUAGGUCCGACCGAACUCCUAAAUUUACCUGGGUAAAACCAAAUUUGCAUAAGUUCAACCUAGAUUCGAUUUAAACAACCGAAAUUGGACACAUUAAUCAUUCGCCCUUUCUUUUUUUUGCGGUGGAUCUGCCCUGUCUUAACAUUCCACCGGACAUGUGGAUUUAAACAACUCUUUCAAACAACCGAAAUUGGACACAUUAAUCUUGCUAACUCAAAACGCAGCUCCUCUUCAAAGUCAAACUGGCCAAAUAGAAGCGCAGAUCGAAUGCUGAAUUCUGAAAAUUACAGCCCGAGUAGACAUGGGUAGAAAUUUUGUACCCAAAUACAGGAUGACUCCGUGUCUCAGUAGAUCCAUUAGUCAAACACGUUGAUGGCGGCUAGAACACAAAAUACCAAAUGCCUAUCAUGGCCGUUGGGGAGCGGUGGCACACCAGAGCAGCACACCGUGCCUUACUUGAUCUUCGGUUUAUGCUACGCUUUGGCAUCCUGAUGUCUCCUAUUCUCAAGUUCACUACAUUUCUAAAUGUGCAUACAUAUGCAUGUACGUUGCUACUUGCUAGCUAGCCUGCCCUAUCUUCCUUCAUUUCUCUAGCUUGUUUCCGCUAACAAGGCACACGGUUUUAUAGGAGAGAAGACUAGUGAAACACUUGAAACAAAGAGCGAGCUUUCUUCAUCAAUGGCAAAGAUCCAAACAUUGAUUGGCAUGUCCUAUACACUGUGGUUGGUCGAGAACCUUUAUCUACACUGAAACCGUUCUAGGACAUAUUAUUUUCUACUAGAAGAUAUUCAUAAAUAAAUGAUUGUCCACAUAGAGGCCUUUUCAUUCAUAUGCGAUGCUUUUGCGCGGUCCUUCAGCGGUCAUUUUAAAAUUUUGGUGAGCCAGCUCAACUCAUUAUUUCCAUGUCCAUACUGUAAUAAAUUAAAUAAAUAGCACUAUUCCCAAAGAAGGACCAACUAGCACUCGGAUGGAAAGCAAUGUAUGAUACAUGUGCAUGUCAUCAUGGGUAAAUAGGUGAUCAAAUAAAGGAUCAUAUAUUUGUCUCCUUGCAAAAAAAAAUGACUAGUACGAGUUUAUUCAAACAUUAGUUGGGCAUGUUCUAACUUUUGGGACAUUAGACAAUAAAAAAUAGCUAAUCAUUGUCGGCAUAAAAUUCCCAUCUACUUGUUUUAUUAAGAAUUUUGGCAUAUUGGACAAUCUGUGCGACCGUAAUGACAAAAAAACACCCCUGAACAUAAUUGACAAAACUACUAUGGCAUUAGGCCCAAUUGCCGACACAUGGCACCUGCCGCCACAGCUGGAGGUGGCAGGGCCUGCCGCCAUAACCCGUGACAGCAUGUUGAGCUGAACGGCUCCCUAUGCUGUUGGGGAAUGGAAAACGGAAGAGGCGGCCCCCUAUCGUCACAAGUUGUGGUGGCACACUGUGACGUGGAGCCUACUGGCAUGCACCAUGGCGGCAAUACUGCCGCUGCUGCUGCUGCUCAGGACUGGACAAUGCGUUGAAGUCCUAUCGCUUGUUGGCAUGGUAAGAGUCGCCUUUUGUGUCAAACUGCUCCAGCCAACGACAAGGAUUGGUUCCCAUGCGACGAUGAUGCGCAUACGCAACGAAUCUCUCCAUCAUUCCCGCUUAUUUUUCCCGCCAUCGCACUCAUUAUCCGAGCCUAUAAAAUAAGCCAUCGAACCUCUAUUCAUCCUUCAUCGAGCAACCUUUCUUAGCCAUUUCUCCUUUCAUGUCUGGUGACCCUUCCUAUCGUUUUACUCCAACAAUGUCUCAUUUACUUUUGUCAGGUGCGGCAAGAAUGCAGCGUGUUAGUAGGGGAAAUGUGCGUUAUGAAGAGCUAGAUAAUACCCCGCAUAUUGCUGUAGAAUUUUUAGCACUUAUUAAAAAUAAAAUUAGAAUAUAUGUAAGUAUUACCGAACCACAUUCAGCCUAGAGGUAAAUGAAGUGCGGAUACGUACAUUCAAAUUCAAUUACUUUUAUUAAAAAUAAAAAUAAAAAUCAAUAAUGUGGAGCAUUUUCAUGUGCUUGAUGAUGUGGAGGGUUUGCAUGUGGUGGAAGGUGAAAAAUGGAAAGUUGAAUGGUUGCAUAGUGCUUGAUGAUGUAAGGGUGUGUGUGUGUGAAAGUGCAACUAAUCUCUGGGUGGUUUGGUAAUUAAUAAAAACAUAUACAUCAUUGAACUAAUGCCUAUUCAAAGAUCAUUUCAGUACACUUCAAUGUAGGCAUGGCAAGGACAUGUGAUUGUGAACCCUAAAAAUGCUAAGGACAUACAUUGGCAAAAGCUUCAAGACUCUAAAUUUCUAGUUAAGUGAUCAAAGAUCACACUAGGUCCACUGGAAAGCCAAUACUAUUAAAAGGGAAUGAGGUUUUAAUUAUGGGUCAUUUGCUCAAGUGCUUGAAGAUAUUGCUCCAAAACCCUCGAGCACUUUCUCAAUAUCCAAUAUGUCCAAAACCCUAAGUCCAAUCUCGGCCCCACCGAAACAUACACACCCGGACCGACCGAAAUACUCCAGACAGAGCCAUAAGUCAAACCCUAGAAACUCGGUACCACCAUGAUGACAAUUCGGUCCCACCGAAGUGCAUUGACCAAGUUCCUGUACCCAAUCGACUUCAUUUCAGAAUUACCAAGUUGAACCGAUCGGAAUUACAAAAACAUGCAAGUGCUUAGGUCAUCACAUAUCGGAGUCACCGAGUGGAUUCAUCCGGCCUUAAUGAAACGUCUAACAUUCGAAUCUUUUACACUGGUCGCCGCUGCCAACAUAAGAUGUAGGGUUUAGCCAUGGCCAUUUCCAAGCAAUUCCAAGCCGUCGCAACACUGUCGAAGAUGAGGUUGUUGGGCAUAGGCGGAGCUGUGACUGCGGGAAGGGAAGCCGCACACGAUGCUGAAGGAGGCACCGGGUCUCGCCGGACGUGCAAACUCUGGAGGAGGGCGAUGAUGUGUGGUUGCGUGGAAUGAGAGGCGGCAGGGAUGGGACGGUGAUUGUAGCCCUCGACAAACCAAGAUCUGGAAGGAAGCGCAGAUCCGGGCCAUAGGGACCCGCAGCAGGGGCGUCGAUGGGCUCAAGGAGCUGGAAGGGGACGUAGCUUCCGGAGCAUGCCGGAGACGUAGAUACACAGGGAUGGCCAACCAACCAAGGCAACUGUAGGGUGGUGGUGGUGCGAAGACGCCGAGGAGCCAACGAGCCAAAGGAGGCGGGAAGAGCAACUCCCGAGGCUCGUCUGGUCCGAAGCCGCAACGGCUGGCCAUGAAAGCAGGAAAUAGAUGCAGGUCCAUGGGUGCCAGGCCGAAGCUACCCCUGGGGGCAUGGUGCUGGUGGUGUCGUCGAACUGGUCUCACACAUAGCCAAACUCCCAACCAGUGCAAAGAGGCAGCCACCGAUGGGCACAACCACAUCCAACAGCCUCCAUGGCCACCUCCUGAAGAGGCGGACCUAAAGCUCGAGCAGAGGGGUGGCUGGGGGUCGGGAGGGGGUGGAGCCGCAACAAGCAGGGCUCAUCGGCCGCCAUGGCCGGUCGGCCGGAGCACUGCAAUCACCCAAAAAGGGCAUCCAAAUUGUGUCCAGUACGGACAAGAAGCCACCGCAGCGGAAGUUUGGCCGAGGCAGGUCACUCGCGCGCCAGCGAGCAGAAGAAGCCAGGGGAGGUCACGCCGCCGCCUAACCAAGUCUGGCAUGGGGGGGGGGAGGGAAGACAGCCCUGCCGCCAUCCCAGGGCCCGAGUGGCUUCGCCAGCCAUUGAUGUCUACUACACAACCUUCUUCUUGUAGACGUUGUUGGGCCUGCAAGUGCACAGGUUUGUAGGACAGUAGCAAAUUUCCCUCAAGUGGAUGACCUAAGGUUUAUCAAUCCGUAGGAGGCGUAGGAUGAAGAUGGUCUCUCUCAAACAACCCUGCAACCAAAUAACAAAGAGUCUCUUGUGUCCCCAACACAGCCGAUACAAUGGUAAAUUGUAUAGGUGCACUAGUUCGGCGAAGAGAUGGUGAUACAAGUGCAAAAUAGAUAGUAGGUAUAGGUUUUUGUAAUCUGAAAUAAUAAAAACAGCAAGGUAAUUAAUGAUAAAAGUGAGCGUAAACGGUAUUGCAAUGGUAGGAAACAAGGCCUAGGGUUCAUACUUUCACUAGUGCAAGUUCUCUCAACAAUAAUAACAUAGAUAGAUCAUAUAACAAUCCCUCAACAUGCAACAAAGAGUCACUCCAAAGCCACUAAUAACGGAGAACAAACGUAUAGAUUAUGGUAGGGUACGAAACCACCUCAAAGUUAUUCUUUCGGAUCGAUCUAUAAAAGAGUUCGUACUAGAAUAACACCUUAAGAUACAAAUCAACCAAAACCCUAAUGUCACCUAGAUACUCCAUUGUCACCUCAAGUAUCCGUGGGCAUGAUUAUACGAUAUGCAUCACACAAUCUCAGAUUCAUCCAACCAACAUAAAAGUACUUCAAAGAGUGCCCCAAAGUUUCUACCGGGGAGUCAAGAAAACGUGUGCCAACCCCUAUGCAUAGGCUCAUGGGCGGAACCCGCAAGUUGGUCACCAAAACAUACAUCAAGUGGCACGUGAUAUCCCAUUGUCACCACAGAUAAAUACGACAAGACAUACAUCAAGUGUUCUCAAAUCAAAGACUCAAUCCGAUAAGAUAGCUUCAAGAGGGAAACUCAAUUUAUUACAAGAGAGUAGAGAGGGGGAGAAACAUCAUAAGAUCCAACUAUAAUAGCAAAGCUCGCGAUACAUCAAGAUCGUGUGAAGUCGAGAACAGGAGAGAGAGAGAGAGAGACCAAACACAUAGCUACUGGUACAUACCCUCAGCCCCAAGGGUGAACUACUCCCUCCUCGUUAUGGAGAGCGCCGGGAUGAUGAAGAUGGCCACCGGUGAUGGAUUCCCCCUCCGGCAGGGUGCCGGAACGGGCUCCCGAGAGGUUUUUGGUGGCUACAGAGGCUUGCGGCGGCGGAACUCCCGAUCUAUCUUGAUUUCUGAUGUUUUUAGGGUACGUAGGCAUAUAUAGGCGAAAGAAGUCAGCUGGGAGGUGCUCGAGGGGCCCAUGAGACAGGGGGGCACGCCUAGUUGGGGGGGGGGCCCUCCUAUCUUGUGGAGUCCUCGAGGAUCUUCUGACGUGCACUCCAAGUCUCCAGGAUCAUAUUCUUCCAAAAAAUCACGUUGCCGAAGGUUUCAUUCCGUUUGGACUCCGUUUGAUAUUCCUUUUCUUCGAAAUACUGAAACAGGCAAUAAAACAGCAAUACGGGUUGGGCCUCCGGUUAGUAGGUUAGUCCCAAAAAUGAUAUAAAUCUGUAAAAUAAAGCCUAUAAACAUCCAAAAGGGGUAAUAUAAUAGCAUGGAACAAUAAAAAAUUAUAGAUACGUUGGAGACGUAUCAAGCAUCCCCAAGCUUAAUUCCUGCUCGUCCUCGAGUAGGUAAAUGAUAAAAAAGAAAUUUUUGAUGUGGAAUACUACCUAGCAUAAUUCAUAAUGUAAUCUUCUUUAUUGUGGCAUGAAUGUUCAGAUCCAAAUGAAUACAAAAUAAAAGUUCAUAUUGACAUAAGAAAUAGUAAUACUUCAAGCAUACUAAUCAAAGUAAUCAUGUCUUCUCAAAAUAACAUGGCCUAAGAAAGUUAUCCCUACAAAAUCAUAUAGUCUGGCUGUUGCUCUAUCUUCAUCACACAAAGUAUUUAAUCAUGCACAACCCCGAUGACAAGCCAAGCAAUUGUUUCAUACUUUAAUAAUCUCAAACUUUUUCAACUUUCACGCAAUACAUGAGCGUGAGCCAUGGACAUAGCACUAUAUGUGGAAUAGAAUGGUGGUUGUGGAGAAGACAAAAAGGAGAAGAUAGUCUCACAUCAACUAGGCGUAUCAACGGGCUAUGGAGAUGCCCAUUAAUAGAUAUCAAUGUGAGUGAGUAGGGAUUGCCAUGCAACAGAUGCACUAGAGUUAUAAAUAUAUGAAAGCUCAACAAAAGAAACUAAGUGGGUGUGCAUCCAACUCGCUUGCUCACGAAGACCUAGGGCAUUUUGAGGAAGCCCAUCAUUGGAAUAUACAAGCCAAGUUCUAUAAUGAAAAAUUCCCACUAGUAAAUGAAAGUGACAACAUAUGAGACUCUCUAUCAUGAAGAUCAUGGUGCUAUUUUGAAGCACAAGUGUGGAAAAAGAGAUAGUAGCAUUGUCCCUUCUCUCUUUUUCACUCAUUUUAUUUUUUUUCUUUCUUUUCUUCUUCUUUUUUUCUUUUUUUUUCUUUUUUCUUUUUUCUUUCUUUGGCUUUCUUUUUUUCUUUUUGUCCUUUCUCUUUUUUUCUUUCUUUUUUUUCUUUUUGUAAAGUCCGAAGUCUCAUCGACUUGUGGGGGAAUCAUAGUCUUCAUCAUCCUUUCCUCACUAGGACAAUGCUCUAAUAAUGAAGAUCAUCACACUUUUAUGGAUUUACAACUCAAGAAUUACAACUCAAAGCUAGAACAAGAUAUGACUCUAUAUGAAUGCCUCCGGCGGUGUACCGGGAUAUGCAAUGAAUCAAGAGCAACAUGUAUGAAAAUUAUGAAGGUGGCCUUGCCACAAAUACAAUGUCAACUACAUGAUCAUGCAAAAAGUAAUAUGACAAAAGUAAUGCGUGUCAUAUGAACGGAACGGUGGAAAGUUGCAUGGCAAUAUAUCUCGGAAUGGCUAUGGAAAUGCCAUAAUAGGUAGGUAUGGUGGCUGUUUUGAGGAAGGUAAAUGGUGGGUGUAUGGUACCGGCGAAAGUUGCGUGGUACAAGAGAGGCUAGCAAUGGUGGAAGGGUGAAAGAGUGCGUAUAAUCCAUGGACUCAACAUUAAUCAAAAGAACUCAUAUACUUGUUGCAAAAAUUUAGAAGUCAUCAAAAACCAAAGCACUACGUGCAUGCUCCUAGGGGGAUAGAUUGGUAGGAAAAGACCAUCGCUCAUCCCCAACCGCCACUCAUAAGGAAGACAAUCAAUAAAUAAAAUUGUGCUCCAACUUCAUCACAAAGCGGUUCACCAUACGUGCAUGCUACGGGAAUCACAAGCUUCAACACAAGCAUUCUUUAAAUUCAUAAUCACCCAACUAGCAUAACUAUAAUAUUACUACCUCCAUAUCUCAAAACAAUUAUCAAGCAUCAAAUUGAUCAUAGCAUCCAAUUCACUUUCUAUGAUAGUUUUUAUUAUGCCCAACUUGGAUGCCUACCAUUCUAGGACCAACUUUAUAACCAUAGGAAAUACCAUGCUGUUAUAAAAGACUCUCAAAAUAAUAUAAGUGAAGCAUGAGAAACUAGCAAUUUCUACAAAAUAUAACCACCGCCGUGCUCUAAAAGAUAUAAGUGAUGCAUUAGAGCAACCGACAAACUACUCCGAAAGAUAUAAGUGAAGAUAAAUGAGUAGUCGAAUAAUUGUGCAACUAUGUGAAGACUCUCUAACAUUAAGGAUUUUCAGAUCUUGGUAUCUUAUUCAAACAGCAAGAAAAACAAAAUAAAAUGACAUUGCAAGGAUAGCACAACUCAUGUGAAGAAGCAAAAACUUAGGCUCAACCGAUACUAACCGAUAGUUGUUGAAGAAGAAAGGUGGGAUGCCUACUGGGGCAUCCCCAAGCUUAGAUGCUUGAGACUUUUUGAAAUAUUAUCUUGGGGUGCCUUGGGCAUCCCCAAGCUUGAACUUUUGUGUCUCCUUAAUUCCUCUCAUAUCAUGGUUUCUCUUCUUUUUAUCAAAAGCUUCAUUCACAACAAACUCAAUAAGAACUCGUGAGAUAGGUUAGUAUAAACCAAUGCAAAACCUUAUCAUUUUCUAUUGUAACAAAUCACUAAAAUUAUUAUUCAACAUUGAAUACUAAAUGCCUCUCCAUAUUUAAUACUCCUAUCCUCAAAUAGAAUCAUUAAACGAGCAAACAUAUGCAAACAAUGCAAACAUAACAGCAAUCUGCCGAAACAGUACAGUCUGUAAAGAAUGCAAGAGUAUCAAUACAUCCCUAACUCCAAGAAUUAUGGAAUAAAAUUCACACUGUAUUAAAUUUAUCAGAGCUCAUUAUGCAAAAAGUUUCAGCAUUAUAUCAUGCUCUGACUUUUCUAGGGAAUUUUUGCAACAGCGGUAAACUUUCUGUUUUCAAACAGCAACAUCUAUACUAGCAAAAUAAGCAUGGCAAAGGCUAUCCUUGACUUUUUUGUUGAAACUAAAAAUGCAAAACAUUAUUAUAAAUAAAAUCAAGCAAAUACUAACAAAAGAAAAUGACGCUCCAAGCAAAACACAUAUCAUGUGGUGAAUAAAAAUAUAGCUCCAAGUAAAGUUACCGAUGACCGAAGACGAAAGAGGGGAUGCCUUCCGGGGCAUCCCCAAGCUUAGGCUCUUGGUUGUCCUUGAAUAUUACCUUGGGGUGCCUUGGGCAUCCCCAAUCUUAGGCUCUUGCCACUUUUUACUCCAUAGUCCAUCGAAUCCUUACCCAAAACUUGAAAACUCCACAACACAAAACUCAACAGAAAACUCGUAAGCUCCGUUAGUAUAAGAAAAUAAAACCACCACUUAGGUGCUAUAAUGAACUCAUUCUAAAUUCAUAUUGGUGUAAUAUCUAAUGUACUCCAACUUAUCUAUAGUUCAUACAACUUAAUACUAGCCAUAGAUUCAUCAAAAUAAGCAAACAACACAUAGAAAACAGAAUCUGUCAAAAACAGAAAAGUCUGUAGUAAUCUGUAAUAAACGUAUACUUCUGAACUCCAAAAAUCCUACCAAAUUAGGAAGUCCUAAGCAAUUUGUGUACCAAUCCAGAGCAAAAAGAAUCAGAUCAAGAGCACGUCAAAACUAAUUUACUGGGUGCAAAAGUUUCUGAUUUUCAGCAGGAUCAACACAACUAUCACCGUAAGCUAUCCUAAAGGUCUUACUUGGCACUUUAUUGAAAUAAAAGCUAUAAAACAUGAUUACUACAGUAUCAUAAUCAUGUGAACACACAAAAACAGUAAGGAUAAAUAUUGGGUUGUCUCCCAACAAGCACUUUUCUUUAAUGCCUUCUAGCUAGGCAUGAUGAUGGCAAUGAUGCUCACAUAAAAGAUAAGAAUUGAAACAUAACGGGAGCAUCAUGAAGCAUAUGACUAGGACAUUUAAGCCUAACCCACUUCCUAUGCAUAGGGAUUUUGUGAUAAAACAACUUAUGGGAACAAUAAUCAACUAGCAUGGGAAGGUAAAACAAGCAUGGCUUCAAGAUUUUGAGCACAUAGGGAGGAAACUUGAUAUUAUUGCAAUUCCUACAAGCAUAUGUUCCUCCCUCAUAAUAAUUUUAAGUAGCAUCAUGAAUGAAUUCAACAAUAUAACCAGCACCUAAAGCAUUCUUUUCAUGAUCUACAAGCAUAGAAAAUUUACUACUCUCCACAUAAGCAAAAUUCUUCCCAUUCGGAAUAGUGGGAGUAUCAUAAGAGACUUGAACACUAAAAAUUGUUUCCACAUUAAAAGAGUAAUGUUCAGAAAAAGGGUAAUCAUAAUCAUGACAAGUUUUGUAAAUAUAAUCAUCACUACUUUUUAUAGCAUAAGUUUCAUCACAAUAAUCAUCAUAAGUAGCAACUUCGUUCUCAUCAUAAUCGAUUGAAACCUCUCCCAAGAUAGUGGAAUCACUAAAUAAAGUUGACACUCUUCCAAAUCCACUUUCAUAUUCAUCAUAAUAAAAUUCAACAUCCUCCAAAAUAGUGGGAUCACUACUUCCUAAAGUUGACACUCUUCCGAACCCACUUUCAUCAGUAUAAUCAUCAUAAGUAGGAGGCAUGCUAUCAUCAUAACAACUUUGCAUAUCAAAAUUUGGGAUGCUAAAAAUAUCAUCUUCAUUAAACAUAGCAUCCCCAAGCUUGGGACAAAUAAAUUCUCAAAUAUUUCAUCCUCAUCAAACAUAGCUUCCCCAAGCUUGGGCUCUUUCAUAUCAUAAGCAUAAUCACUCUCAUCAUUAAAAAUAUGGAUAGCACCAAUAGAAAGCAAUUUUCAUCAUCACAAUGAGUAGUAGGAGCAACAUCAUUUGGGAGGUAUACCUUUUUACCUUUGUUGCUCCUUCUUUUCUUUUUCUUCUUCAUAUUAUGUGUGGGUUCAACCUUCCUCUUUGAGCUCCUUAUUGAUGAGAUUGGUUGAAUAGAAAGCUCCUCCUCGUUACCUGAUUCAUCAUGAGAAAUAAUAGGAGGACAUUGGGAAGUCUCUUCCCUUUCAUUAGUAUUUUCAUCAUCUUCUAUUUGCUUUCUUUUCUUUAGGUAAUUGGCAAUAUAAGGAUUUUCAAUGCAAUUCUCCGCACAAAACAAAUAAAUCUUUUCUAGAUCAAUAUCAAGGAAUUUCUUAUGGGCAAAUUCUGGAAGGUCCUUAAGUAAACGUUUCAAUUCUUCAUAACCCAAAAGCAAACUAAGUUCAUUGUAGUGAGCAAUGGAGAUCAAAUCAUCACAAUUUUUGGACACGAUUCGAUCAUGAAACAAUUUGCAUAGGAGAUGUAAAUGACCACGUUCAUUGCAAAGUUCACAAGUACGGCAAAGGAAUUUUAAAUUUUGAGCACUCACACCUAGCCUUUCAUGCAACCAUUUAGUUUCUAAAUGCUUAUGCCUCUUGCAAUAAAUAUCUUGUCUAUUUGGUGUGUUCAUGGAAACAUGCACUCCACAAAAGUUGACAUGCUCAUAAGAUAUAUUUUCAUCAUGACUAGAGCAAUCAUCAUUAGUACUAAGGAUAUUCAAUGAGUUCAUACUAACAACAUUGCAAUCAUGCUCAUCAUUCAAAGAUUCAGUACCAAGCAUUUUAAUGCAUUCUUCUUCUAGCACUUGAGCACAAUUUUGUUUUCCAUCAUACUCACGAAAUAUAUUAAAAAGACGAAGCGUAUGAGACAAACUCAACUCCAUUUUUUUAUAGUUUUCUUUUAUAAACUAAACUAGUGAUAAAACAAGAAACAAAAAGAUUCGAUUACAAGAUCUAAAGAUAUACCUUCAAGCACUCACCUCCCCGACAAUGACGCUAGAAAAGAGCUUAGUUGACGGGGUGUGAGUGAGUGCCCUUUACCUAGCCUCCCCGGCAGCUGCGCCAGAAAAGAGCUUGAUGUCUACUACACAACCUUCUUCUUGUAGACGUUGUUGGGCCUGCAAGUGCACAGGUUUGUAGGACAGUAGCAAAUUUCCCUCAAGUGGAUGACCUAAGGUUUAUCAAUCCGUAGGAGCAGGCGUAGGAUGAAGAUGGUCUCUCUCAAACAACCCUGCAACCAAAUAACAAAGAGUCUCUUGUGUCCCCAACACACCCGAUACAAUGGUAAAUUGUAUAGGUGCACUAGUUCGGCGAAGAGAUGGUGAUACAAGUGCAAAAUAGAUAGUAGAUAUAGGUUUUUGUAAUCUGAAAUAAUAAAAACAGCAAGGUAAUUAAUGAUAAAAGUGAGCGUAAACGGUAUUGCAAUGGUAGGAAACAAGGCCAAGGGUUCAUACUUUCAGUAGAGCAAGUUCUCUCAACAAUAAUAACAUAGAUAGAUCAUAUAACAAUCCCUCAACAUGCAACAAAGAGUCACUCCAAAGCCACUAAUAGCGGAGAACAAACGUAGAGAUUAUGGUAGGGUACGAAACCACCUCAAAGUUAUUCUUUCGGAUCGAUCUAUAAAAGAGUUCGUACUAGAAUAACACCUUAAGAUACAAAUCAACCAAAACCCUAAUGUCACCUAGAUACUACAUUGUCACCUCAAGUAUCCAUGGGCAUGAUUAUACGAUAUGCAUCACACAAUCUCAGAUUCAUCCAACCAACAUAAAAGUACUUCAAAGAGUGCCCCAAAGUUUCUACCGGAGAGUCAAGAAAACGUGUGCCAACCCCUAUGCAUAGGCUCAUGGGCGGAACCCGCAAGUUGGUCACCAAAACAUACAUCAAGUGGCACGUGAUAUCCCAUUUUCACCACAGAUAAACACGGCAAGACAUACAUCAAGUGUUCUCAAAUCAAAGACUCAAUCCGAUAAGAUAACUUCAAGAGGGAAACUCAAUUCAUUACAAGAGAGUAGAGAGGGGGAGAAACAUCAUAAGAUCCAACUAUAAUAGCAAAGCUCGCGAUACAUCAAGAUCGUGUGAAGUCGAGAACACGAGAGAGAGAGAUCAAACACAUAGCUACUGGUACAUACCCUUAGCCCCGAGGGUGAACUACUCCCUCCUCGUCAUGGAGAGCGCCGGGAUGAUGAAGAUGGCCACCGGUGAUGGAUUCCCCCUCCGGCAGGGUGCCAGAACGGGCUCCCGAGAGGUUUUUGGUGGCUAUAGAGGCUUGCGGCGGUAGAACUCCCGAUCUAUCUUGAUUUCUGAUGUUUUUAGGGUAUGUAGGAGUAUAUAGGCGAAAGAAGUCAGCCGGGAGGUGCUCGAGGGGCCCACGAGACAGGGGGGCGCGCCCAGUAGGGUGGGGGGCGCCCUCCUAUCUUGUGGAGUCCUCGAGGAUCUUCUGACGUGCACUCCAAGUCUCCAGGAUCAUAUUCUUCCAAAAAAAUCACGCUGCCGAAGGUUUUAUUCGAUGUGGACUCCGUUUGAUAUUCCUUUUCUUCGAAAUACUGAAACAGGCAAUAAAACAGCAAUACGGGCUGGGCCUCCGGUUAGUAGUUUAGUCCCAAAAAUGAUAUAAAUGUGUAAAAUAAAGCCUAUAAACAUCCAAAAGGGGUAAUAUAAUAGCAUGGAACAAUCAAAAAUUAUAGAUACAUUGGAGACGUAUCAGCCAUCCCUCCGGCGACGGCAACGCGGGGGCGGGUGGAGGGUGGGUGUCGGGCCGCCAGCGGCUAGGGUUUCCACCGAGUCACCCGACGUGGGGGUCGAGGGUGAGAAGGGUAUUUAUUUUACCAUUUUCAUUAAUAAUCGAUAAAUAAACAAGAAUUAUCAGGUUAAGUAGCAGAAAUCAGGCUAUGAUACGUCUCCAACGUAUCUAUAAUGUUUGAUUGCUCCAUGCUACUUUAUCUACUGUUUUGGGCAAUAUUGGGCUUUAUUUUCCACUUUUAUAUUAUUUUUGGGACUAACCUAUUAACCGGAGGCCCAGCCCAGAUUUGUUGUUUUAUGCUAUUUCAGUAUUUCGAGGAAAAGGAAUAUCAAACGGGGUCAAAACGGAAUGAAAUCAACUGGAGAAGUUAUUUUUGGAAGGAAAGCCACCCGAUGGACUUGGAGUGCAUGUCAGGAAAAAAGGGAGGUGCUCACGAGGGUGGGGGCGCGCCCACCCCCCUAGGGCGCGCCCCUGCCUCGUGCCCCCCCCUUCGGUCCACCGACGUACCCCUUGCACCCAUAUAUACCUACGUAUCGUAAAACUUCCAGAACAGAAGAUAGAUCGGGAGUUCCGCCGCCACAAGCCUCUGUAGCCACCAAAAACCUCUCGGGAGCCCAUUCCGGCACCCUGCCGGAAGGGGAUCCCAUCACCGGUGGCCAUCUUCAUCAUCCCGGUGCUAUCCAUGACGAGGAGGGAGUAGUUCACCCUCGGGGCUGAGGGUAUGUACCAGUAGCUAUGUGGUUGAUCUCUCUCUCUCUCGUGUUCUCUCUCGUGUUCCCUCUAUGGCACGAUCUUGAUGUAUCCCGAGCUUUGUUAUUGUAGUUGGAUCUUAUGAUGUUUCUCCCCCUCUACUCUCUUGUGAUGAAUUGAGUUUCCCCUUUGAAGUUAUCUUAUCAGAUUGAGUCUUUUAUGAGAACACUUGAUGUAUGUCUUGUCGUGAUUACCUGUGGUGACAAUGGGAUAUCAUGUGCCACUUGAUGUAUGUUUUGGUGAUCAACUUGUGGGUUUCGUGACUUUGGGAACCUAUGCAUAGGGGUUGGCACACGUUCUUGACUCUCCGAUAAAAACUUUGGGGCACUCUUUGAAGUACUUUGUGUUGGUUGGAUGAAUCUGAGAUUGUGUGAUGCAUAUCGUAUAAUCAUGCCCACGGAUACUUGAGGUGACAAUGUAGUAUCUAGGUGACAUUAGGGUUUUUGUUGAUUUGUGUCUUAAGGUGUUAUUCUAGUACGAACUCUUUUAUAGAUUGAUCCGAAAGAAUAACUUUGAGGUGGUUUCGUACCCUACCAUAAUCUCUACAUUUGUUCUCCGCUAUUAGUGGCUUUGGAGUGACACUCUUUGUUGCAUGUUGAGGGAUUGUUAUAUGAUCUAUCUAUGUUAUUAUUGUUGAGAGAACUUGCACUAGUGAAAGUAUGAACCCUAGGCCUUGUUUCCUAUCAUUACAAUACCGUUUACGCUCACUUUUAUCAUUAGUUAGCUUGCUGUUUUUAUAUUUUCAGAUUACAAAUACCUAUAUCUACUAUCCAUAUUGCACUUGUAUCACCAUCUCUUCGCCGAACUAGUGCACCUAUACAAUUUACCAUUGUAUUGGGUGUGUUGGGGACACAAGAGACUCUUUGUUAUUUGGUUGCAGGGUUGUUUGAGAGAGACCAUCUUCAUCCUACGCCUCCCACGGAUUGAUAAACCUUAGGUCAUCCACUUGAGGGAAAUUUGCUACUGUCCUACAAACCUGUGCACUUGCAGGCCCAACAAUGUCUACAAGAAGAAGGUUGUGUAGUAGACAUCAAGCUCUUUUCUGGCGCCGUUGCCGGGGAGGCUAGGUAAAGGGCACUCACUCACACCCCGUCAACUAAGCUCUUUUCUGGCGCCGUUGCCGGGGAGGUGAGUGCUUGAGGGUAUAUCUUUAGAUCUUGCAAUCGAAUCUUUUUGUUUCUUGUUUUAUCACUAGUUUAGUUUAUAAAAGAAAACUACAAAAAAAUGGAAUUGAGUUUGUCUCAUACGCUUCAUCUUUUUAAUAUCUUUCGUGAGAAUGAUGGAAAGGAAAAUUGUGCUCAAGUGCUAGAAGAAGAAUGCAUUAAAAUGCUUGGUACUAGAUCUUUGUAUGAUGAGCAUGAUUGCAAUGUUGUUAGUAUGAAUUCCUUGAAUAUCCAUGAUGCUAAUGAUAUGCAAAGCCACAAGCUUGGGGAAGCUAUGUUUGAUGAAGAUGAUAUUUUUAGCAUCCCAAGUUUUGAUAUGCAAAGUUGUUAUGAUGAUAGCAUGCCUCCUACCUAUGAUGAUUAUAUUGAUGAAAGUGGGUUCGGAAGAGUGUCAACUUUAGGAAGUAGUGAUCCCACUAUUUUGGAGGAUGUUGAAUUUUAUUGUGAUGAAUACGAAAGUGGAUUUGGAAGAGUGUCAACUUUAUUUAGUGAUUCCACUAUCUUGGGAGAGGUUUCAAUCGAUUAUGAUGAGAACGAAGUUGCUACUUAUGAUGAUUAUUGUGAUGAAACUUAUGCUAUAAAAAGUAGUGAUGAUUAUAUUUACAAAUCCUUGUCAUGAUUAUGAUUACCCUUUUUCUGAACAUUACUCUUUUAAUGUGGAAACAAUUUUUAGUGUUCAAGUCUCUUAUGAUACUCCCACUAUUCCGAAUGAGAAGAAUUUUGCUUAUGUGGAGAGUAGUAAAUUUUCUAUGCUUGUAGAUCAUGAAAGGAAUGAUUUAGGUGCUGGUUAUAUUGUUGAAUUAAUUCAUGAUGCUACUGAAAAUUAUUAUGAGGGAUGAACAUAUGCUUGUAGGAGUUGCAAUAAUGCAAAGUUUCCUCUCUAUGUGUUGAAAAUCUUGAAGUUAUGCUUGUUUUACGUUCCUAUGCUAGUUGAUUAUUGUUCCCAUAAGUUAUUUGCUCGCAAAAUCCCUAUGCAUAGUAAGUGGGUUAGACUUAAAUGCGCUAGUCAUAUGCUUCAUGAUGCUCGCGUUAUGUUUCAAUUCUUAUCUUUUAUGUGAGCAUCAUUGUCAUCAUCAUGCCUAGCUAGAAAGGCAUUGAAGAAAAGCGCUUGUUGGUUGACAAACCAAUAUUUAUCCUUACUGUUUUUGUGUGUUCACAUGAUUAUGCUACUGUAGUAAUCAUGUUUUAUAGCUUUUGUUUCAAUAAAGUGCCAAGUAAGACCUUUAGGAUAGCUUACGGUGAUAGUUGUGUUGAUCCUGCUGAAAAUCAGAAACUUUUGCACCCAGUUAAUUAGUUUUUUUAAUUCACAAAAACGUGCUUCUGAUCUGAUUAGUUUUGCUAUAGAUAGGUACGCGAAUUUACUAGGACUUCCUAAUUUGGUAGGAUUUUUGGUGUUCCAUAACUAUACGUUUGAUACAGAUUACUACAGACUGUUCUGUUUUUCACAGAUUCUGUUUUCUAUGUGUUGUUUGCUUAUUUUGAUGAAUCUAUGAGUAGUAUCGAAGGGUAUGAACCAUAGAUAAGUUGGAGUACAGUAGAUAUUACACCAAUAUGAAUUUAGAAUGAGUUCACUACAGUACCUAAGUGGUGGUUUUACUUUCUUAUACUAACGGAGUUUACGAGUUUUCUGUUGAGUUUUGUGUUGUGGAGUUUUCAAUUUUUGGGUAAGGAUUCGAUGGACUAUGGAAAUAAGGAGUGGUAAGAGCCUAAGCUUGGGGAUGCCCAAGGCACCCCAAGGUAAUAUUCAAGAAUAGCCAAAAUCCUAAGCUUGGGGAUGCCCCGGAAGGCAUCCCCUCUUUCGUCUUCGUUCAUCGGUAACUUUACUUGGAGCUAUAUUUUUAUUCACCACAUGAUAUGUGUUUUGCUUGGAGCGUCAUUUUCUUUUAUUAGUAUUUGCUUGAUGUUAUUUAUAUGAAUAUUUUGCUUCUUUAGUUUCAAUAAAAAAGUCAAGGAUAGCCUUUGCCAUGCUUAUUUUGCUAGUAUACAUGUUGCUGUUUGAAAACAGAAAGUUUAUCGCUGUUGAAAAAAUUCCCUAGAAAAGUCAGAGAAUGGUAUAAUGUUGAAACCUUUUGAAUAAUGAGCUCUGAUAAAUUUACUACAGUGGGAAUUUUAUUUCAUAAUUUUUGGAGUUAGGGAAGUAUGGAUACUCUUGCAUUCUUUACAGAAUGUACUGUUUUGGCAGAUUGAUGUUAUGUUUGCAUUGUUUGCUUGUUUAAUGAUUCUAUUUGAGGAUAGGAGUAUUAAAUAUGCAGAGGCAUUUAGUAUUCAAUGUUGAAUAAUAAUUUUAUUGAUUUUUUACAGUAGAUUAUUAUAAGGUUUUGCAUUGGUUUAUACUAACCUACCUCACGAGUUCAUGUUGAGCUUGGUGUGGAUGAAGCUUUUGAGAAAUAGAGAAACCAUGAUAUGAGAGGAAUUAAGGAGACACAAAAGUUCAAGCUUGGGGAUGCCCAAGGCACCCCAAGAUAAUAUUCCAAGAAGUCUCAAGCAUCUAAGCUUGGGGAUGCCCCGGUAGGCAUCCCACCUUUCUUCUUCAACAACUAUCGGUUAGUAUCGUUUGAGCCUAAGUUUUUGCUUCUUCACAUGAGUUGUGCUAUCCUUGCAAUGUCAUUUUAUUUUGUUUUGCUUGCUGUUUGACUAGAGUACCAAGAUAUGAAAUUCUUUAAUGAGAGAGAGUCUUCACAUAGUUACAUAAUUAUUUAGCUACUCUUUGAUCUUCACUUAUAUCUUUUUGGAGUAGUUUGUCAUUUACUCGUGUGCUUCACUUAUAUUAUUUUGAGAGUCUUUUAGAAUAGCUAUGGUUACAAAAUUGGUCCUAGAAUGGUAGGCAUCCAAGUUGGGUAUAAUAAAAACUAUCAUAGGAAGUGAAUUGGAUGCUAUGAUCAAUUUGAUACUUGAUAAUUGUUUUGAGAUAUGGAUGUAGUCAUAUUAAAGUCAUGCUAGUUGGGUGAUUAUGAAUUUAAAGAAUGCUUGUGUUGAAGUUAGCAAGUCCCGUAGCAUCACGUAUGGUUAAAGUUGUGUAACAAAUUUGAAACAUGAAGUGUACCUGGCUUGUGCAUCCUUAUGAGUGGCGGUCGGGGACGAGCGAUGGUGUUUUCCUACCAAUCUAUCCCCCUAGGAGCAUGCGUGUAGUACUUGAUUUUUGAUGACUUCUAAAUUUUUGCAAUAAGUAUAUGAGUUCUUUUGACUAAUGUUGAGUCCAUGGAUUAUACGCACUUUUACCUUUCCACCAUUGCUAGCAUCUUCGGUACCGUGCAUUGCCCUUUCUCACCUUGAGAGUUGGUGCAAACUUCGCCGGUACAUCCAAACCCCGUGAUACGAUACACUCUAUCACACAUAAACCUCCCUAUAUCUUCCUCAAAACAGCCACCAUACCUACCUAUUAUGGCAUUUCCAUAGCCACUCCGAGAUAUAUUGCCAUGCAACUUUCCACCAUUCCGUUCAUCAUCAUCAUGACAUACUUUACUUUUGUCAUAUUGCCAUUGCAUGAUCAUGUAGUUGACAUCGUAUUUGUGGCAAAGCCACCAUGCAUUAUUUUUCAUACAUGUCACUCUUGAUUCAUUGCACCAUCCCGGUACACCGUCGGAGGCAUUCAUAUAGUCAUAUCUUGUUCUAGUUUCGAGUUGAUGUUCUUAUGUUGUAAUCAAUAGAAGUGUGAUGAUCAUCAUUAUUAGAGCAUUGCCCAAAAAGAAAAAAAAAAGAAAAAAAGAAGAAAGGCCAAAAGAAAAGAAAAAAAAGGACCAAAAAAAGGGAAAAAAAGGAGAAAAAGAAAAAAAAGAAAUAAAUAAAAAGGGCAAUGUUACUAUCUCUUUUUCCACACUUGUGCUUCAAAGUAGCACCUUGUUCUUCAUAUAGUGGGAAUUUUUCAUUAUAGAACUUGGCUUGUAUAUUCCUAUAAUGGGCUUCCUCAAAUGCCCUAGGUCUUCGUGAGCAAGCAAGUUAUGCACACCCACUAGUUUUCUUUUGUUGAGCAUUCAUUUAUAGCUCUAGUGCAUCUGUUGCAUGGCAAUCCCUACUCCUCAUGUUGACAUCAAUUGAUGGACAUCUCCAUAGCCCGUUGAUUAUCCUCGUCAAUGUGAGACUUUCUCCUUUUUUUGUCUUCUCCACACAAUCCCCAUCAUCAUAUUCUAUUCCACCCAUAGUACUAUAUCCAUGGCUCACGCUCAUGUAUUGUGUGAAGGUUGAAAAAGUUUGAGAUUAUUUAAGUAUGAAACAAUUGCUUGGCUUGUCAUCGGGGGUAUAGAAGUUGGGAACAUCUUUGUGUGACGAAAAUGAAGCAUAGCCUAACUAUAUGAUUUUGUAGGGAUGAACUUUCUUUUGCCAUGCUAUUUUGAGAAGACAUGAUUACCUUGAUUAGUAUGCUUGAAGAGUUACUAUUUCUUUUAUCAAUAUGAACUUUUUAUUUUGAAUCAUUUGGAUCUGAACAUUCAUGCCACAAUAAAUAAAAUUACAUUGAGAAUUAUGCUAGGUAGCAUUCUACAUCAAAAAUUCUGUUUUUAUCAUUUACCUACUGGAGGACGAGCAGGAAUUAAGCUUGGGGAUGCUUGAUACGUCUCCAACGUAUCUAUAAUUUUUUAUUGUUCCAUGCUAUUAUAUUACCCCUUUUGGAUGUUUAUGGGCUUUAUUUUACACAUUUAUAUCAUUUUUGGGACUAACCUACUAACUGGAGGCCCAGCCCAUAUUGCUGUUUUAUUGCCUGUUUCAGUAUUUCGAAGGAAAGGAAUAUCAAACGGAGUCCAAACGGAAUGAUGUUGGGGAACAUAGUAAUUUCAAAAAAAUUCCUACGCACACACAAGAUCAUGGUGAUGUAUAGCAACAAGAGGGGAGAGUGUUGUCUACAUACCCUUGUAGACCGUAAGAGGAAGCAUUAGCACAACGCAGUUGAUGUAGUCGUACGUCUUCACGACCCGACCGAUCAAGCGCCGAAACUACGGCACCUCCGAGUUCUAGCACACGUUCAGCUCGAUGACGUCCCUCGAACUCCGAUCCAGCCGAGGGUCGAGGGAGAGUUCCGUCAGCACGACGGCGUGGUGACGAUCUUGAUGUUCUACCGUCGCAGGGCUUCGCCUAAGCACCGCUACGAUAUUAUCGAGGUGGACUAUGGUGGAGGGGGGCACCGCACACGACUAAGAGAUCCAGGGGAUCAAUUGUUGUGUCUUUGGUGCUAGCCCUGCCCCUCUAUUUAUAUGUUGAGCCCCGGGGUCGAAACUUGGAGCAAAAGCCUCCUCAAAGUCGGUUUUGCCCGAAAGGCAAGAGUCCCACUCGGACUCCAGGACCAAACGCCACAAUCCUUGGCGUCUGGCCCAGAAGCCAUGGGCAUCAGCGUCUGGCCCUGACGCCAGGGUCUCUGGCGUUUGGCCCCCUGGCCUCGGCAAAACUCCUUUUGCACUGACCUAAAGCCUCAUGGGCUUGACCCCUUGGCCUAACCAUAUCAUCCAAUAUAUGAAUCUUUACAUCUCGACCAUUUUGAGAAUCCUCGUCAUGUCCCCGAUCUCAUCCGGGACUCCGAACUCCUUCGGUACAUAAAAACAUGUAAACUCAUAAUAUAACUGUCAUCGAAACCUUAAGCGUGCGGACCCUACGGGUUCGAGAACAAUGUAGACAUGACCGAAACACGUUUCCGGUCAAUAACCAAUAGUGGAACCUGGAUGCUCAUAUUGGCUCCCACAUAUUCUACAAAUAUCUUUAUCAGUCAGACCGCAUAACAACAUACAUUGUUCCCUUUGUCAUCAGUAUGUUACUUGCCCGAGAUUCGAUCGUCGGUAUCUCAAUACCUAGUUCAAUCUCGUUACGGGCAAGUCUCUUUACUCGUUACGUAAUGCAUCAUCCCGUAACUAACUCAUUAGCUACAUUGCUUGCAAGGCUUAUAGUGAUGUGCAUUACCGAGUGGGCCCAGAGAUACCUCUCCGACAAUCGGAGUGACAAAACCUAAUCCCGAAAUACGCCAACCCAACAUGUACCUUCGGAGACACCUGUAGAGCUCCUUUAUAAUCACCCAGUUACGUUGUGACGUUUGGUAGCACACAAAGUGUUCCUCCGGUAAACGGGAGUUGCAUAAUCUCAUAGUUACAGGAACAUGUAUAAGUCAUGAAGAAAGCAAUGGCAACAUACUAAACGAUCAAGUGCUAAGCUAACGGAAUGGGUCAAGUCAAUCACAUCAUUCUCCUAAUGAUGUGAUCCCGUUAAUCAAAUGACAACUCAUGUCUAUGGUUAGGAAAGUUAACCAUCUUUGAUUAACGAGCUAGUCAAGUAGAGGCAUACUAGUGACACUAUGUUUGUCUACGUAUUCACACAUGUAUUAUGUUUCCGGUUAAUACAAUUCUAGCAUGAAUAAUAAACAUUUAUCAUGAAAUAAGGAAAUAAAUAAUAACUUUAUUAUUGCCUCUAGGGCAUAUUUCCUUCAGUCUCCCACUUGCAAUAGAGUCAAUAAUCUAGUUCACAUCGCCUUGUGAUUUAACACCAAUAUUCAUAUCUAUAUAUGAUUAACACCCAUAGUUCACAUUGUCAUGUGACCAACACCCAAAGGGUUUACUAGAGUUAAUAAUCUAGUUCACAUCGCUAUGUGAUUAACACCCAAAAGAGUACUAAGGUGUGAUCAUGUUUUGCUCGUGAGAGAGGCUUAGUCAACGGGUCUGUCACAUUCAGAGCCGUAUGUAUUUUACAAAUAUACUAUGUCUACAAUGCUCUGCACGGAGCUACUAUAGAUAAUUGCUCCCACUUUCAAUAUGUAUCCAGAUUAAGACUUAGAGUCGUCUGGAUCAGUGCCAAAACUUGUAUCGACGUAACCCUUUACGAUGAACCUUUUUGUCACCUCCAUAAUCGAGAAACAUAUCCUUAUUCCACUAAGGAUAAUUUUGACCAAUGUCCAGUGAUCUACUCCUAGAUCACUAUUGUACUCCCUUGCCAAAACAGGGCAGAGUAUACAAUAGGUCUGGUCCAUAGCAUAGCAUACUUUUAUAGAACCUAUGACUGAUGCAUAGGGAAUGACUUUCAUUCUCUUUCUAUUUUCUGCUGUGGUCGGGAUUUGAGUCUUACUCAAUUUCAUACCUUUGCAACACAGGCAAGAACUCUUUCUUUGACUGUUCCAUUUUGAACUACUUCAAAAUCUUGUCAAGGUAUGUACUCAUUGAAAAUCUUAUCAAGCGUCUUGAUCUAUCUCAAUAGAUAUUGAUGCUCAAUAUGUAAGUAGCUUUACUGAAGUCUUUCUUUUAAAGAACUUCUUUCAAACACUCUUUAUGCUUUGCAGAAAAAUUCUACAUUAUUUCCGAUCAACAAUAUGUCAUUCACAUAUACUUAUCAAAAAUGCUGUAGUGCUCCCACUCACUUUCUUGUAAAUACAGGCUUCACCGUAAGUCUGUACAAAACUACAUGCUUUGAUCAACUUAUCAAAGCAUAUAUUCCAACUCUGAGAUGCUUGCACCAGUCCAUAAAUGGAUCGCUGGAGCAUGCACACUUUGUUAGCACCUUUAGGAUUGACAAAACCUUCUGGUUGCAUCAUAUACAACUCUUCUUUAAGACAACCAUAAAGGAAUGUAGUUUUGACAUCCAUUUGCCAGAUUUCAUAAAAUGUGGCAAUUGCUAACAUGAUUCAGACAGACUUAAGCAUCGCUACAAUUGAGAAAAUCUCAUUGUAGUCAACACCUUGAACUUGUCAAUAACCUUUUUGCGACAAAUCAAGUUUUAUAGAUAGUAACACUACUAUCAAUGUCUGUCUUCCUCUUGAAGAUCCAUUUAUUUUCUAUGGUUUGCCGAUCAUCGGGCAAGUCCACCAAAGUCCACACUUUGUUCUCAUACAUGGAUCCUAUCUCAGAUUUCAUGGCUUCCAGCCAUUUUGCGGAAUCUGGGCUCAUCAUCACUUCCUCAUAGUUCGUAGGUUUAUCAUGGUCUAGUAACAUGACUUUCAGAACAGGAUUACCGUACCACUCUGGUGCGGACCAUAUUCUGGAAGACUUACGAGGUUUUGUAGUAACUUGAUCUGAAGUUUCAUGAUCAUCAUCAUUAGCUUCCUCACUAAUUGGUGUAGGAAUUACUGGAACUGAUUUCAGUGAUGAACUAUUUUUCAAUUAGGGAGAAGGUACAGUUACCUCAUCAAGUUCUACUUUCCUCCCACUCACUUCUUUCGAGAGAAACUCCUUCUCUAGAAAGGAUCCAUUUUUAGCAACGAAUAUCUUGCCUUCGGAUCUGUGAUAGAAGGUGUACCCAACAUUUUCCUUUGGGUAUUCUAUGAAGACGCACUUCACCGAUUUGGGUUUGAGCUUAUCAGGAUGAAACUUUUUCACAUAAGCAUCAUAGCCCCAAACUUUAAGAAACGACAACUUGGGUUUCUUGCUAAACCACAGUUCAUAUAGUGUCGUCUCAACGGAUUUAGAUGGUGCCCUUUUAACAUGAAUGCAGUUGUCUCUAAUGCAUAACCCCAAAACGAUAAUGGUAAAUCAAUAAGAGACAUCAUAGAUCGCACCAUAUCCAAUAAAGUGCGGUUACGACGUUCGGACACACCAUAACGUUGUGGUGUUCCAGGUGGCGUGAGCUGUGAAACUAUUCCACAUUGUUUUAAUUGAAGACCAAACUCGUAACUCAAAUAUUCGUCUUCGUGAUCAGAUUGCAGAAACUUUAUUUUCUUGUUACGAAGAUUUUUCCACUUCACUCUGAAAUUCUUUGAACCUUUCAAUUAUAUCAGACUUAUGUUUCAUCAAGUAGAUAUACCCAUAUCUGCUCAAAUCAUCUUGUGAAGGUCAGAAAAUAACGAUACUUGCCACAAGCAUCAACACUCACUGGAUCGCAUACAUCGGUAUGUAUUAUUUCCAAUAAGUCAGUAGCUUGUUCCAUUGUUCCGGAGAACGGAGUUUUAUUCAUCUUGCCCAAAAGGCACGGUUCGCAAGCAUCAAAUGAUUCAUAACCAAGUGAUUCCGAAAAUCCAUCUUUAUGGAGUUUCUUCAUGCGCUUUACACCGAUAUGACCCAAACGGCAGUGCCACAAAUAAGUUGCACUAUCAUUAUUAACUUUGUAUCUUUUGGCAUCAAUAUUAUGAAUAUGUGUAUCACUACGAUCGAGAUCCAAUAAACCAUUAUCAUUGGGUGUAUGACCAUUGAAGGUUUUAUUCAUGUAACUUUAAAUGAAUAACCGUAUUGCAAUAAACAUGAUCAAAUCAUAUUCAUGCUCAACGCACACGCUAAAUAACAUUUAUUUAGGUUUAACACUAAUCCCGAAAGUAUAGGGAGUGUGCGAUGAUGAUCAUAUCAAUCUUGGAACUACUUCCAACACUCAUCGUCACUUCCCCUUCAACUAGUCUCUGUUUAUUCUGUAACUCCUGUUCGAGUUACUAAUCUUAGCAACCGAACAAGUAUCAAAUACUCAGGGGCUACUAUAAACACUAGUAAGGCACACAUCAAUAACCUGUAUAUCAAAUAUACCCUUGUUCACUUUGCCAUCCUUCUUAUCCACCAAAUAUUCAGGGCAUUUCCGCUUGCAGUGACCAUUUCCUUUGUAGUGUAAGCACUCAGUUUCAGGAUUUGGUCCAGCUUUGGUUUUCCUCACGGGAGUGACAACUUGUUUGCCAUUCCACUUGAAGUUUCCCUUUCUUUCCCUUUUCUUGAAACUAGUGGUUUUGUCAAUCAUCAACACUUGAUGCUCUUUCUUGAUUUCUACCUUCGUCGAUUUCAAUAUCACGAAGAGCUCGGGAAUUGUUUUUGUCAUCCCUUGCAUACUAUAGUUCAUCACGAAGUUCUAGUAACUUGGUGAUGGUGACUAGAGAAUUCUGUCAAUCACUAUCUUAUCUGGAAGGUUAACUCCCACUUGAUUCAAGCGAUUGAAGUACCCAGACAAUCUGAGCACCUGCUCACUAGCUGAGCGAUUCUCCUCCAUCUUUUAGCUAUAGAACUUGUUGGAGACUUCAUAUCUCUCAACUCGGGUAUUUGCUUGAAAUAUCAACUUCAAUUCCUGGAACAUCUCAUAUGGUCCAUGAUGUUCAAAACGUCUUUGAAGUCCCGAUUCUAAGCCGUUAAUCAUGGUGCACUAAACUAUCAAGUAGUCAUCAUAUUGAGCUAGCCAAACGUUCAUAACAUCUGCAUCUGCUCCUGCAAUAGGUCUGUCACCUAGCGGUGCAUUAAGGACAUAAUUCUUCUGUGCAGCAAUGAGGAUAAACCUCAGAUCACGGAUCCAAUCCGCAUCAUUGCUACUAACAUCUUUCAACACAAUUUUCUCUAGGAACAUAUCAAAAUAAACAUAUGAAAGCAACAACGCAAGCUAUUGAUCUACAACAUAAUUUGCAAAAUACUACCAGGACUAAGUUCAUGAUAAAUUUAAGUUCAAUUAAUCAUAUUACUUAAGAACUCCCACUUAGACAGACAUCUCUCUAGUCAUCUAAGUGAUCACGUGAUCCAAAUCAACUAAACCAUGUCCGAUCAUCACGUGAGAUGGAGUAGUUUCAAUGGUGAACAUCACUAUGUUGAUCAUAUCUACUAUAUGAUUCACGUUCGACCUUUCGGUCUCCGUGUUCCGAUGCCAUAUCUGUUAUAUGCUAGGCUCGUCAAGUUUAACCUGAGUAUUCCGCGUAUGCAACUAUUUUUGCACCCGUUGUAUUUGAACGUAGAGCCUAUCACACCCGAUCAUCAUGUGGUGUCUCAGCACGAAGAACUUUCGCAACGGUGCAUACUCAGGGAGAACACUUCUUGAUAAUUUUAGUGAGAGAUCAUCUUAAAAUGCUACCGUCAAUCAAAGCAAGAUAAGAUGCAUAAAGGAUAAACAUCACAUGCAAUCAAUAUAAGUGAUAUGAUAUGGCCAUCAUCAUCUUGUGCUUGUGAUCUCCAUCUUCGAAGUACCGUCAUGAUCACUGAGGGAGUCCUGGACUAGGGGGUGUCCGGACAGCCGGACUAUCAUCGUCCGCCGGACUCCAAGACUACGAAGAUACAAGAUUGAAGACUCCAUCCCGUGUUCGGAUGGGACUUUCCUUGGCGUGGAAGGCAAGCUUGGCGAUACGGAUAUGUAGAUCUCCUACCAUUGUAACCGACUCUGUGUAACCCUAGCCCUCUCCGGUGUCUAUAUAAACCGGAGGGCUUUAGUCCGUAGGACACAACAUACAUUACAACAAUCAUACCAUAGGCUAGCUUCUAGGGUUUAGCCUCCUUGGUCUCGUGGUAGAUCCACUCUUGUACUACCCAUAUCAUCAAUAUUAAUCAAGCAGGACGUAGGGUUUUACCUCCAUCAAGAGGGCCCGAACCUGGGUAAAACAUCGUGUCCCUUGUCUCCUGUUACCAUCCGCCUAGACGCACAGUUCGGGACCCCCUACCCGAGAUCCGCCGGUUUUGACACCGACAUUGGUGCUUUCAUUGAGAGUUCCUCUGUGCCGUCACCGAUAGGCUCGAUGGCUUGUCCAAUCAACAAUGCCGUCCAGGGUGAGACUUUUCUCCUCGGACAGAUCUUCGUAUUCGGCGGCUUCGCACCGCGGGCCAACUCAUGUGGCCAUCUGGAGCAGAUCGAAAGCUAUGCCCCUGGCCAUCAGGUCAGGUUCAGAAGCCUAAACUUCACGGCCGACAUCCGCAGGGACUUGAUCUUCGACGGACUCGAGCCUCAUCCGAGCGUGCCGCGCUGUCAUGAUGGGCAUGAUUUAGCUCUGCCGCUGGACAGUGCCUUGGUGGCCGCACACGAACCCGCUCCGACCCUCAGUCCGGAGCUGAUCGCCCAGAUCGAGGACCGGUGGCUGGACACCGCCUCGGGGGCUGCACCUUCCACGGCAAUGGAGCCGAACACUAACCUUGUCGAGGUGGACUCCGAGGUGCCGGACUCCUUACCAGACUCCGAACCUCCUGCGCCCCUGCCAAUCGAAUCUGAUUGGGCACCGAUCAGGGAGUUCACGGCCGCGGACAUUUUCCAACACUCGCCCUUUGGCGAUAUCCUAAAUUUGCUAAAGCAUCUCUCGCUAUCCGGAGAGCCCUGGCCGGAUUAUGCCAGGAUGGUUGGGAUACGGCGAUGAAGAAAUUCAGAGCCCACCCACCACCCACUUUGUAGCCACUGUCGACGAUCUAACCGACAUGCUAGACUACGACUCCGAAGACAUCGACGGUAUGGACGACGAUGCCGGAGAUGAACAGGAACCAGCGCCUACAGGGCACUGGAAGACCACCUCGUCAUACGACAUAUACAUGGUGGACACCCCAAAAGAUGGGGACGGCGAAGAAGCAGCGGAGGCAGAUUCCUUAAAGAAACAGCCCAAGCGCCGGCGUCAGCGGCGCCGCUCUAAAUCCCGCCACAGCAAGAAUGGAGAUUCCAGCACAGGAGAUAAUAACACUCCAGAUAGUGCCGAAGACAAUCCCCUCCAGCAAGAGUCAGCGCAGGAGGAUGCAGAAGCAAGCCCUCGCGAGAGAGCGGCGGACGAAUAGGUCGAGGAUGAUAAUUACAUGCCUCCCUCCGGAGACGAAGCAAGCCUCGGCGACGACGAAUUCAUCGUGCCUGAGGAUCGAACAAGAGCGUUUCAAAUGCAGGCUUAUCGCCACGGCAAAUAGCCUAAAGAAAAAGCAGCAGCAGCUUCAAGCUGAUCAAGACCUGCUGGCCGACAGAUGGACUGAGGUCCUCGCGGCCGAAGAGUAUGAACUCGAACGUCCCUCCAAAAGUUACCCAAAACGCAAGUUGCUCCCCCGAUUAGAGGAAGAAGCAUACAUACCUUCAUCACCAGUGCACGAUACGGCCGACCGACCACCCCGUGGUCGCGACAGAGAGGCAUCUAGGCCCUCCACCAAGACCGUACCCCGGCAUCGCUCCAAAAGUACGAAGCCAAGAGGGAACGCGCCGGACUUGCGAGAUAUAUUGGAGGACAAAGCAAGGCAAUCUAGAUCCAUCUACGGAUCACGUGGGCGCCCCGCGACCCACGACGAAUACCGUCGCGCCAGAUACAACAACUCCGGCCGAGCCGAACACAGCAGACAACGCUCGCUCGAGCUACGUCGUGACAUUGCUCAAUAUAGAGGCGCCGCACACCCGCUAUGCUUCACUGACGAAGUAAUGGAUCAUUAGAUCCCUGAAGGGUUUAAACCCGUAAACAUUGAAUCCUACGAUGGCACAACAGACCCCGCGGUUUGGAUCAAAGAUUAUCUCCUUCACAUCCAUAUGCCCCGGGGCGACGAUCUCCACGCCAUCAAAUACCUCCCACUCAAGCUUAAAGGACCAGCUCGGCAUUGGCUUAACAGCUUGCCCGCAGAGUCAAUUGGGUGUUGGGAAGACCUGGAAGCCGCAUUCCUUGACAACUUCCAGGGCACAUAUGUGCGACCACCAGACGCCGAUGACCUAAGCCACAUAAUUCAGCAGCCAGACGAAUCGGCCAGACAGUUCUGGACACGGUUCUUGACAAAGAAAAACCAAAUCGUCGACUGUCCGGAUGCAGAGGCCCUCGCAGCCUUCAAACAUAACAUCCGCGACGAGUGGCUAGCCCGGCACCUGGGACAGGAAAAGCCGAAAUCCAUGGCAGCCCUCACAUCAUUAAUGACCCGCUUUUGCGCGAGAGAGGAUAGCUGGCUAGCUCGCAGCAACAACCUUAGUAAAAAUUCUGGCAGUCCGGACACUAAGGACCACAGUGGCAGGUCGCGUCGAAGCAAAAAAAAACGCCGUAUUAACGGCGACGACAAGGAGGAUACGGCAGUCAAUGCCGGAUUCCGAGGCUCUAAACCCGGUCAGCGGAAGAAGCCAUUCAAAAGAACCACUCCGGGUCCGUCCAAUUUGGACCGAAUACUCGACCGCUUAUGCCAGAUACAUGGCACCCCCGAAAGGCCAGCUAUUCACACCAACAGAGACUGUUAGGUAUUCAAGCAGGCAGGCAAGUUAAUUGCCGAAAACAAUGACAAGGGGCUGCAUAGCGACGACGAGGAAGAGACCCGGCCGCCGAACAGUAGAGGACAGAAGGGUUUCCCCCCACAAGUGCGGACGGUCAACAUGAUAUACGCAACCCAUAUACCCAAGAGGGAGCGGAAGCGUGCACUAAGGGACGUAUACGCGAUGGAGCCAGUCGCCCCAAAGUUCAAUCCAUGGUCCUCUUGUCCGAUCACUUUCGAUCGAAGAGACCAUCCGACCAGCAUCCGCCAUGGCGGAUUCGCCGCAUUGGUUUUAGACCCAAUCGUCGAUGGAUUUCACCUCACGAGAGUCCUGAUGGACGGCGACAGUAGCCUGAACCUGCUUUAUCAGGAUACAGUGCGCAAGAUGGGCAUAGACCCCUCAAGGAUUAAACCUACAAAGACGACCUUUAAAGGCGUCAUACCAGGUGUGGAGGCCAAUUGUACAGGCUCAGUCACACUGGAAGUGGUCUUCGGAUCCCCGGAUAAUUUCCGGAGCGAGGAGUUAAUCUUCGACAUAGUCCCAUUUCGCAGCGGCUAUCACGCUCUGCUCGGACGAACCGCGUUUGCAAAGUUCAACGCGGUGCCGCAUUACCUUAAGCUCAAGAUGCCAGGCCCUUGUGGAGUCAUCACGGUCAACGGAAAUACGGAACGCUCCCUCCGAACGGAGGAACAUACAGCGGCUCUCGCGGCAGAAGUACAGAGCAGCCUUUUAAGGCAAUUUUCGAGUCCGGCCGUUAAACGGCCGGAUACAGCCAAACGCGCCCGAAGCAACACCAGCCAAGACCACCUGGCACGAUCCGAGCACGCGUAGCAAUGCGGCCCUAACCCCAGCCCUAGCAUGAUCGCAAGAACAACCCUCCGCGUCCAUCAUUACGCUUUGGAGAUACCAUGGGCGUAGGGGAAGGGGCACGACCACAAUAGACCCAGAGUGCGGCUCGACCACACCAGGGGCUCGCAAGUGUGUCACUCUUUUUUAUUAUUUUCCUUCUUUGUAUACACAGGACUCCGUUAAUCAGAGGCCCUGUCCGGCGGUGAACCUGCCGAACUCACGAUGCAACAGCCAGGGAAGAAAGAAGGCUGCGACGAACACUCAGGUGGUCUCCAUUACGAGCAUUAAAUUUGAUUAUAUACACCAAGUCCGCAGCUCAUCCCUGGAGGGGGACAUGUUUAAUUAGUCCAAACCCUUGCUUCCCGCACUAUUUGUAUCAGUCCGCACUCAUAGCAGACUUCCUUUAAUAAAUAAUGCAGCACUUCUCGCCUGUAAUUACAUAUACAUGUUCAUUACAUGACAUCUUGCACCCGUAUAUUUUGGUACGGCCUAAUACACCAGGGGCUUAUGUUCCUCGCAUUAUGGUGUGAUAAGUCCGAACACUUUCACAAGUGCGGCACCCCGAACUUAUAGCAUUAUAUGAAUCAGCUCCAAAUCAUGUCUUGGGUCAAUAGUUGGGUUUGCCCAGCUCCCACGUUUUGGUGCCUUAUGUUCUGUUCUGUCGGCUAAGGUGGCACUGGGAGAACCACUACGAUUGCGCCCCGGUUGAGCUGGGCGAGCGCCUCAGUGGAGAAAGCUAAAACUGACUGGCAUGAUAAGGCGAGAGACUGGUCGCUGUUUGAGAGGUCUUUUCGGGUCCCUAAAGACCCAUGCCGCUUCGAGCAAAGUACCGGAUAAUGUCCGAUGAAGGCGUGGAUAGCGCCUCGAAUUCGGUCUUCCGAAUACCAGGGGCUUAGCCGAAAUUUAAAAUUAUAGAAUUCUAUGGCUAAGUGAGAGUGUUCAAGCAUUAUAAGUCCGGUUGCCUUGUUCGUUGUGUUGAGCGCCUCCCUAGAUGGACCCAAAAAUGGGAACAAGAGUGCUCAAGUUUAUCCCAAACACCCCAGCACUCGCGGCUCGGGGGCUGAAGCCAACGACUUGCCAUCUCUCAGAUUUUAUAAACGGCCGCACAGAAGGUAAUAUUUUAAAUUAAACAAGCGUUGCUUAAAGUGCAUAUGAACAAAGUUUUCAGCGCACAGGAUAAUACAUAGCGAGUUUACUCAAAAAUUACAUCUCUGGGGCAUUCAUCCGCAAUAUCGCGGGCUCCCUUCAGGACAGUUUUAUAAUACAUUUCGGGCGCACGAUACUCCUUGCCCGGUGGCGCGGGUCAGUAAGAAGCUUCUCCGCGUCCAGCCUGCCCCAGUGCACCUUUGUGCGGGCAAGGGCACGACGAGCACCUUCAAUACAGGCAGAGCUCUUGAUGACCUCCACCCAGGGGCAUGCAUCCACCAGCCGCCGCACGAGGCCGAAAUAGCUCCCAGGCAUGGCCUGUCCAGGCCACAGCCGGACUAUCAGGCCCUUCAUGGCCUCCUCAGCCGCCUUGUGGAGCUCGACCAGCUGCUUCAGCUGGUCGCUUGGGGGCACCGGAUGGCCGGCCUCAGCGUACUGAGACCCGAAGACCUUCUCCGUUGAGCUCCCCUCCUGGCCACGGUAAAAUGUGGCGGCAUCGGAUACACUGUGUGGCAGAUCUGCAAACGCCCCUGGAGAGCUCCGAAUUCGGGUAAGUGUCAGGUAGUUUACAUUAACAUGCUUGCUUUGCAUGAAAAAUGCCUUACCCGCCGCUAUCUUCUUCACAUAUUCAACCUCCUGAAGGGCCUUACGGGCCUCGGCCUUGGUGGACUUGGCACUUUCGAGAGCCGAGGCAAGCUCGGACUCUCGAGUCUUUGAGUCGCGCUCCAAACUCUCAUGCUUCUCCAUGAGAGCCUGGAGCUCUUGCCGCACUUCCGCCACCCGCGCCUCCUGCUUCUCUCGCUCGGCCCGUUCCGCGGCCGCAUUGUGUUCGGCCGCGGACACAGCCUCCUUCAGGGUUGCCACCUCGUUAGUGGCCCCUGCAGUACCCACGUUAUCCUUGUCAUUUUUCGCAACCUAAAUCCUUUUCUGUAAGGUAAAUCUUCAAAGUGGUGUUACUCACCUUCUUUUUCCUCGAGCUGCUUCUUGGCAUGGCCGAGCUCUUGCUCGGACCGCUCAAGAUCCUGCUUCAAUGCACCGACCUCCGCAGUCAGUGCGGCAGAGGUCAGCAGCGCAGCCUGCAAAACCCAUAUUGACAUAUUUUUUAAGCAACCCUGCGUAUAUCUUUUUAGAUCCUCAGUCCGGCUUUUCUUUCCGAACACCGAACCGAGCAUCAGGGGCUACUGUCUAUGCGGUAUUACAUUACAUAAUUUUAACUUCUUACCUCAAAGCCUGUUAGAAGGCUACUGCAGGCUUCGGUCAGCCCGCUCUUGGCGAGCUGAACCUUCUGAAUCACCGCACUCAUAACAGUGCGGUGUUCUUCCUCGAUGGAAGUGCCUUUGAGCGCCUCCAGCAAGUUGUCCGGCGCCUCCGGUUGGACGGAGGCCGCCGGCGUCACGGUCUUUCCCUUCUUUCGAAGGGGCCGCCUGCCGGACUCUGGAGCCACUGCAGGUUCCGGCGUAGAGUCCGGCGCAAAGUCCGGGAGGAUGCCUUGCGGCGCCUCCGGAGCCUCCUCCUGAUGGGUCCCUUUCUGGGAUCCCACCUCGGCGUCCUCAUCGGCGCGAGGGGUGAAGGCAGUCGGAAGGGAAUCCACAUCCGACGGGGCCAACGACCCACUCGAUGAAGCGGGGAGAUUAUCAUCGGCUGGACUGCGGGCAAUAUGCGGCAUUAGUAGGAAACUACGUGACACAAAAGAAAUUGCAUACCAUUCAGGGAUCCGGAUACUUACGAUCUUGCCGGAGGCCUGGCCCUUAAAGGCCACUCCUCGUCGCCAACGUCGGUGUUGGCAGAGCUGUCCGGGGGAAUAGUUCUCCCCCUCUUGGACCCUUCGGCCUCCCCUGUUGGGGAAGCCUUCCUCUUCCUCUCUCCCCCCUCCGGGAGAGAGUCUUCUUCCUCCUCCUCGUCUUCGGGGGAGGAGUCCGCCUCGUCGUCGGACGCCUGAUAAUGGGAACUCUUUCGAGUGCCCGUGGCCACCUUCUUGGCCUUCUUCUCCGGCACCACAUGUGGUGCCGGAACCAGCAGCCCCGCUAGACGGGCAUCCACUGGGUCUUUUGGCAUGGGAGCCGGGCAGAUGAGCUGCUCGGCCUUCUUCAUGCAUUCCUGUCAAAGGAAAAGGGAGAUUGAAACCCUCUUAGAAUCAAUCUAUUUACAAUAAGUGUCCCAUAAAGGGGUAGAAUCACUUACCUCGUCAGCCGGAUGCUGCGAGUGAAAUCCGCGAUCUUCCAUCGCGGAUGCGGGGGCUUCGGCGCCCUUAAACAGCACCCUCCAGGCGCCUUCAUACGUCGUGUCGAAGAGCCCGCUCAGUGCCUGGUGCUGUUCCGGAUUGAACUCCCACAGAUUGAAUGCCGGUUCUUGGCAUGGGAGAAUCCGGCGGACGGGCAUGACUUGGACCACGUCGACAAGCCUGAGCUUCUUGUUCACCAGCUUCUGGAUACAGGCUCGGAGUCCCGUCAGCUCCUUCGGAUUACCCCACAGCAAGCCCUUCUCUUUCCAGGAGGUGAGCUGCGUAGGGAUACCAGAUCUAAACUCGGGGGCCGCCGCCCACGUAGGGUCGCGCGGCUCGGUGAUGUAGAACCACCUCGAUUGCCACCCCUUGACGGAGUCCACAAGGCCCCUUCGAACCAGAGGACGUUGGGCAUCUUGCCCAACAUGGCGCCUCCGCACUCCGCCUGCGUGCCCUUCACUACCUUUGGCUUGACGUUGAAGGUCUUGAGCCACAAGCCGAAGUGGGGCCGGAUGCAGAGGAGGGCCUCGCACACAGCGAUAAACGCCGAGAUGUUGAGGAUGAAGUUCGGCGCCAGAUCAUGGAAAUCCAGGCCGUAGUAGAACAUGAGCCCCCGGACAAUGGGGUGAAGUGGAAAGCCCAGUCCGCGGAGGAAGUGGGGAAGGAAAACGACCCUCUCAUGGGGCCCCGGGGUAGGGACGAGCUGCCCCUCGAUGGGCAGCCUAUGCGCGAUGUCGCCGGAAAGGUAUCCGGCGCUGCGCAGCUUUGUGAUAUGCUCCUCCUUAAUGGUGGAAGCCAACCAUUUGCCUCCCCCUCCGUACAUGGUCGGAGAAGGUUGAGACGAGAUGCGCGAACUUGGGUGCUGGAGCUUGAGUGCGCGGAGGUGGAUAAGCAAAGGAGGAAGAAGGCGUGGGUGAAAAGGUGAAUCCUUAUCCCUUAUAUAUAGGCGGGCAAAGACUAUGCGCCCCCACCAGCCUGGUAAAACUCGCUUAUCUCCCAAGCGCCACCAUCAAUGGCGCGGUUGGGUUACCCACGUCCGUAUUGAUGAGAAUCCCGGAAUAAGGGGAACACGAUCUCUGCUUCGACAAGACGUGCCAAGGAAACCGCUUCGCUAAACGUGCUGAGGUGGUAUAAUAAAAAACGAUUCAAGUAAAGGCUUGGUAGUGGUGUGACGUCAUGCCGCAAAAUACGUCAGCAGAUUGAGCUUGUGUACAUUUUAUUCUCUCUACGGUGGAAUGUGGAAUUUAUUUUGCAGAGCCGGACACUAUCCUGGUGUUCAUGAUCUUCUCUGGAUUAUUCAAAGGGGGAACCCGCCUUGCAAUGCCGAACAUUAUGCGCGCCGGACUUAUCGUCAUUGAAGCCUGGUUCAGGGGCUACUGAGGGACUCCAAGACUACAAAGAUACAAGAUUGAAGACUCCGUCCCGUGUCCGGAUGGGACUUUCCUUGGCGUGGAAGGCAAGCUUGGCGAUACAGAUAUGUAGAUCUCCUACCAUUGUAACCGACUCUGUGUAACCCUAGCCCUCUCCGGUGUCUAUAUAAACCGGAGGGCUUUAGUCUGUAGGACACAACAUACAUUACAACAAUCAUACCAUAGGCUAGCUUCUAGGGUUUAGCCUCCUUGAUCUCGUGGUAGAUCCACUCUUGUACUACCCAUAUCAUCAAUAUUAAUCAAGCAGGACAUAGGGUUUUACCUCCAUCAAGAGGGCCCGAACCUGGGUAAAACAUCGUGUCCCUUGUCUCCUAUUACCAUCCGCCUAGACGCACAGUUCAGGACCCCCUACCCGAGAUCCGCCGGUUUUGACACCGACAAUCACCAUCGUCACCGGCGCGACACCUUGAUCUCCAUCAUAGCAUCGUUGUCGUUACGCCAUCUAUUGCUUCUACGACUAUCGCUACCGCUUAGUGAUAAAGUAAAGCAAUUACAGGGCGUUUGCAUUUCAUACAAUAAAGCGAUAACCAUAUGGCUCCUGCCAGUUGCCGAUAACUUCGGUUACAAAACAUGAUCAUCUCAUACAAUAAAAUAUAGCAUCACGUUUUGACCAUAUCACAUCACAACAUGCCCUACAAAAACAAGUUAGACGUCUUCUACUUUGUUGUUGCAAAUUUUACGUGGCUGCUAUGGGCUGAGCAAGAACCGUUCUUACCUACGCAUCAAAACCACAACGAUAGUUUGUCAAGUUAGUGCUGUUUUAACCUUCGCAAGGACCGGGCGUAGCCACACUCGGUUCAACUAAAGUUGGAGAAACAGACACCCGCUAGUCACCUGUGUGCAACGCAUGGCGGUAAAACCAGUCUCGCGUAAGCGUACGCGUAAUGUCGGUCCGGGCCGCUUCAUCCAACAAUACCGCUGAACCAAAGUAUGACAUGCUGGUAAGCAGUAUGACUUGUAUCGCCCACAACUCACUUGUGUUCUACUCGUGCAUAUAACAUCAAAGCAUAAAACAUAGGCUCUGAUACCACUGUUGGGGAACGUAGUAAUUUCAAAAAAUUUCCUACGCACACACAAGAUCAUGGUGAUGUAUAGCAACGAGAGGGGAGAGUGUUUUCUACAUACCCUUGUAGACCGUAAGCGGAAGCGUUAGCACAACGCGGUUGAUGUAGUCGUACGUCUUCACGGCCCGACCGAUCAAGCGCUGAAACUACGGCACCUCCGAGUUCUAGCACACGUUCAGCUCGAUGACGUCCCUCGAACUCCGAUCCAGCCGAGUGUCGAGGGAGAGUUUCGUCAGCACGACGGCGUGGUGACGAUCUUGAUGUUCUACCGUCGCAGGGCUUCGCCUAAGCACCGCUACAAUAUUAUCGAGGUGAACUAUGGUGGAGGGGGGCACCGCACACGACUAAGAGAUCCAAGGAAUCAAUUGUUGUGUCUUUGGUGCUAGCCCUGCCCCUCUAUUUAUAUGUUGAGCCCCGGGGUCGAAACUUGGAGCAAAAGCCUCCUCAAAGUCGGUUUUGCCCGAAAGGCAAGAGUCCCACUCGGACUCCAGGACCAAACGCCACAAUCCUUGGCGUCUGGCCCAGAAGCCAUGGGCAUCAGCGUCUGGCCCUGAUGCUAGGGUCUCCGGCGUUUGGCCCCCUGGCCUCCGCAAAACUCCUUUUGCACUGACCUAAAGCCUCAUGGGCUUGACCCCUUGGCCUAACCAUAUCAUCCAAUAUAUGAAUCUUUACAUCUCGACCAUUUUGAGACUCCUCGUCAUGUCCCCGAUCUCAUCCGAGACUCCGAACUCCUUCGGUACAUAAAAACAUGUAAACUCAUAAUAUAACUGUCAUCGAAACCUUAAGCGUGCGGACCCUACGGGUUCGAGAACAAUGUAGACAUGACCGAAACACGUUUCCGGUCAAUAAAUAAUAGCGGAACCUGGAUGCUCAUAUUGGCUCCCACAUAUUCUACGAAAAUCCUUAUCGGUCAGACCGCAUAACAACAUACGUUGUUCCCUUCGUCAUCGGUAUGUUACUUGCCCGAGAUUCGAUCGUCGGUAUCUCAAUACCUAGUUCAAUCUCGUUACCGGAAAGUCUCUUUACUCGUUACAUAAUGCAUCAUCCCGUAACUAACUCAUUAGCUACAUUGCUUGCAAGGCUUAUAGUGAUGUGCAUUACCGAGAGGGCCCAGAGAUACCUCUCCGACAAUCGGAGUGACAAAACCUAAUCUCGAAAUACGCCAACCCAACAUGUACCUUCGGAGACACCUGUAAAGCUCCUUUAUAAUCACCCAGUUACGUUGUGACGUUUGGUAGCACACAAAGUGUUCCUCCGCUAAACGGGAGUUGCAUAAUCUCAUAGUUACAGGAACAUGUAUAAGUCAUGAAGAAAGCAAUAGCAACAUACUAAACGAUCAAGUGCUAAGCUAACGGAAUGGGUCAAGUCAAUCACAUCAUUCUCCUAAUGAUGUGAUCCCGUUAAUCCAAUGACAACUCAUGUCUAUGGUUAGGAAACUUAACCAUCUUUGAUUAACGAGCUAGUCAAGUAGAGGCAUACUAGUGACACUAUGCUUGUCUAUGUAUUCACACAUGUAUUAUGUUUCCGGUUAAUACAAUUCCAGCAUGAAUAAUAAACAUUUAUCAUGAAAUAAGGAAAUAAAUAAUAACUUUAUUAUUGCGUCUAGGGCAUAUUUUAUUCAAAUGAAACCCUCGGCAGCGUGAUUUUUUGGAAGAAUAUGAUCCUGGAGACUUGGAGUCCACGUCAGAAGAUCCUCGAGGAGGCCACGAGAUAGGAGGCCAUGCCCCCCUUACAGGGUGGUGGCCCCCUGUCUCGUGGGCCCCUCGAGCACCUCUCGUCUGACUUCUUUCGCCUAUAUAAGCCUACGUACCCUAAAACCAUCGAAUAUCAAGAUGGAUCGGGAGUUCUGCCGCCGCAAGCCUCUGUAGCCACCAAAAAACUCUCGAGAGUCUGUUCCGGCACCCUGCCGGAGGGGGCACCCAUCACCGGUGGCCAUCUUCAUCAUCCCGGCACUCUCCAUGACGAGGAGGGAGUAGUUCACCCUCGGGGCUGAGGGUAUGUACCAGUAGCUAUGUGUUUGAUCUCUCUCUCUCUCUCUCUCGUGCUCUCUCUCGUGUUCCCUCUAUGGCACCAUCUUGAUGUAUCCCGAGCUUUGAUAUUGUAGUUGGAUCUUAUGAUGUUUCUCCCCCUCUACUCUCUUGUGAUGAAUUGAGUUUCCCCUUUGAAGUUAUCUUAUCGGAUUGAGUCUUUUAUGAGAACACUUGAUGUAUGUCUUGCCGUGCUUAUCUGUGGUGACAAUGGGAUAUCAUGUGCCACUUGAUGUAUGUUUUGGUGACCAACUUGCGGGUUCCGCCCAUGAACCUAUGCAUAGGGGUUGGCACACGUUUUUGAAUCUCCGGUAGAAACUUUGGGGCAUUCUUUGAAGUACUUUGUGUUGGUUGGAUGAAUCUGAGAUUGUGUGAUGCAUAUCGUAUAAUCAUGCCCACGGAUACUUGAGGUGACAAUGGAGUAUCUAGGUUACAUUAGGGUUUUGGUUGAUUUGUGUCUUAAGGUGUUAUUCUAGUACAAACUCUUUUAUAGAUCGAACCGAAAGAAUAGCUUUGAGGUGGUUUCGUACCCUACCAUAAUCUCUACGUUUGUUCUCCGCUAUUAGUGGCUUUGGAGUGACUCUUUGUUGCAUGUUGAGGGAUUGUUAUAUGAUCUAUCUAUGUUAUUAUUGUUGAAAGAACUUGCACUAGUGAAAGUAUGAACCCUAGGCCUUGUUUCCUAUCAUUGCAAUACCGUUUACGCUCACUUUUAUCAUUAGUUACCUUGCUGUUUUUAUUAUUUCAGAUUACAAAAACCUAUAUCUACCAUCCAUAUUGCACUUGUAUCACCAUCUCUUCGCCAAACUAGUGCACCUAUACAAUUUAGCAUUGUAUUGGGUGUGUUGGGGACACAUGAGACUCUUUGUUAUUUGGUUGCAGGGUUGCUUGAGAGAGACCAUCUUCAUCCUACGCCUCCUACGGAUUGAUAAACCUUAGGUUAUCCACUUGAGGGAAAUUUGCUACUGUCCUACAAACCUGUGCACUUGCAGGCCCAACAACGUCUACAAGAAGAAGGUUGUGUAGUAGACAUCUUCGAGUUUCAUCGUAAACUCAUCUUGAUGCCAUUUAUUGUUGCCAAACAAAUGUCGACGCCCCUAAUACAACUGCCUCAACAAACCACGUGGAUAAGACACCCCAACGCCGGUUUCCCAAGCGUAAUCAGCUCCGGAACGAUGCCCCCCAAAGGAGGAGAAUGACAUGAAGAUGCCUCCAUCACCCGAUCCAAGAAUCUGAGGUUUCCCUCCGGAGCCAAGGCCGUAGGGAGAAGGAUGAGCACACCUCCAUGACGACGCUUUCAAGAACGAUUGUGACAACUGUGACUAUUAGCCACUGUCUAACCUAAAGAAUGUUGAUACUCUAAAUAAACUGAUCUAGUGACUGAUUGGCUUCUGUAGGGAAGCUCUCGCGUGAACUGUGCGAACAAAUAGAGUACAAAUUGAAAUUAAAUUCAGAUGGUAUCGUGGUUUUUUUGUUUUUGAUCAAAGAAGGGCUUGCGCCUUCCGAUUUUCAUUACUGAAAACCACUAAGGUUCACAACCAAGUUCAGACUGAAAAGAAAAGACUGAAACGAAACCAUAACGACGCCGCAACAUCCCAGAAGGCCAACACCGGCCAGCCAAACCACGCAAACACCCAGAACAAGUUCACCAACUAUGACAGAAUUCAACCUACAUUGAUCAUCAUUACAGCAAAAGCAGCCAAGGAGCUAAAGGAGCCUAGCAACAAGAACAACAAAUUUCAGGUCCACCACCAUAAGAGAUUCUUCAUUCCAGCCACACUACAUUGAUCUUCCACCCUUGCUUGGCUGUGAACACCUCAUUUGCUGCCCGUUCUAGCACCCUUGCUCCCAGCUCCAGCAUUUUUAUUGACGACUCCUUUAUCUGCAGAAUGGACCAGUCAGUUAACCACCUGCACAUCAUUUUGACAAUACAGAAAGGAUCAUUUAUCCUUUUCUUUUCAAAAAUAAUUGCAUUUCUGCUUUUCCAUAUUGCCCAAAACAGGGCUGAAAUACCCACCAGAACCAUUUUCUUGUCAUCUUUAUUAAAUUUCCUAAUCUAGUCCCCAAAACAGUCUUUUACAUUUGAAGGAACAGUUUUAAACCCACACACACACAUCUGACCAAAGUCCAUAAUAAUGAAGCAGCAGAACAAGAAAAAAGCAGAUGAUCAAUUGAUUCAUCUUUCCCACAAAGAACACAAUCUUUUCCUCCCUUCCAACCUUUUUUUAACAACACAUCCCUAGUUAGAAUACUUUUUUUAUUAACUAACCAUAAAAACACUAUCAGUUUUGCAGGUAACUUGGACUUCCAUAGGUAUUUCUGUGGGAAUUUCACCCCUGCUGCAACCAAUUUCCUAUAUAAGGACCCCACAGAAAACCUAUGAUCAGCAGUGAGGGUCCAAAGAAUUUUGUCUGCACCCCUGCAUUUGAAUUUCCUCACAUCUCUUUUUGAGGCAAUUCCAAAGCCCUAGAGUCUCCCCAUAUAAGGUUCUUCUAAACUUGAAUCCAUGUCAUCCUUUGUGUAUGGCCUCUUCCACAGUAAUAUUGUGGUCAAAACUUAUAUCAUAUAGUCUAGGAUAAGCUUCUCUUAAAGGUUUAUCAUCCACCCAGGAAUAUUCCCAGAACCUAGUGCUUCUCCCAUCCCCCACCUUUUUCUUAACAAAUUUGUAAAAGAUCUCCUUAAUUUGCCGCAAGCUGGCCCAAAAUUAGGAAUCCCUAGGCCUUUUGCUCACUAGAGCCAAACAGCCACCUUUUCUAUAUUUUUCAUUCAAUAUAUCUUGCCACAUACCUUUUUCACUUUCCAUUUUCCAAAACCAUUUGGCAAGAAGUGCAAUAUUCAUUAUUUCAAGAUUCAGUAUCCCUAAACCACCUAUUUCUUUAGGUAAACAACAUUCUUUCCAUUUCACUAAGUGAUAAUUUUUGACAUUCUCAUCUUCCUGCCAUACCAAUCUGGAUCUAAAAAAAUAUGCUUUCUUAAUAAUCCCUUUGGGCAUAGCAUAGAAGGACAUAAUGAAUAAAGGUAUAUUAGUCACGCAUGCUUGCACCAGAGUGAUUCUACCUGCAAUGGAGCACAACAACUUCCCUUGCCAACAUCCACAUCUUUUUUCAAUUUUGUCAGUCACACAAUCCCAGUGUGUAUUUCUGAUCCUGGUUUCUGACACAGGCAUUCCCAAGUAUUUAAUGGGUAAAUCCCCCAUCUUACAUGUCAGAAUUUCUUGAUAAAUCAUUUGUUUCUCUUUAGCCUUGCCAAAUAACAACAAUUCACUUUUAUGAAAAUUGAUUUUGAGCCCAGACAUUUGCUCAAAAGUCCAUAGUAUAAGUUUGAGAUUUUUCACACUUUCCACCUCAUCUUUAAUCAAGAAUAUAGUAUCAUCAGCAUAUUGUAACAUAUUAAUCCCCUUUUCUUCUUUUUUAUUUAAUACCCCCUUGACCAAAUCAUGCUUCAGGGCAUUACUCAUUAAAAUGGCUAAGGCAUCAGCAGCUAUGUCAAAAAGCCAAGGUGACAUAGCAUCUCCUUGCCUUAAUCCUUUAAAAGUUCUAAAAUAUGGGCCAAUUUCAUCAUUCACUUGAAUUCCAACAUGUCCUCCUCUCAUAGUUUCCAUUACCCAGUCACACCAUUUAUCAGGAAAUCCUUUCAUUUUCAGCAUUUGAAUCACAAAGGGCCAUUUUAUCUUAUCAUAUGCCUUCUCAAAGUCUACUUUGAAUAUUAGGGCAUCUUCUUUAUUCUUGUGAAAAGAAUUCAGGGCCUCAUGCAAAAUUACAAUCCCCUCCAUUAUGUAUCUGCCCUUAAUAAAGGCAGUUUGGGUUCUGGAGAUCACAUGGGCCACACAUUUAGCCAGCCUAUUCAUCAGUACUUUAGUAAUGAUCUUAAAACUAACAUUUAGCAGGCAAAUAGGCCUAAACUUCUGAAUUUGUUUAGCAUCCUUGGUCUUUGGUAUUAAAGUAAUUAUGUCAUAAUUGAGUCUGGCAAUAUUGAUUUCUCCUUUUGCAAAACUAUCCACUAGAGCUUCCAGAUCCCAUUUAACCACUUCCCAGAAGUCUUGAUAAAAAUCAGCAGGGAACCCAUCAGGACCUGGGCUUUUGUUUCUUUUCAUCCCAAAGACAACCUGAUGUAUUUCAGUUAGGGAAAAAGGUGCCAUAAGUUCCUCUCUCUCUUGUGUAUCAAUUUUGUCCAUCUCCAUCUCUCUCAGUGAAAUGCUAGACUCUUCAGGAUGUCCAAAUAAUUCUUUAUAAAAUUUAGUAAUAUACUCCAUUAACUUCCCUUCCCCUUCUACAAUCCCUUCCUCCUGCUCUAGGGAGACAAUUCUAUUUUUCCUUCUUCUCCCAUUUACCUUAGCAUGAUAAUACCUGGUGUUUCUAUCUCCAUCUUUGAUUUCUGUAUCUUUAUAUCUCUGCAACCAUUUCAUUUCCUCUUGUAACAUCACUCUUUUCAAUUGAGCUCUAAGCUCCUUCUGUUCAUUUCUGUCCACAACACUUAGUCCCAUAAUCUCAGCUCUCUUGUCUAAAUCAUCCAGAUCUUUUAUUAUCUCCAUUUUUAUUUUUCUGUACCAAGCAUCCACAUUUCUAUUCCACCCUUUAGCUUUCUUUCUCAAUUUUCUUAAUCUUGAUUGCCAUCUAUCCAAAAUGUCCCCAUAAUAUCUCUCAUUCUAGGUAUUGUACACCAACUCUCUAAAACCCUCUCUCAGCAACCAAGCAUUUUCAUAUCUGAAAAUAUAUUUAUGCUUAUGUGCCUCCCCUGUAUCCAAGAACAAGGGGGUAUGAUCAGAGAUUUCUCUAGCAAAAGCUUGCAAUAUAGUUAGUGGAUACCUCUCCUCCCAAGCUGGGCACAUCAACACCCUGUCCAAUUUUUCAAAAGUAGGGUGAGGGAGUCCUGGAUUAGGGGGUAUCCGGACAGCCGGACUGUGUACAACGUCCGGACUAUUGAAGCAUGAAGAUACAAGACUCAAGACUUCGACCCGUGUCCGGAUGGGACUCUCCUUUGCGUGGAAGGCAAGCUUGGCGAUCCGGAUAUUAUAUUUCCUUCCUUGUAACCGACUCCAUGUAAACCCUAGCCCUCUUCGGUGUCUAUAUAAACCGGAGAGGUUGGUCCUUAGAAGGUCGAUCACAAUUACAAUCAUACCAUUGUAGGCUAGCUCUUAGGGUUUAGCCUGUACGAUCUCGUGGUAGAUCUACUCUUGUAGUACCCAUAUCAUCAAUAUUAAUCAAGCAGGAAGUAGGGUUUUACCUCCAUCGAGAGGGCACGAACCUGGGUAAACAUCUGUGUCCCUUGCUUCCUAUUACCAUCAGCCUUGACGCACAGAUCAGGACCCCCUACCUGAGAUCCGCCGGUUUUGACACCGACAUUGGUUCUUUCAUUGAGAGUUCCUCUGUGUCAUCGCCGUAAGGCUCGAUGGCUCCUUCGAUCAUCAUUGACGACGCUGUCCAGGGCGAGACUUUCCUCCCCGGACGGAUUUUCGUGUUCGGCGGCUUCGCACUGCGGGCCAAUUCGCUUGGCCACUUGGAGCAGAUCGAUAGCUCUGCCCCCGGCCACCAAGUCAAGUUCGAAAACUUGAACUACACGGCGGAUAUCCGAGGAGACUUGAUCUUCAAUGGAUUCGGGCCAGCGUCAGGAGCGCCGAACAGCCACGAUGAGCAUGGCUUAGACCUGCUGUCGGAUGAUGCUCGGGAUAUCACCCCGGCAGAAGCCUCAAAUCUAAAUCCAGGGCAGGCUGCGUCGCCUAAGGACGGAGGGCUGGACCCCGCCCCGCAGGUGUGACGCCCAGAUAAUUAAGCUACAGUAAUCCCCUGUUAAUGGUGCCAUGUCAUCAUGUUACUGUUGCUAAUCUUCACCUGAUCCUAAUCACAAUCUAAAUUCAAAUUUAAACUAAAGUCCAAAAUUCAAAUUUGUCAAACAUGGAAUCUAAAAUGUUUGAUGUAUGGCAAAUAAUCCCUGGAUAUUUGUCAUGUGGAAACCACAUUUUUAUGAUGGGUUUAAGUGCUCUAAAAAGAUUAAAACAGGGACUAGGUGUUUAAUUUAUUUAUAAAGCAAAAAAAGGGAAAGGGAAAACCCCUGGGCCUAGCCCACCUUGUCUGGCCCAGCUCCCCAACUGGACAGCCCACUUUCCCCCUCCCCUGGGCCUUGGCCCAGCUGGCCAAGCCAAGCCAGGCCAGCCCAACCCACGCCCCCACUCAUCCCCCUCCUCACGAUACAGGAGCAGGGGAGCCGUGCCAGGCAUCCAUGGCGCCCCGGCCAGGUGCCGGCCAUCCCGCGGCCCCCCGGAUGGUUAAGAGCCCCGAACCACUCCUCCCUCUCUGCCCGCUGAAACCCCAGCCCCCAAAUCCCCCUUCUCCCUCUCCCUCUUCUUCGUUUUGGAGAGGAGGCCGACGCGGUCGCCGCUGUGCCUUGCCCGUCCUCACGGCCACCGAGCCCCGUUCGUCUCGCCAUCGUGCCAUUUGUCUCCGCCGUCGUCGUCUACCCCGUCCCCGUCCGUGAGCGCAAGUCGGGAGCCACUGCAGGGAGCGGAUCGAGCUGCCCCCUUUCGCCUCUGUCGCCAGCGCCCGCCGUCAUCUCCGUCCACUGCUGCUGCUCCUAAGCUCGCACGGGGCCUUCUUGGCCACAUGGUGAGCUCCUCCCUUCUUCCCUUCCUCUUCUCCCGCCGUGCUUUUCGCCGUAGCUAGUUCGCCCGCAAGCCGAGCUCCGCCGUCCGCCAUUGCCGUCGUAGGGCUCGCCUCCGAGCUCCUCCGCUCGAGCCAGUAGCUCCGACGAGCUCCUGGGGCUCCAUAGACCUCCCCUAGCCCUUUACUUCGCUUGCACACGCGCUGUAACGCCGAUCCCGAACUCCGGCCGAACGCACCACCCGCCGCCGUCGAUGUAGCGCUCCACUCCGGCUGAGUUAGCCCAUGGGACCGCCGUAGAUCAAUGCAGCAUCGGAUGCCCGAUCGAACGCGCCUAGCCGCACCUCUCCCCGUGCCCCGUAGCGCGAUUCCGGCCAACUCCGGCGAGGCACCGCCGCUAUUUUGGUUGCCGGAGUCACUCCGGUGACGGCCGCCGACGUGGCUGGCCUGGGGACCACCCCUGAGCCACUGCCAGUGGGCCCCGCGGGUCCUAGUUGACUGGGUUGACCCAGUCAACUGCUGACCAGGCCGCCCAGUGCCACUGACUAUUGGGGAACGUAGUAAUUUCAAAAAAAUCCUACGCACACGCAAGAUCAUGGUGAUGCAUAGCAACGAGAGGGGAGAGUGUGUCCACGUACCCUCGUAGACCGUAAGCGGAAGCGUUAUGACAACGCGGUUGAUGUAGUCGUAUGUCUUCACGAUCCGACCGAUCCAAGUACCGAACGUACGGCACCUCCGAGUUCAGCACACGUUCAGCUCGAUGACAAUCCCCGGACUCCGGUCCAGCAAAGUGUCGGGGGUGAGUUCCGUCAGCACGACGGCGUGGUGACGAUGAUGAUGUUCUUCGCCUAAACUCCGCGACGAUAUGACCGAGGUGGAAUAUGGUGGAGGGGGGCACCGCACACGGCUAAGGAACGAUCUUGAAGAUCAACUUGUGUGUCAUGGGGUGCCCCCUGCCCCCGUAUAUAAAGGAGCAAGGGGGUAGGAGGCCGGCCCUAGGAGGGGGCACGCCAAGUGUGGAGUCCUACUAGGACUCCCUAGUCCUAGUAGGAUUCCACCUCCCUUGUUGGAGUAGGAGAAGGGGAAAGAGGGGGAGAGGAACAAGGAAAGGGGGGCUGCACCCCUUGUCCAAUUCGGACCAGAGGGGGGGCGCAGGCCUCCUUCCUUUUGGCCUCUCUCCUCUAUUCCCGUAUGGCCCAAUAAGGCCCAUAUACUCCCCGGCGAAUUCCCGUAACUCUCCGGUACUCCGAAAAAUACCCGAAUCACUCGGAACCUUUCCGAACUCCGAAUAUAGUCGUCCAAUAUAUCGAUCUUUACGUCUCGACCAUUUCGAGACUCCUCGUCAUGUCCCCGAUCUCAUCCGGGACUCCGAACUCCUUCGGUACAUCAAAACUCAUAAACUCAUAAUAUAUCUCUCAUCGAAACCUUAAGCGUGCGGACCCUACGGGUUCGAGAACAAUGUAGACAUGACCGAGACACGUCUCCGGUCAAUAACCAAUAACGGAACCUGGAUGCUCAUAUUGGCUCCCACAUAUUCUACGAAGAUCUUUAUCGGUCAAACCGCAUAACAACAUGCAUUGUUCCCUUUGUCAUCGGUAUGUUACUUGCCCGAGAUUCGAUCGUCAGUAUCCAAUACCUAGUUCAAUCUCGUUACCGGCAAGUCUCUUUACUCGUUACAUAAUGCAUCAUUCCGUAACUAACUCAUUAGCUACAUUGCUUGCAAGGCUUAUAGUGAUGUGCAUUACCGAGAAGGCCCAGAGAUACCUCUCCGACAAUCGGAGUGACAAAACCUAACCUCGAAGUACGCCAACCCAACAUGUACCUUCGGAGACACCUGUAGUACUCCUUUAUAAUCACCCAGUUACGUUGUGACGUUUGGUAGCACCCAAAGUGUUCCUCCGGUAAACGGGAGUUGUAUAAUCUCAUAGUUACAGGAACAUGUAUAAGUCAUGAAGAAAGCAAUAGCAACAUACUAAACGACCAAGUGCUAGGCUAACGGAAUGGGUCACGUCAAUCACAUCAUUCUCCUAAUGAUGUGAUCCCGUUAAUCAAAUGACAACUCAUGUCUAUGGUUAGGAAACUUAACCAUCUUUGAUUAACGAGCUAGUCAAGUAGGGGCAUACUAGUGACACUAUGUUUGUCUAUGUAUUCACACAUGUAUUAUGUUUCCGGUUAAUACAAUUCUAGCAUGAAUAAUAAACAUUUAUCAUGAAAUAAGGAAAUAAAUAAUAACUAUAUUAUUGCCUCUAGGGCAUAUUUCCUUCAGUCUCCCACUUGCACUAGAGUCAAUAAUCUAGUUCACAUCACCAUGUGAUUUAACACCAAUAUUCAUAUCUGUAUAUGAUUAACACCCAUAGUUCACAUCAUCAUGUGACCAACACCCAAAGGGUUUACUAGAGUCAAUAAUCUAGUUCACAUCGCUUAUGUGAUUAACACCCAAAGAGUACUAAGGUGUGAUCAUGUUUUGCUCAUGAGAGAAGCUUAGUCAACGGGUCUGUCACAUUCAGAGCCGUAUGUAUUUUGCAAAUAUUCUAUGUCUACAAUGCUCUGCACGGAGCUACUCUAGCUAAUUGCUCCCACUUUCAAUAUGUAUCCAGAUUAAGACUUAGAGUCAUCUGGAUCAGUGACAAAACUUGUAUCGACGUAACCUUUUACGACGAACCUUUUUUCACCUCCAUAAUUGAGAAACAUAUCCUUAUUCCACUAAGGAUAAUUUUGACCAAUGUCCAGUGAUCUACUUCUAGAUCACUAUUGUACUCCCUUGCCAAACCAGAGCAGAGUAUACGAUAGGUCUGGUCCAUAGCAUGGCAUACUUUAUAGAACCUAUGACUGAGGCAUAGGGAAUGACUUUCAUUCUCUUUUUCUAUUUUCUGACGUGGUCGGGAUUUGAGUCUUACUCAAUUUCACACCUUUGCAACACAGGCAAGAACUUUUUCUUUGACUGUUCCAUUUUAAACUACUUCAAAAUCUUGACAAGGUAUGUACUUAUUGAAAAACUUAUCAAGCGUCUUGAUCUAUCUCAAUAGAUCUUGAUGCUCAAUAUGUAAGUAGCUUUACUAAGGUCUUUCUUUUAAAGAACUGCUUUCAAAUACUCCUUUAUGAUUUCCAGAAAAAUUCUACAUCAUUUCUGAUCAACAAUAUGUUACUCAAAUAUAUUUAUCAAAAAGGCGGUAGUGCUCCCACUCACUUUAUUGUAAAUACAGGCUUCACCGCAAGUCUGUAUAAAACUAUAUGCUUUGAUCAACUUAUCAAAGCGUAUAUUCCAAUUCUGAGAUGCUUGCACCCGUCCAUAGAUGGAUCGCUGGAGCUUGCACAUUUUGUUAGCACCUUUAAGAUUGACAAAACCUUCUGGUUGCAUCAUAUACAACUCUUCUUUAAGACAACCAUUAAUGAAUGUAGUUUUGACAUCCAUUUGCCAGAUUUCAUAAAAUGUGGCAAUUGCUAACAUGAUUCGGACAGACUUAAGCAUCGCUACAGUUGAGAAAAUCUCAUUGUAGUCAACACCUUGAACUUGUCGAAAACCUUUUUGCGACAAGUCGAGCUUUGUAGAUAGUAACACUACUAUCAGCAUAUGUCUUCCUCUUGAAGAUCCAUUUAUACAAUAUGGCUUGCCGAUCAUCGGGCAACUCCACCAAAGUCCACACUUUGUUCUCAUACAUGGAUCCUAUCUCAUAUUUCAUGGCCUCCAGCCAUUUUGCGGAAUCUGGGCUCAUCAUCGCUUCCUCAUAGUUCGUAGGUUUAUCAUGGUCUAGUAACAUGACUUUCAAAACGGGAUUAUCGUACCACUCUGGUGCGGACCGUACUCUGGAGGACCUACGAGGUUCUAUAGUAACUUGAUCAGAAGUUUCAUGAUCAUCAUCAUUAGCUUCCUCACUAAUUGGUGUAGGAAUCAUUGGAACUAAUUUCAGUGAUGAACUAUUUUCCAAUUCAGGAGAAGGUACAAUUACCUUAUCAAGUUCUACUUUCCUCCCACUCACUUCUUUCGAGAGAAACUCCUUCUCUAGAAAGGAUCCAUUCUUAGCAACGAAUGUUUUGCCUUCGGGUCUAUGAUAGAAGGAGUACCCAACAAUUUCCUUUGGGUAUUCUAUGAAGACGCACUUCUCCGAUUUGGGUUUGAGCUUAUCAGGUUGAAAACCUUUUUCAUAUAAGUAUCACAACUCCAAACAUUAAGAAACGACAGCUUAGGUUUACUGCUAAACCAUAGUUCAUAAGGUGUCGUCUCAAUGGAUUUAGAUGGUGCCCUUUUAACGUGAAUGUAGCUGUCUCUAAUGCAUAACCCCAAAACAAUAGUGGUAAAUCAGUAAGAGACAUCAUAGAUCACACCAUAUCCAAUAAAGUGUGGUUACGAUGUUCGGACACACCAUAACGUUGUGGUGUUCCAGGUGGCGUGAGUUGUGAAACUAUUCCACAUUGUUUUAUAUGAAGGCCAAACUCGUAACUCAAAUAUUCGUCUCCGCGAUCAGAUCGCAGAAACUUUUAUUUUCUUGUUACGAUGAUUUUUCCAUUUCACUCUGAAAUUCUUUGAACCUUUCAACUAUCUCAGACUUAUGUUUCAUCAAGUAGAUAUACCCAUAUCUGCUCAAAUCAUCUUGUGAAGGUCAGAAAAUAACGAUACUUGCCACGAGCAUCAUACUCAUUGGUCUGCAUACAUCAGUAUGUAUUAUUUCCAACAAGUCAGUAGCUCGUUCCAUUGUUCUGAAGAACGGAGUUUUAGUCAUCUUGCCCAAAAAGCACGGUUCGCAAGCAUCAAAUGAUUCAUAACCAAGUGAUUCCGAAAAUCUAUCUUUAUGGAGUUUCUUCAAGCGCUUUACACCGAUAUGACCCAAACGGCAGUGCCACAAAUAAGUUGCACUAUCAUUAUUAACUUUGCAUCUUUUAACAUCAAUAUUAUGAAUAUGCGUAUCACUACGAUCGAGAUCCAACAAACUAUUUUCAACAGGUGUAUGACCAUUGAAGGUUUUAUUCAUGUAAACAGAACAACAAUUAUUCUCUGAUUUUAAAUGAAUAACCGUAUUGCAAUAAACAUGAUCAAAUCAUAUUUAUGCUCAACGCAAACGCCAAAUAACAUUUAUUUAGCUUUAACACUAAUCCCAAAAAUAUAGGGAGUGUGCAAUGAUGAUAAUAUCAAUCUUGGAACUACUUCCAACACUCAUCGUCACUUCCCCUUCAACUAGUCUUAGUUUAUUCUGUAACUCCUGUUUCGAGUUACUAAUCUUAGCAACCGAACAAGUAUCAAAUACUCAGGGGCUACUAUAAACACUAGCAAGGCAUAUAUCAAUAACCUGUAUAUCAAAUAUACCCUUGUUCACUUUACCAUCCUUCUUAUCCACCAAAUGUUCAGGGCAUUUCCGCUUCCAGUGACCAUUUCCUUUGCAGUGUAAGCACUCAGUUUCAGGCUUUGGUCCAGCUAUGGUCUUCUUCACGGGAGUGACAACUUGCUUGUCAUUCUAGUUGAAGUUACCUUUCUUUCCCUUUGCCCUUCUCUUGAAACUAGUGGUCUUGUCAAUCAUCAACACUUUAUGCUCUUUCUUGAUUUCUACUUUCGUCGAUUUCAACAUCACGAAGAGCUCGAGAAUCGUUUUCGUCAUCCCCUGCAUACUAUAGUUCAUCACGAAGUUCUAGUAACUUAGUGAUGGUGACUAGAGAAUUCUGUCAAUCACUAUCUUAUCUGGAAGAUUAACUCCCACUUGAUUCAAGCGAUUGAAGUACCCAGACAAUCUGAGCACAUGCUCACUAGUUGAGCGAUUCUCCUCCAUCUUUUAGCUAUAGAACUUGUUGGAGACUUCAUAUCUCUCAACUCGGGUAUUUGCUUGAAAUAUUAACUUCAAUUCUUGUUGGAAAUAUGCCCUAGAGGCAAUAAUAAAAGGUUAUUAUUAUAUUUCCUUAUUCAUGAUAAUUGUAUUUAUUCAUGCUAUAACUGUAUUAUCCGGAAAUCGUAAUACACGUGUGAAUACAUAGACCAUAAUAUGUCCCUAGUAAGCCUCUAGUUGACUAGCUCGUUGAUCAACAGAUAGUCAUGGUUUCCUGGCUAUGGACAUUGGAUGUCGUUGAUAACGGGAUCACAUCAUUAGGAGAAUGAUGUGAUGGACAAGACCCAAUCCUAAGCAUAGCACAAGAUCGUGUAGUUCGUUUGCUAGAGCUUUUCCAAUGUCAAGUAUCCUUUCCUUAGACCAUGAGAUCGUGUAACUCCCGGAUACCGUAGGAGUGCUUUGGGUGUACCAAACGUCACAAUGUAACUGGGUGACUAUAAAGGUGUACUACAGGUAUCUCCGAAAGUGUCUGUUGGGUUGACACGGAUCGAGACUGGGAUUUGUCACUCCGUAUGACGGAGAGGUAUCUCUGGGCCCACUCGGUAAUGCAUCAUCAUAAUGAGAUCAAAGUGACCAAGUGUUUGGUCGCGGGAUCAUGCAUUAUGGUAUGAGUAAAGUGACUUGCCGGUAACGAGACUGAACGAGGUAUUGGGAUACCGACGAUCGAGUCUCGGGCAAGUAACGUACCGAUUGACAAAGGGAAUUGUAUACGGGGUUGAUCGAAUCCUCGACAUCGUGGUUCAUCCGAUGAAAUCAUCGAGGAGCAUGUGGGAGCCAACAUGGGUAUCCAGAUCCCGUUGUUGAUUAUUGACCGGAGAGUCGUCUCGGUCAUGUCUGUAUGUCUCCCGAACCUGUAGGGUCUACACACUUAAGGUUCGGUGACGCUAGGGUUAUUAGGAAGACUUGUAUGUGAUUACCGAAUGUUGUUCGGAGUCCCGGAUGAGAUCCUGGACGUCACGAGGAGUUCCGGAAUGGUCCGGAGGUGAAGAUUUAUAUAUGGGAAGUUGUCAUGCGGACACCGGAAAGUUUCGGGGGCAUAUCGGUAUUGUAUCGGGGCCGCCGGAGAGGUUCCGGGGGUCCACCGGGAGGGGCCACCCCUCUUGGAGGGCCUCAUGGGCCGCAAGGGGCAGGGAACCAGCCCCUGGAGGACUGGGCGCCCCCCUUUGGGCCCAUGCGCCUAGGGUUGGGGGGAAACCCUAGUGGGGGCGCCCCCUUUGCUUGGGGGGCAAGCCCCCCUCCUUGGCCGUCGUCCCCCCUCUAGAUCUCAUCUAGAGGGGCCGGCCCCCCUUGCCCCUUCCCCUAUAAAUAGAGGGGUGAGGGGAGGGCUGCAACACACAACCAAGGCGCAGCCCCUCCCCUCCCCAACACCUCUCCUCCUCCGUCACGAGCUUGGCGAAGCCCUACCGGAGUACUGCCGCUCCACCACCACCACGCCGUCGUGCUGCUACUGGAGCCAUCUUCCUCAACCUCUCCUUCUCCCUUCUUGGAUCAAGAAGGAGGAGAAGUCGUCCGUUCCGUACGUGUGUUGAACGCGGAGGUGCUGUCCAUUCGGCACUUGGUCAUCGGUGAUCUGAAUUACGGCGAGUACGACUCCAUCAUCACCGUUCCCUUGAACGCUUCCGCACGCGAUCUACAAGUGGUAUGUAGAUGCAAUCUCUCUCCCUUGACUCGUUGCUUAGAUGAACUCAUAGAUGGAUCUUGGUGAAACCGUAGGAAAAAUUUUAAUUUUCUGCAACGUUCCCCAACAGUGGCAUCAUGAGCUAGGUCUAUGCGUAGUUCUCUAUUGCACGAGUAGAACACAAUUUUGUUGUGGGCGUACUUGUCAACUUGCUUGCCGCUACUAGUCUUAUCUUGCUUCAGCGGUAUUGUGGGAUGAAUCUGCCCGGACCAACCUUACACGUACGCUUACGUGAGACAGGUUCCACCGACUGACAUGCACUAGUUGCAUAAGGUGGCUAGCGGGUGUCUGUCUCUCCCACUUUAGUUGGAGCAGAUUCGACGAAAAGGGUCCUUAUGAAGGGUAAAUAGAAGUUGACAAAUCACGUUCUGGCUUUAACGUAGGUAAGAAAACGUUCUUGCUAGAUCACCUAUAGAAGCCACAUAAAAACUUGCAACAACAAUUAGAGGACGUCUAACUUGUUUUUGCAGCAAGUGUCUUGUGAUGUGAUAUGGCCAAAAGUUGUGAUGAAUGAUGAAUGAUAUAUUGUGAUGUAUGAGAUCAUGUUCUUGUAAUAGGAAUCACGACUUGCAUGUCGAUGAGUAUGACAACCGGCAGGAGCCAUAGGAGUUGUCUUUAUUUUUUGUAUGACCUGCGUGUCAUUGAAGAAUGCCAUGUAAAUUACUUUACUUUAUUGCUAAACGCGUUAGCCAUAGAAGUAGAAGUAGUCGUUGGCGUGACAACUUCAUGAAGACACGAUGAUGGAGAUCAUGAUGAUGGAGAUCAUGGUGUCAUGCCGGUGACAAAGAUGAUCAUGGAGCCCCGAAGAUGGAGAUCAAAGGAGCUAUAUGAUAUUGGCCAUAUCAUGUCAUUACUAUAUAAUUGCACGUGAUGUUUAUUAUGUUUAUGCAUCUUGUUUACUUAGAACGACGGUAGUAAAUAAGAUGAUCCCUUAUAAUAAUUUCAAGAAGUGUUCUCCCCUAACUGUGCGCCGUUGCUGAAGUUCGUCGCUUCGAAGCACCACGUGAUGAUCGGGUGUGAUAGAUUCUUACGUUCACAUACAACGGGUGUAAGACAGUUUUACACAUGCAAAAACACUUAGUGUUAACUUGACCAGCCUAGCAUGUACAGACAUGGCCUCGGAACACAGAGACCGAAAGUUCGAACACGAGUCGUAUGGAAGAUACGAUCAACAUGGAGAUGUUCACCGACGAUGACUAGUCCGUCUCACGUGAUGAUCGGACACGGCCUAGUCGACUCGGAUCGUGUAACACUUAGAUGACUAGAGGGAUGUCUAAUCUGAGUGGGAGUUCAUUAUAAUAAUUUGAUUAGAUGAACUUAAUUAUCAUGAACUUAGUCUAAAACCUUUGCAAAUAUGUCUUGUAGAUCAAAUGGCCGCCGCUUAUGUCAACAUGAACUUCAACGCGUUCCUAGAGAAAACCAAGAUGAAAGAUGAUGGCAGCAACUAUACGGACUGGGUCCGGAACCUGAGGAUCAUCCUCAUAGCUGCCAGGAAACAAUAUGUCCUAGAAGGACCGCUAGGUGAUGCACCCGUCCUAGAGAACCAAGACGUUAUGAAUGCUUGGCAGUCUUGCGCUGAUGAUUACUCCCUCAUUCAGUGCGGCAUGCUUUACAGCUUAGAACCGGGGCUCCAAAAGCAUUUUGAGCAACACAGAGCAUAUGAGAUGUUCGAGGAGCUGAAACUAGUUUUCCAAGCUCAUGCCUGGGUCGAGAGAUAUGAAGUCUCCGACAAGUUCUAUAGUUGUAAGAUGGAGGGAAAUAGUUCUGCUAGUGAGCACAUACUCAAAAUGUCUGGGUUGCACAACCACCUGUCCUAGCUGGACAUUAACCUCCCGGACGAGGCGGUCAUUGACAAAAUCCUUCAGUCACUCCCACCAAGCUACAAGAGCUUUGUGAUGAACUACAAUAUGCAAGGGAUGGUGAAAACCAUUCCUGAAGUAUUUUCAAUGCUGAAGUCAGCAGAGGUAGAAAUCAAGAAAGAACAUCAAGUGUUGAUGGUCAAUAAAACCACUAAGUUCAAGAAGGGCAAGGCCAAGAAGAACUUCAAGAAAGACGGCAAGGAUGUUGCCGCGCCCGGUAAGCCAGUUGCCGGGAAGAAGUCAAAGAAUGGACCCAAGCCUGAGACUGAGCGCUUUUAUUGCAAAGGGAAGGGUCACUGGAAGCGGAACUGCCCCAAAUACUUAGCGGACAAGAAGGCUGGCAACACCAAAGGUAUAUUUGAUAUACAUGUAAUUGAUGUGUACCUUACCAAUACUCGUAGUAACUCCUGGGUAUUUGAUACCGGUGCCGUUGCUCAUAUUUCUAACUCACAGCAGGAGCUGCGGAAUAAGCGGAGACUGGUGAAGGACGAGGUGACGAUGCGCGUCGGGAAUGGCUCCAAGGUCGAUGUAAUCACCGUCGGCACGCUACCUCUACAUUUACCUACGGGAUUAGUUUUAAACCUUAAUAAUUGUUAUUUAGUGCCAAGUUUGAGCAUGAACAUUGUAUCUGGAUCUCGUUUGAUACGAGAUGGCUACUCAUUUAAAUCCGAGAAUAAUGGUUGUUCUAUUUAUAUGAGAGAUAUGUUUUAUGGUCAUGCCCCGAUGGUCAAUGGUUUAUUCUUAAUGAAUCUCGAACGUAAUGUUACACAUACUCAUAGUGUGAAUACCAAAAGAUGUAAAGUUGAUAACGAUAGUCCCACAUACUUGUGGCACUGCCGCCUUGGUCACAUUGGUGUCAAGCGCAUGAAGAAGCUCCAUGCUGAUGGACUUUUAGAGUCUCUCGAUUAUGAAUCAUUUGACACAUGCGAACCAUGCCUCAUGGGCAAAAUGACCAAGACUCCGUUCUCCAGAACAAUGGAGCGAGCAACCAACUUGUUGGAAAUCAUACAUACCGAUGUGUGCGGUCCAAUGAGCAUUGAGGCUCGCGGAGGAUAUCGUUAUGUUCUCACUCUAACUGAUGACUUGAGUAGAUAUGGGUAUGUCUACUUAAUGAAACACAAGUCUGAGACCUUUGAAAAGUUCAAGGAAUUUCAGAAUGAGGUAGAGAAUCAACAAGACCGAAAGAUAAAGUUCCUAUGAUCAGAUCGUGGGGGAGAAUAUUUAAGUCACAAAUUUGGUACGCACUUAAGGAAAUGUGGAAUCGUUUCACAACUCAUGCCGCCUGGAACACCUCAGCGUAAUGGUGUGUCCGAACGUCGUAAUCGCACUCUAUUGGAUAUGGUGCGGUCUAUGAUGUCUCUUACCGAUUUACCGCUAUCAUUUUGGGGAUACGCUCUAGAGACAGCUACAUUCACUUUAAAUAGGGCACCGUCUAAAUCCGUUGAGACGACACCGUAUGAAUUAUGGUUUGGGAAGAAACCUAAGUUGUCGUUUCUAAAAGUUUGGGGAUGCAAUGCUUAUGUCAAGAAACUUCAACCUGAAAAGCUCGAACCCAAGUCGGAAAAAUGCGUCUUCAUAGGAUACCCUAAGGAAACCAUUGGGUAUACCUUCUACUUAAGAUCCGAGGGCAAGAUCUUUGUUGCCAAGAACGGAUCCUUUCUGGAAAAGGAGUUUCUCUUGAAAGAAGUAAGUGGGAGGAAAGUAGAACUCGAUGAAGUACUACCUCUUGAACAGGAAAGUAGUGCAGCUCAGGAAAAUGUUCCUGUGAUGCCUACACCGACUGGAGAGGAAAAUAAUGAUGAUGAUCAAGGUACUUCGGAUCAAGUUGCUACUGAACUUCGUAGGUUCACAAGGACACGUUCCGCACCAGAGUGGUACGGCAACCCUGUCCUGGAAAUCAUGUUGUUAGACAACGGUGAACCUUCGAACUAUUAAGAAGCGAUGGCGGGCCCAGAUUCCAACAAAUGGCUUGAAGCCAUGAAAUCCGAGAUAGAAUCCACGUAUGAAAACAAAGUAUGGACUUUGACAGACUUGCCCGAUGAUCGGCGAGCGAUAGAAAACAAAUGGAUCUUUAAGAAGAAGACGGACGCGGAUGGUAAUGUUACCAUCUAUAAAGCUCGACUUGUCGCUAAGGGUUAUCGAUAAGUUCAAGGGAUUGACUACGAUGAGACAUUCUCUCCCGUAGCGAAGCUGAAGUCCGUCUGAAUCAUGUUAGCAAUUGCCGCAUACUAUCAUUAUGAGAUAUGGCAGAUGGACGUCAAAACGGCAUUCCUCAACGGACAUCUUAAGGCAGAGCUGUAUAUGAUGCAGCCGGAAGGUUUUGUCGACCCUAAGAAUGCUAACAAAGUAUGCAAGCUCCAGCGAUCCAUUUAUGGGCUGGUGCAAGCAUCUCGGAGUUGGAACAUUCGCUUUGAUGAGAUGAUCAAAGCGUUUGGGUUUAUGCAGACUUAUGGAGAAGCCUGCGUUCACAAGAAAGUGAGUGGGAGCUCUGUAGCAUUUCUCAUAUUAUAUGUAGAUGACAUACUCUUGAUGGGAAAUGAUAUAGAACUUUUGGACAACAUUAAGGCCUACUUGAAUAAGUGUUUUUCAAUGAAGGACCUUGGAGAAGCUGCUUACAUAUUAGGCAUCAAGAUCUAUAGGGAUAGAUCGAGACGCCUCAUAGGUCUUUCACAAAGCACAUACCUUGAUAAGAUUUUGAAGAAGUUCAAAAUGGAUCAGUCCAAGAAAGGGUUCUUGCCUGUAUUGCAAGGUGUGAGACUGAGCUUGGCUCAAUGCCCGACCACAGCAAAAGAUAAAGAAGAGAUGAGUGUCAUCCCCUAUGCUUCAGCCAUAGGAUCUAUUAUGUAUGCCAUGCUGUGUACCAGACCUGAUGUAAACCUUGCCGUAAGUUUGGUAGGAAGGUACCAAAGUAAUCCCAGCAAGGAACACUGGACAGCGGUCAAGAAUAUCCUGAAGUACCUGAAAAGGACAAAGGACAUGUUUCUCGUUUAUGGAGGUGACGAAGAGCUCGUCGUAAAGGGUUACGUCGACGCUAGCUUCGACACAGAUCUGGAUGACUCUAAGUCACAAACCGGAUACGUGUAUAUGUUGAAUGGUGGAGCAGUAAGCUGGUGCAGCUGCAAGCAGAGCGUCGUGGCGGGAUCUACAUGUGAAGCGGAGUACAUGGCAGCCUCGGAGGCAGCGCAUGAAGCAAUCUGGGAGAAGGAGUUCAUCACCGACCUAGGAGUCAUACCCAAUGCGUCGGGACCGAUCAAACUCUUUUGUGACAACACUGGAGCUAUUGCCCUUGCCAAGGAGCCCAGGUUUCACAAGAAGACCAGGCACAUCAAGCGUCGUUUCAACUCCAUCCAUGAAAAUCUUCAAGAUGGAGACAUAGAUAUUUGCAAAGUACAUACGGAUCUGAAUGUCGCAGAUCCGUUGACUAAACCUCUCUCGCGAGCAAAACAUGAUCAACACCAGAACUCUAUGGGUGUUCGAUUCAUCACAAUGUAACUAGAUUAUUGACUCUAGUGCAAGUGGGAGACUGUUGGAAAUAUGCCCUAGAGGCAAUAAUAAAAGGUUAUUAUUAUAUUUCCUUAUUCAUGAUAAUUGUCUUUAUUCAUGCUAUAACUGUAUUAUCCGGAAAUCGUAAUACACGUGUGAAUACAUAGACCAUAAUAUGUCCCUAGUAAGCCUCUAGUUGACUAGCUCGUUGAUCAACAGAUAGUCAUGGUUUCCUGGCUAUGGACAUUGGAUGUCGUUGAUAACGGGAUCACAUCAUUAGGAGAAUGAUGUGAUGGACAAGACCCAAUCCUAAGCAUAGCACAAGAUCGUGUAGUUCGUUUGCUAGAGCUUUUCCAAUGUCAAGUAUCCUUUCCUUAGACCAUGAGAUCGUGUAACUCCCGGAUACCGUAGGAGUGCUUUGGGUGUACCAAACGUCACAACGUAACUGGGUGACUAUAAAGGUGCACUACAGGUAUCUCCGAAAGUGUCUGUUGGGUUGACACAGAUUGAGACUGGGAUUUGUCACUCCGUAUGACGGAGAGGUAUCUCUGGACCCACUCGGUAAUGCAUCAUCAUAAUGAGCUCAAAGUGACCAAGUGUUUGGUCACGGGAUCAUGCAUUAUGGUAUGAGUAAAGUGACUUGCCGGUAACGAGACUGAACGAGGUAUUGGGAUACCGACGAUCGAGUCUCGGGCAAGUAACGUACCGAUUGACAAAGGGAAUUGUAUACGGGGUUGAUCGAAUCCUCGACAUCGUGGUUCAUCCGAUGAAAUCAUCGAGGAGCAUGUGGGAGCCAACAUGGGUAUCCAGAUCCUGCUGUUGGUUAUUGACCGGAGAUUCGUCUCGGUCAUGUCUGCAUGUCUCCCGAACCCAUAGGGUCUACACACUUAAGGUUCGGUGACGCUAGGGUUAUUAGGAAGACUUGUAUGUGAUUACCGAAUGUUGUCCGAAGUCCCGGAUGAGAUCCUGGACAUCACGAGGAGUUCCGGAAUGGUCCGGAGGUGAAGAUUUAUAUAUGGGAAGUUGUCAUGCGGACACCGGAAAGUUUCGGGGGCAUAUCGGUAUUGUACCGGGGCCACCGGAGAGGUUCCGGGGGUCCACCGGGAGGAGCCACCCCUCUCGGAGGGCCUCAUGGGCCGCAAGGGGCAGGGAACCAGCCCCUGGAGGGCUGGGCACCCCCCCCCCCUUGGGCCCAUGCGCCUAGGGUUGGGGGGGAAACCCUAGUGGGGGCGCCCCCCUUUGCUUGGGGGGCAAGCCCCCCUCCCUGGCCGCCGCCCCCCUCUAGAUCUCAUCUAGAGGGGCCGGCCCCACUUGCCCCUUCCUCUAUAAAUAGAGGGGUGAGGGGAGGGCUGCAACACACAACCAAGCCGCAGCCCCUCCCCUCCCCAACACCUCUCCUCCUCCGUCACGAGCUUGGCGAAGCCCUGCCGGAGUACUGCUGCUCCACCACCACCACGCCGUCGUGCUGUUGCUGGAGCCAUCUUCCUCAACCUCUCCUUCUCCCUUGCUGGAUCAAGAAGGAGGAGACUUCAUCCGUUCCGUACGUGUGUUGAACGCGGAGGUGCUAUCCGUUCGGCACUUGGUCAUCGGUGAUCUGAAUCACGGCGAGUACGACUCAAUCAUCACCGUUCCCUUGAAUGCUUCCGCACGCGAUCUACAAGUGGUAUCUAGAUGCAAUCUCUCUCCCUUGACUCGUUGCUUAGUUGAACUCAUAGAUGGAUCUUGGUGAAACCGUAGGAAAAAAUUUAAUUUUCUGCAACGUUCCCCGACAAUUCCUGGAACAUCUCAUAUGGUCCAUGACGUUCAAAACGUCUUUGAAGUCCCGAUUCUAAGCCGUUAAGCAUGGUGCACUAAACUAUCAAGUAGUCAUCAUAUUGAGCUAGCCAAACGUUCAUAACGUCUGCAUCUGCUCCUGCAAUAGGUUUGUCACCUAGCGGUGCAUCAAGGACAUAAUUCUUCUGUGCAGCAAUGAGGAUAAACCUUAGAUCACGGAUCCAAUCCGCAUCAUUGCUACUAACAUCUUUCAACACAAUUUUCUCUAGGAACAUAUCAAAAUAAACAUAUGAAAGCAACAACGCAAGCUAUUGAUCUACAACAUAAUUUGCAAAAUACCACCAGGACUAAGUUCAUGAUAAAUUUAAGUUCAAUUAAUCAUAUUACUUAAGAACUCCCACUUAGAUAGACAUCACUCUAGUCCUCUAAGUGAUUACGUGAUCCAUAUCAACUACAGCAUGUUUGAUCGUCACGUGAGAUGGAGUAGUUUCAAUGGUGAACAUCAAUAUGUUGAUCAUAUCUACUAUAUGAUUCACGCUCGACCUUUCGGUCUCCGUGUUCCGAGGCCAUAUCUGUUAUAUGCUAGGCUCGUCAAGUUUAACCUGAGUAUUCCGCGUGUGCAACUGUUUUGCACCCAUUGUAUUUGAACGUAGAGCCUAUCACACCCGAUCAUCACGUGGUGUCUCAGCACGAAGAACUUUCGCAACGGUGCAUACUCAGGGAGAACACUUCUUGAUAAUUUUAGUGAGAGAUCAUCUUAAAAUGCUACCGUCAAUCAAAGCAAGAUAAGAUGCAUAAAGGAUAAACAUCACAUGCAAUCAAUAUAAGUGAUAUGAUAUGGCCAUCAUCAUCUUGUUCUUGUGAUCUCCAUCUCCGAAGCACCAUAGUGAUCACCAUUGUCACCGGCGCGACACCUUGAUCUCCAUCGUAGCAUCGUUGUCGUUACGCCAUCUAUUGCUUCUACGACUAUCGCUACCGCUUAGUGAUGAAGUAAAGCAAUUACAGGGCGUUUGCAUUUCAUACAAUAAAGCGACAACCAUAUGGCUCCUGCCAGUUGCCGAUAACUUCGGUUACAAAACAUGAUCAUCUCAUACAAUAAAAUAUAGCAUCAUGUCUUGACCAUAUCACAUCACAAAAUGCCCUGCAAAAACAAGUUAGACGUCAUCUACUUUGUUGUUGCAAAUUUUACGUGGCUGCUACGGGCUGAGCAAGAACCGUUCUUACCUACGCAUCAAAACCACAACGAUAGUUCGUCAAGUUAGUGCUGUUUUAACCUUCACAAGGACCGGGCAUAGCCACACUCGAUUCAGCUAAAGUGAGAGAGACAGACACCCGCCAGCCACCUUUAAGCACGAGUGCUCGUAACGGUGAAACUAGUCUUGCAUAAGCGUACGCGCAAUGUCGGUCCGGGCUGCUUCAUCUCACAAUACCGUUGAACCAAAGUAUGACAUGCUGAUAAGCAGUAUGACUUGUAUCGCCCACAACUCACUUGUGUUCUACUCGUGCAUAUGACAUCUACGCAUAAAACCAGGCUCGGAUGCCACUGUUGGGGAACGUAGUAAUUUCAAAAAAAUUCCUACGCACACACAAGAUCAUGGUGAUGCAUAGCAACGAGAGGGGAGAGUGUGUCCAUGUACCCUCAUAGACCGUAAGCGGAAGGGUUAUGACAACGCGGUUGAUGUAGUCGUACGUCUUCACGAUCCGACCGAUCCAAGUACCAAACGUACGGCACCUCCGAGUUCAGCACACGUUCAGCUCGAUGACAAUCCCCAGACUCCGAUCCAGCAAAGUUUAGGGGAUGAGUUCCGUCAGCAUGACGGUGCGGUGACGAUGAUGAUGUUCUACCGGCGCAGGGCUUCGCCUAAACUCCGCGACGAUAUGACCGAGGUGGAAUAUGGUGGAGGGGGGCACCGCACACGGCUAAGGAACGAUCUUGAAGAUCAACUUGUGUGUCAUGGGGUGCCCUCUGCCCCCGUAUAUAAAGGAGCAAGGGGGAGGAGGCCGGCCCUAGGAGGGGGCACGCCAAGUGUGGAGUGCCUCCUAGUAGGAUUCCACCUCCCUUGUUGGAGUAGGAGAAGGGGAAAGAGGGGGAGAGGAAGAAGGAAAGGGGGGCUGCGCCCCUUGUCCAAUUCGGACCAGAGGGGCCUCCUUCCUUUUGGCCUCUCUCCUCUAUUCCCGUAUGGCCCAAUAAGGCCCAUAUACUCCCCGGCGAAUUCCCGUAACUCUCCGGUACACCGAAAAAUACCCGAAUCAAUCAGAACCUUUCCGAACUCCGAAUAUAGUCGUCCAAUAUAUCGAUCUUUACGUCUCGACCAUUUCGAGACUCCUCGUCAUGUCCCCGAUCUCAUCCGGGACUCCGAACUCCUUCGGUACAUCAAAACUCAUAAACUCAUAAUAUAUCUGUCAUCGAAACCUUAAGCGUGCGGACCCUACGGGUUCGAGAACAAUGUAGACAUGACCGAGACACGUCUUCGGUCAAUAACCAAUAACGGAACCUGGACGCUCAUAUUGGCUCCCACAUAUUCUACGAAGAUCUUUAUCGGUCAAACCGCAUAACAACAUACGUUGUUCCCUUUGUCAUCGGUAUGUUACUUGCCCGAGAUUCGAUCGUCGGUAUCCAAUACCUAGUUCAAUCUCGUUACCGGCAAGUCUCUUUACUCGUUACAGAAUGCAUCAUUCCGUAACUAACUCAUUAGCUACAUUGCUUGCAAGGCUUAUAGUGAUGUGCAUUACCGAGAGGGCCCAGAGAUACCUCUCCGACGAUCGGAGUGACAAAACCUAAUCUCGAAAUACGCCAACCCAACAUGUAACUUCGGAGACACCUGUAGUACUCCUUUAUAAUCACCCAGUUACGUUGUGACGUUUGGUAGCACCCAAAGUGUUCCUUCGGUAAACGGGAGUUGUAUAAUCUCAUAGUUACAGGAACAUGUAUAAGUCAUGAAGAAAGCAAUAGCAACAUACUAAACGAUCAAGUGCUAGGCUAACGGAAUGGGUCAUGUCAAUCACAUCAUUCUCCUAAUGAUGUGAUCCCGUUAAUCAAAUGACAACUCAUGUCUAUGGUUAGAAAACUUAACCAUCUUUGAUUAAUGAGCUAGUCAAGUAGAGGCAUACUAGUGACACUAUGUUUGUCUAUGUAUUCACACAUGUAUUAUGUUUCCGGUUAAUACAAUUCUAGCAUGAAUAAUAAACAUUUAUCAUGAAAUAAGGAAAUAAAUAAUAACUAUAUUAUUGCCUCUAGGGCAUAUUUCCUUCACUGACAUGCGGGCCCUACCGCCUAUUUUAAAUAAUUAAAAUGUUUUAAUAAUUAAAACCUAAUUAGUUACUAAUUAGAGACUGACAUGUGGGCCCCAGUAGCUAAUUAGCCUCAGAUUAGUUUAAUCUAGACUUUGUUAAUUACAGUGGCUGACAUGUGGGCGCCACCUGUCUAGUUUGACUGGUCAGCCGACCUGUUGACCUGCUGACAUCAGCAUUGCAUCAUGCUGAUGUCAUAUUUCCCUUUUCUGUUAUUUUUUAAAUAAUUCCAGAAAAUGGUUUAAUCUUUAAAAAUUCAUAGAAAUUAAACCGUAGCUCGAAUGAAAAAGUUUUCUACAUGAAAGUUGCUCAGAACGACGAGACGAAUCUGAACAUGUGGUCCGUUCGCCCGCCACACGUCUCUAGCAUAGCAAACAUUGAACUUUUACCCUUCGGUUCAUCUGUCUGACAGACGUCCGGAACAGGGAAUACUUUCCCGGAUGUUUCCCCCUUCACCAGUAUCGCCUAGCGCUGUGUUAGAUCACGUCUAGCUCUGUCUGUUGUCCUGUUAUGCACUUGCCUGCUAUGUAUUUACUGUUUCUUCCCCCUCUUCUCUCCGGUAGACCCCGAGACUGAUGCUGAUGUCCUUGUGAUCGACUACAUCGACGAUGACCCUUCUUAUUGUCCGAGCAACCAGGCAAGCCCCCCCUUUGAUCAUCCCGAUAUCGCCCAUUCUAUACUCUCAUGCUUGCAUUAGAUUUUGCUACUGUUAUUGUUUGCUCCUAUUCUGAUGCAUUGCCUGCUUUUGUACCUGCUAUUGUUACGUACCUGCUUAUCCCAAACUGCUUAGUAUAGGUUGGAUAGUGAUCCAUCAGUGACCCCCAGUACUUGUCCUUGUUGCCCCUGCUUCAUCAUCGACGACUCGAUCAGCGUGAUAGACGACCAGAGCCCGACACCUCACAUCACAUCAUGCCCCUUUUGUUGCUCGACUCUACAGAGCUACUAUCGAGUGCCGAGGGUGAUCCCUCAUAACGCACUCCUGAUAAUUCUGUAGUGUAGCUAUUCGGUCGUGGUCAUCGAGGGUGAUUUCCUCCUUCACCAUUCCCGAUACGGCUCUGUCAUUCAACACCUCAAGUGUGAACCUCAAGGGUGGUCCCUCUUACGUUCACCUUGAUGAUUACAUUGAGUGGAAUCCUCCGUGGGUGAUUCCUCGGGUUUUCCCCUUGAUGUUUGGACACACGGUUACCUUGACUUUACUUGAGACCUUGGUGAAAGUCGGGCGGGCCCGGAGAGCACCUGCAAGAUGGUUACGUGGCACGGCCGGGCAUUCUAGGCCCUUGUCGUAAGUCCACGAGACGGGGCGACAAGGUCACUUUCGAUCGUGAUUCUCUGCUCGUGUCCGCAAGCUAAUAAUACACUAUGGUUUGGGCAUUUGUUCUGAGUUGGCCUCUGGCCUUUACGCACCAACCACCACACGAGAAUAGUUAUGGGCCUCGGCGUCGUGGUAUCAGCCGAAGCUUUGUCAGAUGUCCAGUUCAGCAGUGCGGCACGGCUGGGCCGGCACCAUCCAUGUAGAGGUGGAGCCUGGACCCGCCCUGUACGCAACGAUCCGGAGUGCAACGGGCGAUGGGCCCAGACCCCGAGUGCUUAGGAUGUAGACCGGCGAGGACCUCUCCGCUGAGCCUAGGUAGGGCUGCGAUGUGUUGAUCUUCCGAGACUGGGCAUUGACCCUAGAAAGGUGUGUCCGGCCAACGUGAUCGAGCGUGUUGGCAAACGUGGUGCACCCCUGCAGGGAAGAUUAUCUAUUAAUAGUCGUGUCCACGGUAACGAACGUUCAGACUUAUAUCCUGAUCUUAUACAACUACAAAUGGAUACUUGAGCUAUGUGGCUCCGGGAUUGCUUUCUUGCAGGGAGUCGAGGAAGGAUCUUUGGGCAUUAAUGUUACAACAUGCUUGUUAAAUAUUAAACUACUAUUCUUUACUCUUCUACAUGCUGCAAGAUGUUCGGAGCUGCGUGAAGAUGCUAGUCUUCGAUAGGCUAGGCCUUCCCCCUUCUAUUCUGGCAUUCUGCAGUUCAGUCCACAGAUUCAACCCUUCCAUUUGAUACCAAUGCAUACUUAGUAUAGAUCUGAUGCUUACGAGUACUUUGGAUGAGUACUCACAGUUUCUUUGCUACCCUUUUUCUCCCUUCUUUCUUAUUUCCGGUUGAUGCAACCAGAUGGUGGAUCCUUGGAGCUAGAUGCCACCGCCGAUGGAUGCUACUACGUGAAGAUCGCCGACGACCAGGAGUUAGUUUAGGAGGUCCCAGGCAGGAGGCCUUGCCUCUUCGAUUGUUGUUGCUUUUGUGCUAGCCUUCUUAAGGCAUCCUUGUUUAACUUAUGUCUGUACUCAGAUAUUGUUGCUUCCGCUGACUCUUGUGUAUCGAGCUAUGUAUUUGAGCCUUCGAGGCCCCUGGCUUGUAAUAUGAAGCUUGUAUUAUUUUUGAUUUGUGUCUAGAGUUGUGUUGUGAUAUCUUCCCGUGAGUCCCUUAUCUUGAUCGUACACCUUUGCGUGUAUGAUUAGUGUACGAUUGAAUCAGGGGCGUCACAAGUUGGUAUCAGAGCCGACUGCCUGUAGGAUCCUCCUUUCCAACUCCUUGGCCGAAGUUGAGUCUAGUCUUUGAAAAACUGUUUUACUAACAUGGUUGUGUGGCUUACGGGCCCACGUCGCCAUUGGGUGGUAGUAGGAUCUUUUAUUCCUCGUCCUUACUCUGGGAAUCUAAUCUCUCUUCUAUUCGGGUUAACUGAUUUUGCUAACAACUCUAGGUUCUCAUAAAUACUUUCUCCCGGAGAGCCCCUCACUCCAGAUGAUUACUUGGUGCACCAGAAGUUUCUGAAGAUACUCUCCGAAGUUUUAUCGAGACCCUUGUGCCCUUCGUUGUUGCAAUCCCUACCACUGAUAAAUCCUUAUGCGUAACUACCUAUGUUGUCAUUCAUACCUUCAUCCCCAGUUGCUCUUGUUAUUACAAGAUGUCCUAAAAUACUCUUCGAUGUUCCAAGGAUCCUUUAUGCUUGCGGCCCUGCAGUCCUUGCCGCAUGAAUACCCCUAUGGAUAAUUACUCGCUCUUAUCGAGUAUCCAUUCUUCCCCAGUUAUUCUUAUGCUUCAUAAGAUACUUUUUAAUACAAUCCGAGCUUUCGAUAACCUCUAUCGCCUAUUGCUCUAGAAGGUCUUACCUGCUUACACUCUGGUUAAUUCCAUGUGCCUAGCAGUAUCCAUUGAUGUCCUUUGUCAUUAUCACCACGAGUCUUUCGAUCUGUUAUGUCUGUGUUGCAAUCAUCAAUUGAUCCUUAUAGAUUAUCUUUCCGGCUCAGACGUCUUCCCGAACAUGAGCUGGUUCUCGACCAAUCAGAUUGCCAUCGAUUGUGCCCUAAGUCUAUUCAACUUAACCAACCAUGGUUAGAGCGUUUGCUUCUGAUCCCUUGAUUUUGAAAAUCGUAAUUCCUUUGCAUUUGAACUCUCAAUUAGUCAUUUGCUUCUAUAAUUUGAUAUCCUUGCAUUCUUUCUACCUCUGGUUGAGUAUUGAUGCUCACAUUAGAUCCCUUGUGAACCACUAGAUCCCUUGUGGGGUUCUAUCCGACAGCAUCCUUCAUAUAUAGUAACCUUGUGAGCUUUUCCGCGGAUACAUAAUGCCUUUGGUAAAUUGUAUCUUCUGCUUCCUGAACCAUGCUCUACUCUCGGGAUUGAGUUAUUUACUUGUGAAGUUUGUGGUAUAUGUUCCUCAGAUGCCCCGAUGGGUUGAAUCUUUGUAUUACCUAAAUCCGUGUGAACCUGAAGAUUAUGCGAGUUAUAUCUACUGGUGUUUCUUUGGAUAAAUUUUCAAAUUCUACAACUUCUUCGAACGUGAGAGGUGAAUGGAAAGUUGUGCAUUAGAGAAGUGGGAGUCGACCUUGAACCUUUGUGUUCAUGCCCACAGACCCGAUGUGGAACUUAUCAUGGAAGCUUCUUGUGAAAAUAAUAAUCCCUUGUGAUAAGUUCUUCUGGCACCUAUAUUUGGUCCUUUGCAACCAUGGUUCCGACCAUAUUGUUCUUCUUUGAUCCCAUUUCUCGGACAAGUUAAAGUACUUGUCUUCUUCAGAUGGUUUCACCUGUUCAACCUCUACAUUGAUAUACUUUCGGGUAUUAUCCUCUGGUAUCUCGAGAAUAUCAUGGAACUACAUAACUUCUUAUGAGUUCUUGAUCAACUAUUAUUUCUCGCUGAUUCAAAAUUUUCACUGGUUCGGAGUUGUUAGACACUCAAGAAUACAGAUAAUAGUCUAUGCUUUCCUUUCCAUUGUUUUGUUUAAUCUUUCUUGUAACCUAUCUUAUAUGAGCAGUGAUAAUUCCCUGCUUAUGUAAACACCUCGGUGUACAACUCUAUCUGUAAGGCCUUGUUACUAUUGCUGAUGACAUUGCGGUAGCCACCGAUGGACGAGAACUUUGCAUGUUGGUCCGCCUCGUCUUAACGAGCAGGAAAAUGGUUCUCUUCGUCCCUCGCCCUUGGUACCAACGUUGUUGCCAUCAUAACUGAUAGGUUGUCCUCUGAUCUGCCUUGCUAUCAUGACCGUGCAAAUGUUAGCACCCUUCCUGAUUUUUAACCCACAUGGUGGGCCCAUAACCCAUAGUUCCACAUGAUCGAAACCUGACUCUCCUGUACAUCUCUGUCUUCCAAAAUUGUUCCUCAUGCUUGGUUUCAUAUGAAAUUCAUGGCCACCUUCUUGUCAUCUAUUCUGGUAUCAGAUGCAAUACUUUUUCUCGAUGCUUUGAACCCCCUUCAUCACCUAUUUUAUGCAUCAGCUGGAUGCCUACCUGGUUGAAACUUGUUGAACCUUCUUAUAGCACUCUCGAUACGUUACCUGGUGCUUCUAAAUUCUUCUUCCUUGAGAUAACUACCAGAUGCCGAUCUUUUCAGACAUCCAUCCUUAUAGCUUCCUCCCUAUUCCACGCCUUAAAUCUCGGGAUGAGAUUUCUUGUAGUGGAGGAGAAUUGUGACGCCCGGAUAAUUAAGCUACAGUAAUCCCCUGUUAAUGGUGCCAUGUCAUCAUGUUACUGUUGCUAAUCUUCACCUGAUCCUAAUCACAAUCCAAAUUCAAAUUUAAACUAAAGUCCAAAAUUCAAAUUUGUCAAACAUGGAAUCUAAAAUGUUCGAUGUAUGGCAAAUAAUCCAUGGAUAUUUGUCAUGUGGAAACCACAGUUUUAUGAUGGGUUUAAGUGCUCUAAAAAGAUUAAAACAGGGACUAGGUGUUUAAUUUAUUUAUAAAGCAAAAAAAAAAGGGAAAGGGAAAACCCCUGGGCCUAGCCCACCUUGUCUGGCCCAGCUCCCCAACUGGACAGCCCACUUUCCCCCUCCCCUGGGCCUUGGCCCNNNNNNNNNNNNNNNNNNNNNNNNNNNNNNNNNNNNNNNNNNNNNNNNNNNNNNNNNNNNNNNNNNNNNNNNNNNNNNNNNNNNNNNNNNNNNNNNNNNNNNNNNNNNNNNNNNNNNNNNNNNNNNNNNNNNNNNNNNNNNNNNNNNNNNNNNNNNNNNNNNNNNNNNNNNNNNNNNNNNNNNNNNNNNNNNNNNNNNNNNNNNNNNNNNNNNNNNNNNNNNNNNNNNNNNNNNNNNNNNNNNNNNNNNNNNNNNNNNNNNNNNNNNNNNNNNNNNNNNNNNNNNNNNNNNNNNNNNNNNNNNNNNNNNNNNNNNNNNNNNNNNNNNNNNNNNNNNNNNNNNNNNNNNNNNNNNNNNNNNNNNNNNNNNNNNNNNNNNNNNNNNNNNNNNNNNNNNNNNNNNNNNNNNNNNNNCUCCCUCUCUCCCCGCCGAAACCCUAGCCCCCAAAUCCCAUUCUCCCUCUCCCUCUUCUUCGUUUUGGAGAGGAAGCCGACGCGGUCGCCGCCGUGCCUCGCCCGUCCUCGCGGCCACCGAGCCCCGUUCGUCUCGCCAUCGUGCCCUUCGUCUCUGCCGUCGGCGUCUACCCCGUCCCCGUCCGUGAGCGCAAGUCGGGAGCCACUUCAGGGAGCGGAUUGAGCUACCCCCUUUCGCCUCUGUCGCCAGCGCCCGCCGUCGUCUCCGUCCACUGCUGCUGCUCCUAAGCUCGCACUGGCCCUUCUUGGCCACACGGUGAGCUCCUCCCUUCUUCCCUUCCUCUUCUCCCGCCGUGCUUUUCGCCGUAGCUAGUUCGCCCGCAAGCCGAGCUCCACCGUCCACCAUUGCCGUCGUAGGGCUCGCCUCCGAGCUCCUCCACUCGAGCCAGUAGCUCCGACGAGCUCCUGGGGCUCCAUAGACCUUCCCUAGCCCUUUACUUCGCUCGCACGCGCGCUGUAACGCCGAUCCCAACUCCGGCCGAACGCGCCGCCCGCUGCCGUCGAUGUAGCGCUCCACUCCGGCUGAGUUGGCCAACGGGACGGCCGUAGAUCAAUGCGGCGUCGGACGCCCGAUCGAACGCGCCUAGCCGCACCUCUCCCCGUGCCCCGUAGCGCGAUUCCGGCCAACUCCGGCGAGGCGCCGCCGCUGUUUUGGUUGCCGGAGUCACUCCGGCGCCGGCCGCUGACGUGGCUGGCCUGGGGGCCACCCCUGAGCCACUGCCAGUGGGCCCCGCAGGUCCCAGUUGACUGGGUUGACCCAGUCAACUGCUGACCAGGCCGCCCAGUGCCACUGACAUGCGGGCCCUACCGCCUAUUUUAAUUAAUUAAAAUGUUUUAAUAAUUAAAACCUAAUUAGUUACUAAUUAGAGACUGACAUGUGGGCCCCAGUAGCUAAUUAGCCUCAGAUUAGUUUAAUCUAGACUUUGUUAAUUACAGUGGCUGACAUGUGGGCGCCACCUGUCUGGUUUGACUGGUAAGCCGAUCUGUUGACCUGCUGACAUCAGCAUUGCAUCAUGCUGAUGUCAUAUUUCCAUUUUCUGUUAUUUUUUAAAUAAUUCCAGAAAAUGGUUUAAUCUUUGAAAAUUCAUAGAAAUUAAACCGUAGCUCGAAUGAAAAAUUGUUCUACAUGAAAGUUGCUUAGAACGACGAGACGAAUCUGAUCACGUGGUCCGUUCGCCCGCCACACGUCUCUAGCAUAGCAAUCGUUGAACUUUUACCCUCCGGUUCAUCUGUCUGACAAACAUCAGGAACCGGGAAUACUUUCCCGGAUGUUUCCCCCUUCACCAGUAUCGCCUAGCGCUGCGUUAGAUCACGUCUAGCUCUGUCUGUUGUCCUGUUAUGCACUUGCCUGCUAUGUAUUUACUGUUUCUUCCCCCUCUUCUCUCCGGUAGACCCCGAGACUAAUGCUGAUGUCCUUGUGAUUGACUACGUCGACGACGACACUUCUUCUUGUCUGAGCAACCAGGCAAGCCCCCCCUUUGAUUAUCCCGAUAUCGCCCAUUCUAUACUCUCAUGCUUGCAUUAGAUUUUGCUACUAUUAUUGUUUGCUCCUAUUGUGAUGCAUAGCCUGCUUUUGUACCUGCUAUUGUUACGUACCUGCUUAUCCCAAACUGCUUAGUAUAGGUUGGAUAGUGAUCCAUCAGUGACCCCCAGUACUUGUCCUUGUUGCCCCUGCUUCAUCAUCGAUGACUCGAUCAGCGUGAACGACCAGAGCCCGACACCUCACAUCACAUCACGCCCCUUUUGUUGCUUGACUUUGCAGAGCUACUAUCGAGUGCCGAGGGUGAUCCCUCAUAAUGCACUCCUGAUGAUAAUUCUGUAGUGUAUCUAUUCGGUCGUGGUCAUCAAGGGUGAUUUCCUCCUUAACCAUUCCCGAUACGGCUCUGUCAUUCAACACCUCAAGUGUGAACCUCGAGGGUGGUCCCUCUUACGUUCACCUUGAUGAUUACAUUGAGUGGAAUCCUCCGUGGGUGAUUCCUUGGGUUUUCCCCUUGAUGUUUGGACACAUGGUUACCUUGACUUUACUUGAGACCUUGGUGAAAGUCAGGCGGGCCCGGAGAGCACCCGCAAGAUGGUUACGUGGCACGGCCGGGCAUUCUAGGCCCUUGUCGUGAGUCCACGAGAUGGGGCGACAGGGUCACUUUCGAUCGUGAGUCUCUGCUCGUCUCCGCAAGCUAAUAAUACACUAUGGUUUGGGUAUUUGUUCUGAGUUGGCCUCUGGCCUUUACGCACCAACCACCAUGCGAGAAUAGUUAUGGGCCUCAGCGUCGUGGUAUCAGCCGAAGCUUUGUCAGAUGUCCAGUUCAGCAGUGCGGCACGGCUGGCCGGCACCAUCCAUGUAGAGGUGGAGCCUGGACCCGCCCUGUACGCAACGAUCCGGAGUGCAACGGGCGAUGGGCCCAGACCCCGGAGUGCUUAGGAUGUAGACCGGCGAGGACCUCUCUACUGAGCCUAGGUAGGGCUUCGACGUGUUGAUCUUCUGAGGCCGGGCAUUGACCCUAGAAAGGUGUGUCCGGCCAACGUGAUCGAGCGUGUUGGCAAACGUGGUGCACCCCUGCAGGGAAGAUUAUCUAUUAAUAGCCGUGUCCACGGUAACGGACGUUCAGACUUAUAUCCUGAUCUUAUACAACUACAAAUGGAUACUUGAGAUAUGUGGCUCCGGGAUUGCUUUCUCGCAGGGAGUCGAGGAAGGAUCUUUGGGCAUUAAUGUUACAACAUGCUUGUUAAAUAUUAAACUGCUAUUCUUUACUCUUCUACAUGUUGCAAGAUGUUCGGAGGUGCGUGAAGAUGCUAGUCUUUGAUAGGCUAGGCCUUCCCCCUUCUAUUCUAGCAUUCUGCAGUUCAGUCCACAGAUACAACCCUUCCAUUUGAUACCAAUGCAUACUUAGUAUUGAUCUGAUGCUUGCGAGUACUUUGGAUGAGUACUCACGGUUGCUUUGCUACCCUUUUGCUCCCUUCUUUCUUCUUUCCGGUUGAUGCAACCAGAUGGUGGAUCCUUGGAGCUAUAUGCCACCGCUGAUGGAUGCUACUACGUGAAGAUCGCCGAUGACCAGGAGUUAGUUUAGGAGGUCCUAGGCAGGAGGCCUUGCCUCUUCGAUCAUUGUUGCUUUUGUGCUAGCCUUCUUAAGGCAUCCUUGUUUAACUUAUGUCUGUACUAAGAUAUUAUUGCUUCCGCUGACUCUUCUGUAUCGAGCUAUGUAUUCGAGCCUUCGAGGCCCCUGGCUUGUAAUAUGAAGCUUGUAUUAUUUUUGAUUUGUGUCUAGAGUUGUGUUGUGAUAUCUUCCUGUGAGUCCCUGAUCUUGAUCGUACACCUUUGCGUGUAUGAUUAGUGUACGAUUGAAUCGGGGGCGUCACAGCAGGCCAUACCCUCGUUGGCGAUGGAGCGGAACACAGGUCUUACCUCUGAGGAAGCCUAUGACUCCGGACCCCCGGAUUCAUAUCCGGAUGUAGGUUCCAGUCUGCGCGCCCCCAAGCCCGCCGAUCCUGGUUGGGCUCCGGUGAUGGAGUUCACCGCGGCAGACGUCUUUCAGCACUCUCCCUUUGGUGACAUGCUAGACUUAUUGAAGUCUCUCUCCUUGUCAGGAGACUACGGGCCGAACUAUGUCCGGCUCGAGUGGGAAGCAGACAACGACGGAAUUCGUUGCCCACCCACCACCCACUUCAUUGCCACGAUCGACGAUCUAAGCGAUGUGCUUGACUUUGACUCCGAAGACAUCAACGGUAUGGACGACGAUGUAGGAGAAUUACAGGAGCCACCGAAGGAAACUAAUGGCGACGAGGCAACGGAGGACAACCCCUCGGGAAGAAAAUCAAAGAAUGGGCGUCGUCGGCGCCGCUCCAAGCCCCGCCAUAGCAACACCGGCCCCGGAGACAAAAAUAAUCCGGAUGGCGCCGAAGAAGAAUAUGACCCUGACCAGCCCGCCUUCGAGCAGGCCGAACAGGAAGAUGAGCUGGUCAGCCCAGAAGAACAGGCGACAGACACAUACCCGGAGGAGGACAACUACAUGCCCCGCUCCAAAGACGAGAUCAGCCUCGGCGACGACGAAUUCGGCGUGCCUGAGGAUCCUGUGGAGCAGGAGUGCUUCAAGCGUAGGCUUAUAUCCACUGCAAGGAGCCUGAAGAAGAAGCAGCAGCAACUCCAAGUUGAUCAAGACCUGCUCACAGAUAGAUGGACUGAAGUCCUGGCAGCCGAGGAAUAUGGACUCGAAUGCCAAACGGCUGACCGGCCACCCCGUGGCCGGGAUAAAAUGGGAUAUCAGCCCGGAUACCAGCCCACACCCCCACGCCAAUACACUACGGCUCGGGGCAACAGGCAAGACCUGCAAGAUAUUCUGGAAAAUAAAGCAGGACAACGAAGAUCGAUCUACGGAUCGCGGGGGCGCGCCCCAGCGUGCGACGAUGACCGUCGCGCCGGAUACAUCAUCAACAAGUCCGGCCGGGCCGAACACAGCAACCCAGACCAAUCCGACCUGUGUAGCCACAUAGCCUGGCACAGAGGCGCCGCACACCCCCUCUGCUUCACUGGCGAAGUAAUGGAUCAUGAAUUCCCAGAAGGGUUCAAACCCGUAAACAUCGAAUCAUUCAAUGGCACAACAGACCCCACAGUAUGGAUCAAAGAUUUCCUUCUCCACAUUCACAUGGCCCACGGAGAUGAUCUAAAUGCCAUCAAGUAUCUUCCCCUUAGGCUCAAAGGACCAGCCCAACACUGGUUAAACAACCUGCCAGCAAAUUCCAUUGGCAGUUGGGAAAACCUGGAAGACGCAUUCCUUGAUAUCUUCCAGGGCACAUAUGUGCGACCACCAGACACUGAUGACCUGAGCCACAUUACUCAACAACCCGGAGAGUCAGCCCGGAAAUUCUGGACUCGGUUCCUUACUAAAAAGAACCAGAUAGUCGACUGUCCGGACGCCGAAGCCCUAGCGGCUUUCAAGCAUAAUAUCCGUGACGAGUGGCUCGCUCGACACCUCGGCCAGGAAAAACCCAAGUCUAUGGCAGCUCUCACAACCCUAAUGAUCCGCUUUUGCGCAGGUGAGGAUAGCUGGCUGGCUCACAGCGGCACCACGCCACAUUCCGGCACUUCGGACGGCCGCGAUGCUAACGGCAAGCCACGGCGUAACUGGCAUAAGAGACGGAGCAACGGCGACAGCAUUGAAGACACAGCGGUCAACGCCGGAUUCAGCGGAUCUAAGUCCGGUCAGCGGAAAAAGGCGUUCAAAAGAAAAAAUCAGGGACCGUCCAGCCUGGACCGCAUACUAGAGCGCUCGUGCCAAAUUCAUGGCACCCCGGAUAAGCCAGCCAACCACACCAAUAGAGACUGCUGGGUGUUCAAACAGGCCGGUAAGAUAAAUGCCAAAAACAAGGACAAGGGGCUGCACAGCGACGAUGACGAAGAGCCCCGGCGUCCGAAUACGGGGGGACAAAAGAAAUUUCCCCCCGGGUGAAAACGGUCGACAUGAUCUACGCCACCCACAUCCCCAAGCAGGAAUGGAAGCAGGUACUACGGGACGUCUAUGCGAUGGAGCCAGUCGCCCCCAAGUUCAACCCAUGCUCAGCUUGUCCGAUCAUCUUUGACCGUAGGGACCACCCUACUAGCAUCCGUCAUGGCGGCUCAGCCGCAUUGGUCUUAGACCCAAUCAUCGACGGAUUCCACCUCACGCGUGUCCUUAUGGACGGUGGCAGCAGCCUGAACCUGCUUUAUCAGGACAGAGUGCGCAAGAUGGGCAUUGAUCCUUCAAGGUUCAAGCCCACCAAAACUACCUUUAAAGGUGUAAUUCCUGGAGUAGAAGCCCCCUGCAUGAGCUCUAUAACACUGGAAGUGGUCUUCGGAUCCCUGGAUAACUUCAGGAGCGAAGAGCUAAUCUUCGACAUCGUCCCUUUCCGCAGUGGCUACCACGCACUGCUCGGAUGAACCGCAUUCGCUAGAUUCAAUGCGGUACCACAUUAUGCAUACCUCAAGCUCAAGAUGCCAGGACCGCGCGGGGUCAUCACUGUCAAUGGAAAUGUGGACGGCAGCCCUUGCGGCAGAAGUACAAUGCGGCCUACUCCGACAAACCAAUCCGGCGACAACCUCGAGCACAGUCAAGCGAGUCCGGAGUGCCCCGCAACAGGAUCAUCAGGAAUGCCAAGAGCGUGAUUAGCAGUCUGGCCUCUGCUCAAGCCCCUUCAAAGUGGCAUUCGUGCCACGCGUACACAAUUACGCACUCGAGAUACCAUGGGCAUAGGCGGAGGCGCAUCAACGACUCGGUCAAUAGUGCGGGUAACCGCCAACUACCUUUACACUCUUUCCCUCUUACAUUUCAGGACACCGCGUUAGUGCAGCAUCCUCAGAAGAGCCGAAUUGUCGGACUUAUAUGGGAGAGACAUCCAAGGAGGCAGCAGAUGUUGUGCACAGAAGGAAAUACCCAGGUGGAAUCUAUUUACGAUCAUUAUACCUGCUUUAUCUAUCUGCUCACAGCCCGCCCUUGGAUAGGACAUGUCAAAUAGUCCUAUUUUAUCUCUUCUUAAUGCAUCCAUUGUAAACAUACGCUUAAACGUAUUUUUCAUCAACGGGAGAUUAUAUAUAGCGUCAGCUUAUUAUACUUAUUUGAGCAUUUUCUUCUUUUAUAAAUGUUUAUUUGGUAUUGCAUCCAUACACCUUGGUACGGUCAGUUUGCUAGGGGCUUCUCAUGGCGCCCCAUAAUAUGGCAAACAAAGUCCGAACACUUUCAACAGUGCGGCACCCCGAACUUAUAGCAUUAUAUGCAUCAGCUCCGAAUCAUGUCUUGGGUCUACAGUUGGAAUAGCCCGGCUCCCUUGUUUUGGUGCCUUAUGUUCCGUUAUAUCGGCUAAGGUAGCGCAGGGAGAACUACUGCGAUUGUGUCCUGGUUCUUCCGGACGAGCACCUCAGUAGAGAAAGCCGAAAACUGACCGGCAUGAUGUGGCGAGAGUUGUUCGUUGUUCGAGAGGUACUAAAAUCCUUAAGAUUUUCCGCUUUAGGCGAUAUAUCGGCUUUGUCUGAUCUAGGCGUGUAUAGCGCCCCGGUCCGGCCUUCCGGAUUCUAGGGGCUUCGCCGAAAUUUAAAAUUGUAGACUUCUAUGGCUAAGUGAAAGUUAUAAAGCCGCAUAGUCUGAUUGCCUUGUUCGCUGCGCCGGACACCUCCUUAAGGGACCAAACAUUUGGAUAAAGAGUGUCCGGGUUUUCCACGAACACCCCAGUACUAGUUACGUGGGGGAGGAAGCCGACGACUGGCCUACUUUCAGAAUUUUAUAAACAGCCGCACAGAAGGUAAUAUUUUAAAUAACAAAAGCGCUACAUAGCGCAAGUAACUUCGUCCUUAAAACACAAACAUGACAGAAGUGAAUUCAUUCAAAAAUGGUGUCCUUGGUACAUUCGUCAGCCACGAGACAAGCACCCUUCAUAACGCCAUCAUAGUACAUCUCGGGAUGGCGAUGCGCCUUGCCCUUCGGUGGCCCGUCCUUGACUAGCUUCUCCGCAUCCAGUUUGCCCCAAUGCACCUUGACGCGUGCCAAGGCCCGGCGGGCACCUUCGAUACAAACGGAGCGCUUGAUCACCUCCAGCCGCGGGCAGGCAUCCACCAUCCGCUUGAUCAGGCCAAAGUAGCUACUGGGCAUGAGCUCACCAGGCCACAUCCGGACUAUGAACCCUUUCAUAGCCAGCUCGGCCGCCCUGUGGAGUUCGACCAACUGCUUCAGUUGGUCACUCAGAGGCAUCGGAUGUUCGGCCCCAUCAUACUGGGACCAGAACAGCUUCUCCGUUGAGCUUCCCUCUUGGGCACGGUAGAACUCCGCAGCGUCUGACACGCUGCGUGGGAGAUCUGCAAAUGCCCCUGGAGAGCUUUGAAUUCGAGUAAGUAAAAGAAACGCCUCCUCCACAUGUUUGCUUUGCAUAAAGAACUUCUUACCCGCUGCAAUCUUUUUGGCCUCUUGGAUCUCCUGCUGUGCUUUCUCGGCCCCGGCCUUGGCGUCUUUUAAAUUUACAAGGGCCUUCGCAAGCUCGGCCUCUUUCACCUUCAGAUCAUGCUCCACGGACUCGCAUUUCUUGCCGAGGUCCUGAAGCUCUUGUUGUACCUCACCUAACCUAGCGCUUUGCUUUUUGCGCUCCUUACACUCCGAGGCCGCCUUGUCUUCGGCCUCGGACAGCGCCUUCUUCAGGGACGCCACUUGGCGGUGGCCCCUGUUACACAGUCACGACGCUUAGGCGUUAGACUCACCAAUUCUGAGUAUCCUCAAAUGCAUAAGAGAGGGAAUCACUUACCCUUGUUCUCUUCGAGCUGCCUCUUCGUGAGGUCGAGCUCUCCCUGCGCCUGCUCUAGGUCCCGUUUCAGUUCGGCAACCUCGGCAGUACGGGCAGCAGCAGCAAGCAGCACAGCCUGCUUAUUCACAACAAUACUUAUUAUUAGGCUCCUGCAGAUUAUAUUUGACCCUCCGUUUGGCUUUUCUUUCCGAACACCAAAUAGAGUAUCAGUGGCUACUACCUAUCGGGUGGUAAUUUUGCACAUAUUUAUUACUUACCUCAAAGCCUGUCAGGAGGCUGGUGCAAGCUUCGGUUAGUCCGCUCUUGGCGGACAAAACCUUCCAAAUCAUCGUACUCAUGAGAGUACGGUGCUCUUCAUCCAUGGAAGCGCCGCGGAGCGCUUCCAGCAGAAAGUCCGGCGCCACAUGCGCAACGGAAGUCCGCGACACAGACGGCUCGCCCUCCCUAAUGAGGGGUCACCCGCCUGAGUCCGGAACCAUCAAAGGUUCCGGAAUUGUGUUCGGCUGAGAGCCUGGCUGGCCAUGGCUCUCAUCGACACGAUCCGCGGGGAUCUUGAACCCCGCGUGUCCGACAUCUGGAAUCCCAUCGUGGGGCGUCUCCAGAGUCACCUCCCCCUGCUCUGGGAACCUUUGGGACAACACCUCCAUGUCGUCCGCAGGUUGAGGGGUAGUGGCUGUCGGAAGCGAAUUUAUCUCCGAAUCGCUCAGGGACCCGGAGGAAGAUACCUCGGGGUGAUCCCUGGCCGGACUGCAUAUAUGUUCGGCAUUAUAAGUAUAAAAACUAUGAAGUGAAACCAUGAUAGAAUGCGGACACUUACGAUCGCACUAGGGGCUUCCCCCUAGGCAGCCACCCCUCCUCACUGUGAGCGGCCGUGGCGGAAUAGUCCGGAAGGGGCACCUUCCCCUUCUUGGACACCCCAGCCUCCCCCUCCGGGGUGGCUUUUCUCUUCUUCCCCUCCCCAGUGUGGGGAGGUGGAAUUUCUUCUUGGUUCCCCCCGCCUCUGCGGGAGGAAUCCGUCUCGUCGUCAUCAGACGACAAGGGUAUGAUGGCCUUGCGUCGGGGGCCUUUUCCGACCCCCUGGUCCGCCUCCCCGGACCCCUCAUCCUUUCCGGAUGGGGCAUCUUCUUCUUCCUCCUCCUCCCCUUCGUGGGAGGAGUCCGCCUCGUCGUCUUCGGACGAGGCUUCUGGCACAACCUUACGCCGGAGACCCUUUUGGGUCCCCGGAGCCUUCUUCUCGGCCUUCUUCUCCGGCACCUUGUACGGUGCCGGGACCAGCAUCUCCAUCAGGAGAGCAUCCGCUGGGCCUUCUGACAGCGGAGCCGGACAGUAGACCUGCUCCGCUGUCUCCACAUAGUCCUGAAGCAAAUAUGCCCAACUACUUAAGGUACUCCCAUGAAUAUAUUGGGAAGAACUGGGUCAGGUGUCAGUCUGAGAACUCACCGGCCUAGGAGCCCGCGCGGCGUAAAGCCCGCGGUCCUCGGAUGUGGGAGGAGGUACUUCGGAGGCCUUGAACAGCACCUUCCAUGCGCCUUUGUGCGUCAUGUCGUAGAGCCUCCGGAGCGUCUGGUGCUCGGUUGGGACGAACUCCCACAGAUUGACUGCCCGCCUCUGGCAUGGUAGGAUCCGGCGAACGAGCAUGACCUGGACCACGUUGACAAGCUUGAUGUUCUUGUCCUUCAUGCUUUUGAUGCAUGUCUGGAGUCUGGCCAGCUCCGUGGAAUCGCCCCAGGACAGACCCUUCUUCUCCCAGGAGGUGAGCUGCAUGGGGGCUCCGGAUCGGAACUCGGGGGCCGCCGCCCAGUUGGCGCCGCGCGGCUCGGUGAUGUAGAACUGCCCCGAUUGCCAUCCUUUUACGGUCUCCGCAAAGGAGCCGUCGAGCCAUGUGACAUUGGGCAUUCUUCCCACCAUGGCCCCUCCGCACUCUGCUUGUUGGCUGCUCACAACAUUCGGCUUCACGCAGACGGUUUGCAGCCAUAGGCCGAAGUGAGGCCGGAUGCGGAGGAAGGCCUUGCAUACGACGAUGAACGCCGAGAUGUUGAGGACGAAGUUCGGGGUUAGAUCAUGGAAAUCUAUCCCGUAGUAGAACAUGAGCCCGCGGACGAAGAGAUGGAGUGGAAAUCCCAGUCCACGGACGAAGUGGGCGACGAAUAUGACCCUCUCAUGGGGUCCUGGGGUCGGAAUGACCUGCCCGGCGUCUGGUAGACGGUGCGCUAUGUCCACGGCCAAGUAUCCGGACGCCCACUGUGUGGAGAAGACUUGGGCUUGGGCGCUGGAGCUCGAGGGGGCAAGAGUGGGCAAAGGAGGAAGAAGGCCUGGGUGAAAAUGGGGAAAUCUUAUCCCUUUAUAGAGGCACCGAAAGCGGUGCGCCUCCCCACUUGCCCGUUGAGAAUCGCUUGUUUCCCAAGCGCCACGAUUAAUGGCGUGCUGAGAUUACCCAUACCCGCAUUGAUGAGAAUCCGUGAUAAGGGGACACGAUCUCUGCUUCGACAAGACGUGUCAAAGAAACCGCCUCGUAAUAUGCGCUGUAGCUGGUUGGGGGAAAACGGAUCGAAUAAUGAUCUGACCGUAAUAAAGUGUCACAUCAUUAGAAGAAGUUGUCAGCAGAUUGCAUUUGUGAAAUAUUAUUCUCUCUACGGUGGCACAUGAAGAUCAUCUUACAGAUCCAGACACGGUUUAAGUGUUCGAUGAUUACUUUGGAGUAUUCGGAGGAGGAACCCGCCUUGCAAUGCCGAAGACAAUACUGCGCACCGGACUCAUCGUCAUUGAAGCCUGGUUCAGGGGCUACUGAGGGAGUCUUGGAUUAGGGGGUAUCCGGACAGCCGGACUGUGUACAACGUCCGGACUAUUGAAGCAUGAAGAUACAAGACUCAAGACUUCGGCCCGUGUCCGGAUGGGACUCUCCUUUGCGUGGAAGGCAAGCUUGGUGAUCCGGAUAUUAUAUUUCCUUCCUUGUAACCGACUCCAUGUAAACCCUAGCCCUCUUCGGUGUCUAUAUAAACCAGAGAGGUUGGUCCUUAGAAGUCCGAUCACAAUUACAAUCAUACCAUCAUAGGCUAGCUCUUAGGGUUUAGCCUCUACGAUCUCGUGGUAGAUCUACUCUUGUACUACCCAUAUCAUCAAUAUUAAUCAAGCAGGAAGUAGGGUUUUAUCUCUAUCGAGAGGGCCCGAACCUGGGUAAACAUCUGUGUCCCUUGCUUCCUGUUACCAUCAGCCUUGACGCACAGAUCGGGACCCCCUACCCGAGCUCCUAGUUAGUGGAUACCUCUCCUCCCAAGCUAGGCACAUCAACACCCUGUCCAAUUUUUCAAAAGUAGGGUCUUCCUGAUUAUUAGCCCAAGUGUAUUUCCUCCCAUUCAUAGGCAAUUCCCUAAGCCCUGCUUGUUCAAUAAUAGCAUUAAACAAAAAGGGCCAUUGUUCAUUAAGCAUAGGCUUGUUUUUCUCCUUUCCAUUUUAAUAAUGUUAAAAUCUCCCCCAACCAAGCAAGGUAAGGGAUUAUCAUGGUACAGUCUUGCCAAUUCAGCCAGAAAGUUGGCUUUCCCUUCCUUCUGUGCAUCCCCAUAGACAGUUAUCAGAUUCCAGUGCAUUUUGAUAUUUUUAUCAAACACUAACAUUCUCAAAAAAUAUUGUCCUUUUUCAAUGGCCUCAAUAUCAAACACUUCUUUAUUAAUUCCCACCAGAAUCCCUCCAGACAUGCCUUUAGGUGGGUUCCAGCUCCAUUGAUAAAUUUUUUUCCCCGCAUAAGUUGUGGAGCUCAUUUUUUGUGAAGUCUUGCUUUAUGGUCUCAGAGAUCCCAAUAAAGUCUAGCUUCUGAUCUAGAAUCAUUUCUCUAAUGUAUCUUUUCUUGUGAUCCUGUCCUAUACCCCUUACAUUCCAGAAAAAUCCUCUCAUCUUUGUUGACUUUAGUCCUAAUUAAGAAUCAGAAAAAGCUCAACUAAGUCUCCUUCCUUUUUUUCUUCUUUGAAGGACCCCAAUCCCCACUGAUUGCUUCACACAGUCAAGUGCUGGUGAGCUUUUUUUGCCACUUUUUCUCCCUGAGAGCAUCCCUCUCAGUUUCUUAAUCUGUUGUUCCUCAAUAUCCACAUCAGAAUGUUCAUAAUCUGAACAGAGUUCCUCUAAGUUUAUAUCUCCAGUAUUAAUAUAUACUGGGACAUCUUUUUUAUUAUCUCCUUCCUCCUUACACUCCUCUUCACCUUUACCAUUUUUUUCUCUUUUAAUAUUUUGAAAAUAUAGCUCUCUUCUAGCCAACUCCAUCUUAUUAAUGAUCUCAAUAUUUUUAUCAAUCAUCUCUAUUGAGCAACCCAAAUCAAUCCCCACCAAAGAACUAAUAUGCAAUAAAGAAGCAUCAGCAAUUACCAAAUUAGGGUUCUUACCAUAGUUAUCUCUCUCCUCUGCUCUGCUUUUUGCCAUAUCUUCAAUUUUCUUAUCCUCAUUUUCUUUAUUUCUGAGACUUCUCUUGAUUUCAACAUCUUUUUCCUCCCCCUCCUUGUCCAGGAUCUCACUCCCAUAUAUCUCAGCCAAUUUCUCUCCCAAAGUCCCAAUAGAUUCUUGACUAGCAUUCUAAUCAGUGGGCUCAUUAUACUUCCCAGAAUCAGUCUCUUCUUUUUUCUGCUGAGUUCCUUUCUCAUAAUCUUCAAGGUCCAUGUUUGCUAAUUCCAUUUCAUAUUCCUCUCUAUUGGCAGCCUCUUGUGCCAACUUCUGAAUUUCUUCUUGUUGUUUUCUACUUACCUCCUGCAGCUCCAUCUGAAAAUUCUCCAGCUCUUUGAUUCUUUUCUCACUUUUUGCCCAGAGUGCAUUGUUUCUGACUUUGUCUUCCUCCAGGGUUUUUAUUUUACUGGGCAUGAUUUCACUUUCUUUUUGCCAUUUUCUUCUCUCUAGAGUCAUCUCACUUUGCCAUUGCAUCAUGUUUUCUUCCAUCUGUGAUCUCAUUUUCUCAAUUCUCCCAUCAAUCUCCUCACUCUGUUUCAGGGAUAAGCAUCCCAGAGAAACCCCUUUGUAAUCAGUGUCUUCCAAUUUGGUCCUCUUCCUGUUUUCUAUCUCUUCCUCUCCCACUUCUGAAAAAUUAUUGUUGUCAUUCUUUCUCUUCUAUUCCUUGUACCAGCCAAUUUCCACCACCUUCUCAGCUUCCACCCCAAUUCUAAACAUAAGGAGAUUAGGGGAAGUAAUCUCCACUUGAGAUGGUAUUUUAUCCACAUCCCUAAUCCCACAUUUUGCUAUGAUUUUCUCCUCACUAAUAGUAUCCAUAUCAAUCUCCAGGACAGGACCAACUGCAGCAGCAACCUCACAAAUGCCUAAGAAAUAUCUAAAACAAUCAGGAACCUUGGCCAGCUUGAUCCAUAUAUAUUGUGUGCAUUUUCCCAACAGCCUGAUGAUCUAGAGACCAAGGUUGAACUUUGAUUACCACCCCUGUCCCCAGCAGGUUGAAGUCAUUAAACUUGGCCAACUCCACCAGUUUUGCCUUAUUGGAAAAUCUCAUCAUGUAUCUAUUUUUCCCAAAUUCCCUCACUCUCCAUUGCCAUCCCCAAUCAAACAUUUCUCCCAAAGCUUUCACAAGCUCAGUCUCAUUGAUCCUCCCUUCUCUUAUGAUCACCACCCCCAAAGGAUUAGUGUGCUCAGCAACUAGGACAUCCUUAUAGCUCUGCACCAGUAGGGUCCCUAAUCCUUUAGCAGCAUAUCCUACAUAUUUAGAGACAGGCUUAACUUGUUUCAGCAAAUUGCAUUCUCUAGUAAUAUGAUUAUCUCUACCACAGAUCAAGCAAUGCCCCACCCUGCACUCUUUGGUGGUGUGUCUGGGAUCUUUACACUUACCACACACCUGUUUACUAAACCUAUCAAAGUUUUUCUUGCUCUCCUCAAAACCUUGUUGCCAGCUACUUCUACCUCCAUGUUUCUUCAUUUCCAGACCAGCCCCCUGUUCAGCCCCCUUGUCAACUCUUUGUUGCCCAUCAGGUCCUCUUUCCUCUUUCCUUUGGCUCUCUUUCCCAAGCAAGUUCCCAGCCUGAUUUCCAAGCAUUCCUUCAAUCUGAUUCUUCUCACUAUUUUCAUCCCCUGCACCAACUGAGAAAGUAAAGAAGUGAGCAACAGUUGCUGCUGAUGUUGAUCUGGCUGAGUUAUCUGAUCCUUGCUCCUGUCUUUCCCCAUCACAGCACCUCCUGCAUCUCCACUGGCCAUCCUUGCGGUCUCUUCCCCUUCAUCCUUUUUUCCUGUCUUAGCUUGCCACACCAAAUUCUCUCCGUUCCUCUCAGAUCUAGGGUCCUCUUCUUCAGAAUCCCUGCCCACUCCAUUCCCAGCAUCAAAUCGACCAUCUCCUCUCCCAAAACCACCAGAUCCCCCUCGGAAGGCAUGCCUGCCUCCUGUCCAUCCCCCUCCCCUGUCAGCAUUGUUGAACCUCCCUCCUAUGUGUCCAUUCCCUCCCCCUCGGUUGAAUCUAUGAGCUCCAAAUCCUCUACCCAAAUUUCCUGACAUUAUUUCUUCUUGUGGCGGCGAGGGGAGGAGAGGUGGAAACCCUAAAAGAUGGGAUUGCUUCCCCACUCCUCUCCACUCCCUCUUUUAUACCAACCAGGGCUCUGUCCCCAUUUUGGGUUGGGCUGGGCUCCAAACCCGCAGGCCUCCAACACUGCAGGCCCACAUCCACAUCCACGUUUAAAUCUCUCCCAACCGAGCCCCCAAAAAUGAUCAGGGGUCUCACCUUUUCCUCAGGACCAAAUCCCCCAAACUUUCCCUCUUCUGAAACCAGAUAUGCUGCAAUUGGGGUUUUUUGCAUUUCAAUUUUCCCAAAAUCCAAAUCCUCACCCCCAAAUAAAGGAGUUAUGGGAUGUACAUUGUUUUUUUCCAUAUGCUUUUUGCACAAUCCUAGCAUCUACACCAAUACACUGAUUAUUAUUACUCCACCUCAUAUCCUUAUUCUUAUCCCACAUUCCCUCAUGUUCUGAAUUAGUACCAACAGAAGAAAUCAUACCCAAAUCCUCACUCUUCUGAGAUUUUGGUCCUUUUCGGACUAUUUUUCUAUUACCAAGCCUAAAUCCCCCAAGUAUUUUCCCAUUACUGGCAUCAUCUACCUCAAUUGGGGCAGUAGAUACCAAGUAUUUAGCAGCUUUAACCAUACCUGAACUGGAGAUGAGGGCCUCCCCCUCCCCCUCCUCCUCGGAGCCCUCACCGGCCAGCAACCAGAAGUGAUUGUCAGCCGGCGAGCGCCCUACUGGCGGCGGGAGAGAGCGAGGAGGCGAGGCGAGCGCCUCCGGAAGCGUGGGGAAUGGUGAGGGAGUGAGGUCGGGGUCGGAGGCACCCUGGCCCUCCGCCGCGGCGGCACCACCGCCUCCUCCUCCAUCUCCUCGAUCUUCGCGUCCUCCUCGGUCUCGAUUGGUAGCCACCUGGAUCCGGGAGCAGGAAUCCCCAUCACCGCCGCCUGCGGUGGCGCCUGCUGCGCCGGAGGCGGUGCCCUCGGCUGGAUCAGGCGGUAGCAGAGGGAGCGGAACACCUUCCACUUCUCCCUCUGCUCCGAGACCAGCGAUUCCGCCUCGAGCAUCGCCCAUAGGAUCACCCCCAUCGCCGGCUGGCGGUCGUAGUUGGGGAAGCAUAUGAGGAUCUCAUCUCCGUGCAGCUUGUCCCUCACCAUCUCCGACGCGUCGUUGAGAGAUUUCGCCGUCGGGAACCACCGGUCGAUCUCCUUCAAUCUCCCCAUCAGGAUCUCGUCGCCGUCGGACAGCGCCCACAUUUGCUGCUCGCGCGUCGUCAUCGAGCCCUAGCUGUCGCGGCGGCGAGGGGCGGUGGUUCUCACGGAUGAGAUUUGUGCGGUGUGGGGAGGGAGAGAGCCGAGGCGACGGCCUAAUAACCCCACUCUCGGCCCCCCGCUCGCCAUUACUCACCUCGAAAUCCACCCCGCGUCGCCCCACCGGUCAGCCGCCGCAAUUUCCGCGACGUGGCACGGGAACACCACCUCCUGGCCCACCCGCCACGCCGCGCCGUCCGCCCCUCUGCAUGCAUCCACCACCACCCCCUCGUCGUCGAGGUGCUCCACCCGCUGCCCUCGCCGGCGAACGUGGCCAUGGUGGGGCACCGGCAGCGCCGUGCGGAAAUCCGGCACGAACACGCACGGGAGACGUGACUCACACGGAAACGUGUCCAUCGUCCGCCUUCCGUAAUCUGGGGCUUGGGAUUUGGUGGGUGAAUUGCGUCCUGUAGGCAAGGAGGUCGCCGGACGAAGCGGCGGCGCGUGGGUGGAGGAUGCCUUGGGCGCUGGAGCAGAGUCGAUCCAUGGUUUCGUGGUGUAGUUGGUUAUCACGUCAGUCUAACACACUGAAGGUCUCCGGUUCGAACCCGGGCGAAGCCAUUAUUUUUUUCCCGUAUUUUCUUUUGCGCGUUCUUCUCUGAACUCUUUCAUGUCAGCCGAGCUUCUUGAGUAGUGUUUUACUGUUGUUAGUUCUCCGAACUCGUACCUCAGGACAGUCUGUUCAUUAUUUGGUCACCGGUGUAUGUAUCGUACCAUCUUCUUAGAGCAACUCAACGCAGUUUGGAAACAGUCUUUUCCUGUCCCAUCUUAUCCCAUUCCGUUGCUGAUACUUCUGUUGCAGAUUCAGACACACUUUGCGAGACCUAACUGAAGAAAAAAAAAUGAUUCAGACACAUUUUGCAAAACCUAAUUGGAGAGAAGUGUUCUCUCAUUCGCAAGAACUCUCAAUAUAGGUGACUACAUUCGCUAAACACCUUGUCGUGGCCAAUUUAUACAUACACCAGCUAGAGUUCAAGGUUCUUGCUGAUACAAUUGGAUACAAUUUGUGGACAGAGGUAGGAAGAAGAGGGGAAAGGAUACAGAGAGAGGAACUAGUUCUGAGUUCUGUCUCUUUUCCCCCUUGUUCUACUAUCUGAAUCUCUUCAUAUAGCUGAGCUGCUUGCCGUGCCUUGAAUCCCCUCCUUGCGCUGGGCCUCGAACACUCGAGCCAAUCUCCUUGGGCCUCCGUCCUGGGCUGGGCCGUGCCGUGACAAUGGCGGCUAGACCACAAAAUACCAAAUGCCUAUCAUGGCCGUUGGGGAGCGGUGGCACGCCAGAGCAGCACACCGUGCCUUACAGUUGCAUCAGUUUUUUCUACGCUUUGGCAUCCUGAUGUCUCCUAUUCUGAAGUUCUCUACAUUUCUAAAUGUGCAUACAUAUGCAUGUAUGUCGCUACUUGCUAGCUAGCCUGCACUAUCUUCCUCCAUUUCUCUAGCUUGUUUCUGCUAACAAGGCACACGGUUUUAUAGGAGAGAAGACUAGUGAAACACUUCAAACAAAGAGCGAGCUUUCUCCAUCAAUCGCAAAGAUCCAAAAAUUGAUUAGCGUGUCCUAUGCAUUGUGGUUGGUCGAGAGCCUUUAUCUACAUUGAAACCGUUCUAGGACAUAUUAUUUUCUGGAAGAUAUUCAUAAAUAAAUGAUUGUCCACAUAGCUAGAGGCCUUUUCAUUCAUAUGCGAUGCUUUUGCGCAGUCCUUCAGUGGUCAUUUUAAAAUUUGGCGAGCCAGCUCAACUCAUUAUUUUCCAUGUUCAUACUGUAAUAAAUUAAAUGAUUAGCACUAUUCCCAAAGAAGAACUAACUAGCACUCGGAUGGAAAGCAAUGUAUGGAACAUGUAUAUGUCAUCAUGGGUACAUAGAUGAUCAAAUAAAUGACCAUAUGUUUGUCUCCUUGCUAAAAAAGACUACGAAUUAAUUCAAACAUUAGUUGGGUAAUGUUCUAAUUUUUGGGACAUUAGACAAUAAAAAAUAGCUGAUCAUUGUAGGCAUAAAAUUCCCAUCUGCUUGUCUUAUUAUAGAAUUUUGGCAUAUUGGACCACUGCGAAAACUACCAGGCAUUAGGCCUGACAGCCGACACAUGGCACUUGUCGCCAGAGCUGGAGGUGGUAGGGUGUGCUGCCACAGCCCAUGGUAGCAAGCUGAGCAGAAAAGCUCCCAGCACCGAUGGGGAAUGGAAAACGGAAGAGGUGGGCCCUGCCGCCACAUGCUAUGGCGACACCCUUUGAUGUGGAGCCUGCCGCCAUGCACCGUGGCGGCAAUACUGUUGUGGUUGCUCAGGAUUGGACAGCAUGUUGCAGUCAUGUAGUUGUUGGAAGGAUUGGCGGUGUCUUUUGUGUCGAAAGUGCUCCAGCCGAUGACAUGGAUUGGUUCCGAUGCACGUUGAAUCUCUCUUCAUCAUUCCCGCUCAAUUUUUCUGCCAUCACACUAAUAAUCGGAACCUAUAAAAUAAGCCAUCGAGCCUCUCUUCAUCCUUCAUCGAGAAACCAUCCUUAGCCAUUUCUCUGUUUAUUCUGGUGACCCUUCCUGUCGUUUUACUCCAACGAUGUCUCAUUUUCUUUGGGCAGGUGAGACAAGAAUGGAGACUGUUAGUAGGGGAGGUGUGCAUUUUGAAGAACUAGGUAACGCCCGCACGUUGCUACGAAACUUUUAGCAAUGAACUUACUAAAAAUAAUUAGAAUAUACAAAAGUAUUACCACACCACAUUCAGCUUAGGAGUAAAUAAAAGGUUGAUGCAUGCAUUCAAAUUCAAUUAUUUAUUAUUGAAAAAAAUGAACCAUGUGAAGCAUUUUCAUGUGCUUGAUGAUGUGGAGGGCUUGCAUGUGGUGGAAAGGAAAACAAAUGGAAAGUUGAAUGAUUGCAUGACGCUUUUAUGAUGUGGAGGGUGUGUGGUGGAAAGUAGAAAGUUAAAGGUUUAUUGGUUGGCACUUGAUGAUGUAGAUGACCUCCAUGUGCAUUUAAAUGGAAGAUGGUAUAUGUGGGACUUAGUAGUGUUUUACCUACAUAGACACGCUGCUAGCUUGACCUACAUGACCUUUUUUGUGUGACCAUACAUGUUUUUUUAAUAUGUUAGAGAUCAUUUAUAGUUACAUGCCCAAUUUUAGGUAUUUUUUGGGUUUUCUCAUAUUUUUAGAGAAUUUAAUCUUAAUGCAUAGUUAACAGUAUGUAAUCUGGAUCACACACUGCUAGAUCUAGACUUAAUAGUGUUUCACUUCCUGUCACACGCUGCUAACUAGGUUUUUAGACAUGUUUUGUUACUAUCAGUAUGUCAUAUUGAAAUUAGUUCUAUCUACUUGAUCGAUAUACAACAUACAUAUAUGAAGAAGUACUAUUUGAAUAUCUAGAGUACAUGCAUAAUACAUAUUAAUUCAGAAGAACUAGUUUUUGGUAAGUUCAAGAAUUAAAAGCAGUACAUAGCUGCCCAUUGCUACUAUCGAUAAUGCCUAAACAGAAAACAUCACCAGUGCAAUGGAUGCCACCAGAAGAAAUCCUGCCCUGAUCCAACUGGGAGUACGAAACAAAUCAUCACAACAAUGAGGAGUGCAUAUCGAAGGUUCUUAAAGUUUUCUAUCUUGGCUCGAUCUUGUUUUUUGGGUGUGCAUAACAUUCAUUUGUAUUCGUUGCUCAUCCAUCUUGACUUGCUCCUCAUCCAUCUUUACUUGCUUCUCGUGUGCGUCUGUCAAAGCAUCAUACAACCGGGCUCUAAUUGAUCGAUUGUGGUACUCAACCAACCGGUUUAUGUAAACCAUUAAGAGAUCAACUCAUAUCCAUGUGUAGCAAGAGCAUGGUUCCUGCAUGAGUGUGUACGUAAUUAAUGUCAUGAAAACUAGAGUUACAAGUCAAAUAUCUAAUUAAUUAAUUAAUUAAGAGAAAAAGAUGUUGUUGUACGUACCUCGGUUCCCUUGAGUGCACACAUGAGGUAUUCUCGAGUUGGAUUUCUUUUUUAGUACGAGGUUUUGUUCACAACAGGGUAUUUGCAGCCUCAAAAGAGCACAUGUUGGCUGCCUGGAUGAAGGUGCGCUUCCCUGUCGGUGGUGGACGAAAUGCCACCGGAUCCGCCAGACGAUGUGCUGUCGCGAUGCGGUGAUACGCCCGACACAUCCGACAACAACGGAUAACUCAUGGUGAGCACCCGAUGUUGAGAGAAGAAAAGUACAAGGGGAAGAUCAAGGGGAAAUAGAUCUAUUAAUAAAAAUGUUGGGUUGGGUUAGAUGUACUGUAGUAGUGAUGUAUGUAGAUUUUGAGGAAAAAUAAGUAAAGAGGGGGAGGGGUGAAUAUCAGAAUGAAGGGGGGUAACGGAAGAAGAGAGAGUGGAAGGACAGAAGAAUGGGUGGUCAAUUAUUGAGUGCAAAACUUAUCAACGUGUAGGGCAAGCGAAUGUUGUUAGUUUGUAUCAAUUUGCAGCGUUCAGGCCAAGUAAACGCCGCUAGCUUAUAAGACCCACGUGUCUGUCAGUGCUCAGUUUGUCAGACAUCCAAAUAGCAGUGUUUCGUUAAACAGCAAACGCUGCUACAAAGAGUGACACUGGCGGCCCGCACGUUGUGGCACAAGGGCUAGUUUCAUGUACCAACCUUGCAGCGUUCCAUUUUUUCGAACGUCGCUACUGUCUUCACGUCUGCAGCAUUUGGUUUUUUCUCGGACACUGCUAAUAUUUAGUGAAGUUAUGAUUCUGUCCUAUUUUCCUGGAACACUUCUAGUAGUAAAAUCCUAUAAUGGUCGAUGAAAUAUGAACCGGAGAAUUAAUCUUGAUAUACCUUAGAACAUACGUUCUUGUUACCGCGAGAUGUAUUGGCCGCUAUGGAUCAUUUGAUGGGAAUGAAAUUUGGAACAGGCAUACUUGACGAUAACGAUAUGAAUCACUUGAAAAAUAAAGCGUAUUCAUUCAGUUGCGGAUCUGUUACAAGAUCAAAUCGGAUUGGCUCUUGGUCAUUUACAACAUGUAAAAGCUAGGGUUUUGGAAACUGCUCGACACCCGUAACGGGUGUGGCUAUCUCAUAUAUAUAAAGAGGUACACAAAGUGUACAAUACAAUAUACAAGAUAUAUACAGAAGCCACGUGUAAAUACUUUCUAACACCCUCCCUCAAUCUUAACUAUGUCCUGAGGUAGAGAUCAAGUUAAGAUUGCGCCUACAACCUACAAACUGAGGUUGUGGUAGAGGCUUCGUGAAGAUGUCAGCAAGUUGAUCUUUGGAGGAGAUGAACUUGAUAUGAAGGAGCUUCUGUGCAACACGUUCUCUCACAAAGUGAUAGUCAACUUCGAUGUGCUUGGUACGAGCAUGGAAAACUGGAUUAGAUGAAAGAUACGUCGCACCAAUGUUAUCACACCAAAGAACCGGUGGCCUCUCUUGAGAGACUCCCAACUCUCUCAAUAAAGACUGUACCCAAAUGAGUUCAGCCGUGGCAUUGGCAACCGCCUUGUACUCUGCUUCAGUGCUACUUCGAGAUACUGUGGCCUGCUUGCGCGCACUCCAGGCGAUCAAGUUGCGACCAAAGAAGACAGCAUAGCCCCCCGUUGAUCGCCGAUCAUCCAGGCUCCCAGCCCAAUCUGCAUCAGAGAACGCCGAGAGAGCACUCAAGGAGGUAGGCCGAAGAUGCAAGCCAUAGGAGACAGUAUGAGAGAGAUAGCGCAGUAUACGCUUCACAGCUGACCAGUGUGAUGUCCGAGGAGCAUGAAGAUACUGGCACACACGAUUUACCGCAUAGGAGAUAUCCGGCCGUGUGAUAGUCAAGUACUGCAAGGCACCAACAAUACUACGGUACUCUGUAGCAUCAUCUGAAGGAAGCAAGGCACCAUCCAAGGCUGAUAACCGAUCAGUCGCAGACAUAGGGGUAGUAGCAUGCUUGCACUGCAACAUACCAGCACGUCGGAGCAAGUCCAAGGAAUACUUAUGUUGAGUGAGAGUCAGGCCACUAGGGGACCGUGAAACCUCCAGACCAAGGAAGUAAUGAAGAGCACCCAGAUCCUUGACAGCAAAAUGACCACUCAGAGCAGACAACAGACGAUCAGCAGCAGUCACUGAGGAGCUGAUAAGAAUAAUGUCAUCAACAUAAACCAGGAGGUACAUAGUAACCUCAGGACGCUGGAACAUGAACAGAGACGUGUCAGCAGUGGACGGAGCAAAUCCAAGACAUCGAAGAACAGAGCCAAGUCGGGCAUGCCAUGCACGAGGAGCCUGCUUAAGUCCAUAAAGCGCCUUAACAAGACGACACAAAUGAUGUGGACGAGCAGGAUCAACAAAACCUGGAGGUUGCCGCAUGUAAACCUCUUCCUCCAAGACCCCAUGGAGAAAAGUAUUCUGAACAUCAAGCUGACGCAGAGACCACCCUUUGGCAACAGCCAAGGACAGAAGCAGACGAAUGGUGGUAGGUUUGACAACUGGGCUGAAGGUAUCCUCAUAAUCAAGACCAUACCGCUGUUUAAACCCUUUUGGCCACCAACCGUGCCUUGUAUCGCUCAAUAGAACCAUCAGCAUGCUUCUUUACCUUAAACACCCACUUGGAGUCAAUGAUGUUAACACCAGGCACAGGAGGAACCAAGCGCCAAGUAUCGUUCCUCUGUAGUGCCUGAAACUCCUGCUCCAUGGCACUGCGCCAAUGAGGAAUCCGAAGAGCCGCCUGAAAAUGCCGAGGCUCACCAGUGGGGUCAGCAUCUAUCUGUGCCAUACACGCUGCAAUCCACGCAACCGUGCCGUCAGUGCGCUCCUUCGGCCGAACAAUACCACCCUGACUGCGCGUACGAGGACGCAUAAUAGCAGUAGGCGGCGGAGGUGGCGGUGGAGACGGAGUCAAUGAAGAUGGCGACGUUGACGACGACGCAGACCGCUCCCCGGAUGUAGAGUCAGUCGCCCCAGGUGACCGGCCUGGCGAGGAAGGCAUGGACGCCGGUUUGACCAAUGCGGGCGGGGACACUGGCUCGGCCCCCGUGGCAGAGGCCGGCUCGGGGGAAGCUGGCUCGACCAGCUCGACCGACUCGGUCGGCUCCGCCAACGCGUUGCCAACCCCAUGCUGGACCGAAGUAGCAGGGCCCGGCUCUGCCAGCCUCGUCGGCAAGCCAGGUGACAGAGAGGCGUCGCGAGCGGGCUUGGCGGACGUACGUGGGGACGCGGGCGACUGCUCAUCCAGAAGCUCGAGGCGUGCUCCGCGCCCAGUACCUGCACCAUGGUUAGGUAGCAACAAGGGGGUAUAUGCAGCAUCUACAAAUUGACCAGGCAAAGGUAAAACAGAUUUCUCGGGUGCAGUGGGAGUGGUGGAGGUGACCGGAAGUGCUGAAAAAGGAAAAACAUUCUCAUCAAACACCACAUCGCGUGAGAUGUAGACGCGGUUAGAGGGAAUAUGAAGACACUUGUACCCUUUAUGAAGAGAACUAUAACCAAGAAACACGCAUUGUUUAGACCGAAACUCCAACUUGCGUUGGUUAUAUGGACGAAGAUGUGGCCAACACGCACACUCGAAGACCUUAAGAAACGUAUAAUCAAGAACUUCAUUCAGCAAGAGCUCAAGUGGUGUUUUCAUCUGACGGAGUCGUGUAGGGAGUCUGUUAAUGAGAAAGCAUGCGGUGGAAAACGCAUCACUCCAGAACCGAAAAGGAACGGAGGCAUGGGCAAGCAAAGCAAGACCAGUCUAAACUAUAUGACGAUGCUUACGCUCAGCUACACCAUUUUGCUGAUGUGUAUGAGGACAAGACACACGAUGUGUAAUUCCAAGCUUAUUAAAGAAUGCAUUGAGGUUGUGAUACUCACCCCCCCAAUCAGAUUGCACAUGAAUGAUUUUAUGACUGAGUAGACGCUCAACAUGUGUUUGGAAUUGCAAGAAAAUAUUAAACACAUCAGACUUGCGUUUAAGAAGAUAAAGCCAAGUAAACCGACUGUAAGCAUCAAUGAAACUGACAUAAUAAUUAUGACCACUAACAGAGGUUUGGGCAUGGCCCCAUACAUCCGAAAACACAAGUUCAAGCGGUUUACUUACUACACGACUCGACUCAGAAAAAGGAAGUUGAUGACUCUUGCCUUGCUGACAGGCAUCACAAACUGCAUCAACAUGUUUAUUGGACACUACUGGAAGCUCAUGACGAUGAAGUACAUGGCGAACGAUGGGAGUGGCUGGAUGACCAAGGCGCGCAUGCCAAUGUGAUGGAGACACACGAACACCGCUGAAAGCACUAGGAGCUAGUGGCACAUCAAGUGCAUAGAGACCAUUAUUACGCAGUCGACCUCUAAGGAGUACGUCCCUCGUGUCUCGGUCCUUCACAAAAAAAUGAAAAGGAUGAAAUUCAGCAAGAACAUUAUUAUCACGAGUAAGUUUAGGAACUGAAAGCAAACUACGUGAAACAGAGGGAACACGAAGGACAUUAAGAAGACGUAAUUGUGUGGAUCGACGUGUAAGAAGUGAUGCCUGACCAAUAUGUGAGAUGUGCAUACCUUCCCCAUUAGCCGUGCGAACCUGAUCGUGUCCACGGUACGGCUCCUGUGUAGAGAGCUUGCCCAUCUCACUCGUCAGGUAAUUGGUAGCUCCCGUAUCCAUGUACCAAGAUGCAUCAACUGGAUAGGAAGGGGUAUGCCCCUGCUCAUGACUCGCCAGUGCAGCCUGCUUCUCAUUACCCUUGCCAUUGUUCCCGAUCCCCAAGAAAUCUUGCUUGAAGCGACGAUGACAACGGGAGGCAAGGUGACCAUCAAGCCCACACAGCUGGCAUGGGACCGGAGCACCACAUGAAGGGCAGCAGGCAUGGACUCGGCCUCCCUUGGAGGUAGUGGUGUUCCGCGAGUUAGGCACGGUCGGUGGAGGUUUGCCACCAGUUGGUGGCUUGUAGGGCUUGCCCUUCCCACGCGUUGCAGCGUUGGCGGAAGGGAAACUCGGUGUAGAGCGGCGAGCCUGGAUGCGCUGUUCCGUGGCAAGGAGACGUGCGUACAACUCACGAGGCUGGAUGGGAGUGUCACGACCAUUGAUAUUCUCCACCAAAUUAUCAUACUCGUCACCCAGUCCAUUGAGCACAUAAGAGGUGAACUCCUCCGGACCAAGAGCCUUACCAAUGGAGGCAAGUGUGUCAGCCAUACCCGUCACUUUGUUGAAGUAAUCAGUGACGGUGAGAUCAUUAAGCUUCAUGUCCCCAAGCGCAGUGCGGAUGGCGUGAGCCCGCGCCUGAGACUGCGAAGCAAAACUGGUAUGAAGAGCCGUCCACGCGUCCCGAGACGUAGCGGCGAAGAUGACCAGUGACGAGACCCCCUCCGUAAGAGAGGACUGGAUGGCAGAGAGAAUGGCCUGAUCCUGAGCCACCCACACAUGAUGCCCCGGAUGGUAUGGCGGUGGGCACGGCAGGGUGCCAUCAACAAACCCCUCCAAGUAGCGACUGCGAAGAAGUGGCAAAACCUGAGCACGCCAUGAUAGAUAGUUAUCCGUUGUCAGCUUCACCGGUAUGAGAUGCGCAAAAUAGAACGGUGCAUUAGGUACACCAUAGUCUGAAGGCGGCGGCGCAUAAAAUCCCGAAGGUGAAGAACCACUCGGCAGCAUGGAGGAAGCCACCAACUCCGUUGAUAGACCACCGUAGGGCGCCGCGUACGAGGAGGACAUGCCAUGAGGAGGCGCGGUUGUCGGAGCUGUCGGGUAGGCGUACGCCAACGGAGCAAUGGAGCCAUAAGGAGCCGACAGCGCGGCUGGAGUAGGCCACGGAUUGACCGUGGCAGCGCCGUGGGAUGACGCUGUUGCUGCAGCGCCGUGGGAUGACGCUGUUGCUGCAGCGCCGAAGGAGUUGACCGGGGCCGGCUGCUGGGCGCUAGGAGCUGCAUGCAUCGGGGCCUGCUGCUGGGCGCUAGGAGUUGCAUGCAUCGGGGCCUGCUGCUGGGCGCUAGGAGCUGUAGGCAUUGCAGCCUGCUGCUGGGCGCCUGCAGCUGAGUGCAUCGUGGCCUGCUGCUGGACACCGAGCGGCGCAUGGGAGCUCCACCAGGAAGCCGGAGGGCCAUAUGCCGCAUGCAUGUUCGCGUACGGGGCGCCAUACACCGCAUGGCUUCCGUAUGCCUGCGGCGGCGGCGGAAUCACACCAGUAUAUUGGAACGAAGCAGCGCCUCCGUACUGCAUGGGCGGCACGACCGAGUCGUUGAGGCCGGGAGGCGGUGGCGCGGCAGCGCCGUAAGGCGUCGGCAGCGCGGCGGCGUCGCUGAGGAUUGGAGACGGCGGCAUGGGAAUCGCUUGUGCGGCUAUGGAGACGCCGGCCAUGGAGGCCAGUGGGUUCGAUGCCAAAAACGGAGAUACCGGAGCGGCCGGAUCGGCGGCCGGGACAGAUGCCAUCGAGGGCGAUCGUGAUAGUUGCGGAAGCGAUCGAUCGAGACCUAAACUGAUACUAUGUAAAAGCUAGGGUUUUGGAAACUGCUCGACACCCGUAACGGGUGUGGCUAUCUCAUAUAUAUAAAGGGGUAUACAAAGUGUACAAUAUAAUAUACAAGAUAUAUACAGAAGCCACGUGUAAAUACUUUCUAACACAACAUGCAGUUCAAAAAAACUAUCCGUAAAGUAUUCACACGUCAACCGAAACAGACUAGAGGUUUCCUACUAGUGGCCUGUCCGGUAAAUAUGGAAGGGUCGAGAAGGAAUCGUUCAGAGAAGAGACACCAGGUACAGCCAGCGCGCUGGAGUAGAUCUCCAUCUCCACCUGUACCACGCAGGUUGCUUUGCUCCUCCUCCCUUUCCUCGUAGGCGAUUAGCCUGCCCUGCUCGCUCCGACAUGGCCGACCCUACAGCGUCUAUGAAUGAAGAAGCCGACGACGACCCUACAGCUACUGUAUUUGUGAUCGUCGUACAAGACAUAACUGCUUCUGAGUGCACUGUGUAAAUGGCUUACAUGUGCGAGCUAGCUUCUCAUUCUGUUUCUUCUGGCGACGCUAGAAAACAUGUUCCCCUCUUUUCAUUCUACUGAAUUGUCCAGCUACAUGCAAAGCAAAAUCUUGCUAACUCAAAACGCAGCUCGUCUUCAAAGUUGAACUGGCCAAAUAGAAGCGCAGAUCCAGUGUUGAAUUCCGAAAGUUACAACCCGGCUAAACAUUGGGUAGAAAUUUUGUUCCCAAAUACAGGAUGACUCCGUGCAUCAGUAGAUCCAUUAUUCAAACACGUUGAUGGCGGCUAGAACACGAAAUACCAAAUGCCUAUCAUGGCCGUUGGUUAGCGGUGACACGCCACAGCAGUACACCGCGCCUUACUGGAUCUUCCGUUUGAGCUACGCUUUGGCAUCCUGAUGUCUCCUAUUCUGAAGCAUGUAUGUCGCUACUUGCUAGCUAGCCUGCACUAUCUUCGUCUGUUUCUCUAGCUUGUUUCUGCUAACAAGGCACACGGUUUUAUAGGAGAGAAGACUAGUGAAACACUUCAAACAAAGAGCGAGCUUUCUUCAUCAAUGGCGUGGCAUGUCGGAUACACUAUGGUUGGUCGAGAACCUUUAUCUACAUUAAAACCGUUCUAGGUCAUAUUAUUUUCUAGAAGAUAUUCGUAAAUAAAUGAUUUUUCCACAUACAGGCCUUUCAUUCAUAUAUGUGAUGCUUUUGCGCAGUUCUUUAGCGGUCAUUUAAAAUUGAGAAAAGUAUACUUUUCGUCCCUCAAUUCUUGAAGGAGUAUAGAUUUGGUCCCUCAACUCCGAAACCGGAUAACUUGCACCCCCAACUACUCAAACCGGACAAGGUUCAUCCCUGGUCUUGCCUUUGAGUGGUUUUGGUACUGACUCACCCCGGUUUUGAAUGGUGCUGAGUUAAAUACGUGCAUAUUUUUCAAAUCUGUGAAUCUUUUGAAAUUCAUGUACUUUUUUCAAAUCUGUGUACCUUUUCACGUUCGCGUAAAAAUUUCAAAUUCGCAUACCUUUUUGAAACUCGCACUAUUUUCAAAUCCACGUACCUUUUCAAGUUCACGUAAUUUUCCAAAUUCGCAUACUUUUUUCUAGUCCGUGUAUUUUUCUCAAAUCCGCGUACUUUUUUCAAGUUCGUGUAUUGCUUUCAAAUCCGUGUAGUUUUUCAAAUUCAUGAACUUUUGUAGAAAGUACGCGGAUUUAAAAAAAAGCACAUGAACUUGAACAUGAUGUGCGGACCUGAAAAAAUAAACGGUUUUGAAUAAAGUACACGAAUUUGAGUCAAAACAUGGUCAAAACUGGUGAAAGUCAGCACCAAAACCGGUCAAAACCGUGUCCAAGGAUGAACCUUGUCCGGUUUUAGUAGUUGGGGUGCAAGUUGUCCGGUUUCAAAGUUGAGGGACCAAAUCUAGACUCUACCGAGAACUGAGGGACGAAAAAUAUACUUUUCUCUUUAAAAUUUUGUGAGCCAACUCAACACAUUAUUUUCCUUGUCCAUACUGUAAUAAAUUAAAUAACUAGCACUAUUCCCAAAGAAGAACUAAGGGCAUGGCCAAUGCAUAGCCUCAAACUGAUGCCCCGCAGACCAUGUAGGCUCGGAUGUCAGAAAAAUUUGGUUCGGAUGGUACUAUGGGAUUUUCAGCAGGAGGCACGUGCUUGGGAGGAAAAGAGAGUGGUCCUAAGAUAGAAGGUAGAAAAACUAGAGUAGAUGCAUGUGUACCCUAAAUUUUUUUCAUUUCCUUGAUGAGGCCCACCGGCUAAUGUUUUCAUUGUAGAGGGAAAACAAAUGAAGGUGUCUGAACCUACUUUUUCUCAUGGGGCAACUAUAUGGUGAUGCUUCCAUAGUUCAUGCGCUAACUAGCACUCGGAUGGAAAGCAAUGUAUGGUACAUGUAUAUGUCAUCAUAGAUAGAUAGGUGAUCAAAUAAAGGAUCAUAUGUUUAUCUCCUUGCUAAAAAAAGACUAGUACGAAUUUAUUCAAACAUUAGUUGGGUACGUUCUAAUUUUUGGGACAUUAGCCAAUAAAAAAUAGCUAAUCAUAUUGUAGGCAUAAAAUUCCCAUCUACUUGUCUUAUUAAGAACUUUUGGCAUAUUGGACCACAUGCGCGACCGUAUUAACAACAAAGACCACCCCUGAACAUAAUUGACAAAACUACCAAGGCAUUAGGCCCGACAGCCGACACAUGGCACCUGCCGCCACAGCUGGAGGUGGCAGGGCCUUCCGCCGUAGCCCAUGGCAGCAUGUUGAGCAGAACGACUAGCAAGUCUAUUGGGGAACAGAAAACGGAAGAGGUGGGCCCUACCACCACAAGCUGAGGUGGCACCCUAUGACAUGGAUCCCGCAGCCAUGCACCAUGGCAGCAAUACUGUUGCUGCUACUCAGGACUAGACAGCGCGCUAUAGGCCUGUCGGUUGUUGGCAUGGUUGGCAUCGCCUUUUGUGCCGAAUGUGCUCCAGCCGACGACAGGGAUUGGUUUCCAAGCGACGUUGAUUCCCACGCACAUCGAAUCUCUCUUCAUCAUCCCGCUUAUUUUUCCGCCAUAGCACUCAUUAUCCGAGCCUAUAAAAUAAGCCAUCGAACCUCUCUUCAUCCUCCAUCGAGCAACCUUCCUUAGCCAUUUCUCCAUUCAUAUCUGGUGACCCUUCAUAUCAUUUUGCUCCAACUAUGUCUCAUUUGCUUUUGCCAGGUGCGGAAAGAAUGCAGCGUGCUAGUAGGGGAAGUGUGCGUUUUGGAGAACUGAAUAACACCUCGCGUGUUGCUAAAAAAAUUUAGAAUAUAUGAAAGUAUUACCAUACCACAUUCACCCUAGAGGUAAAUCAAGGGCAGAUACAUGCAUUCAAAUUCAAUUAUUUAUUAUUGAGAAACAAAAAUAAAAAUCAAUAAUUGUUGGGGAACGUAGUAAUUUCAAAAUUUUCCUACGCACACGCAAGAACAUGGUGAUGGCAUAGCAACGAGAGGGGAGAGUGUUGUCCAUGUACCCUCGUAGACCGUAAGCGGAAGCGUUAUGACAACGUGGUUGAUGUAGUCGUACGUCUUCAUGAUCCGACCGAUCCAAGCACCGAACGUACGGCACCUCCGAGUUCAGCACACGUUCAGCUUGAUGACGAUCCCCGGGCUCCGACCCAGCAAAGCUUCGGGGAUGAGUUCCGUCAGCACGACGGCGUGGUGACGAUGAUGAUGUUCUACCGGCGCAGGGCUUCGCCUAAACUCCACGACGAUAUGACCGAGGUGGAAUAUGGUGGAGGGGGGCACCGCACACGGCUAAGGAACGAUCCGUAGAUCAACUUGUGUGUCAUGGGGUGCCCCCGUGCCCCCGUAUAUAAAGGAGCAAGGGGGAGGAGGCGGCCGGCCAAGGGAGGGUGCGCCAGGGAGGAGUCCUACUCCCACCGGGAGUAGGACUCCCUCCUUUCCUAGUUCAACUAGGAGAGGGGAAGGAAGGGAAGGAGAAGGAGAAGGAAGGAGAGGGAGGAAGAGUAGGAAAGGGGGGCCGGCCCCCUAGUCCAAUUCGGUUUGGGCUAGGGGGGCCACGCGCCCUGCCUCCUCUCUUCCACCACUUGGCCCAUGAGGCCCAUUGCUUCUUCCUCGUAUUCCCGUAACUCCCCGGUACCCUCGAAAAUACCCGAAUCACUCGAAACCCUUCCGAUGUCCGAAUAUAGUCGUCCAAUAUAUCAAUCUUUACGUCUCGACCAUUUCGAGACUCCUCGUCAUGUCCCCGUUCUCAUCCGGGACUCUGAACUCCUUCGGUACAUCAAAACUCAUAAACUCAUAAUAAAACUAUCAUCGUAACGUUAAGCGUGCGGACCCUACGGGUUCGAGAACUAUGUAGACAUGACCUAGAACUAUUCUUGGUCAAUAACCAAUAGCGGAACCUGGAUGCCCAUAUUGGCUCCUACAUAUUUUACGAAGAUCUUUAUCGGUCAAACCGCAUAACAACAUACGUUGUUCCUUUUGUCAUUGGUAUGUUACUUGCCCGAGAUUCGAUCGUCGGUAUCCAAUACCUAGUUCAAUCUCGUUACCGGCAAGUCUCUUUACUCGUUACGUAAUGCAUCAUUCGGUAACUAACUCAUUAGCUACAUUACUUGCAAGGCUUAUAGUGAUGUGCAUUACCGAGAGGGCCCAGAGAUACCUCUCCGACAAUCGGAGUGACAAAACCUAAUCUUGAAAUACGCCAACCCAACAUGUACCUUUGGAGACACUUGUAGUACUCCUUUAUAAUCAUCCAGUUACGUUGUGACGUUUGUAGCACCCAAAGUGUUCCUCCGGUAAAUGGGAGUUGCAUAAUCUCAUAGUUACAGGAACAUGUAUAAGUCAUGAAGAAAGCAAUAGCAACAUACUAAACGAUCAAGUGCUAGGCUAACGGAAUGGGUCAUGUCAAUCACAUCAUUCUUCUAAUAAUGUGAUCCCGUUAAUCAAAUGACAACUCUUUUGUCCAUGGCUAGGAAACAUAACCAUCUUUGAUAAACGAGCUAGUCAAGUAGAGGCAUACUAGUGACACUAUGUUUGUCUAUGUAUUCACACAUGUAUUAUGUUUCCGGUUAAUACAAUUCUAGCAUGAAUAAUAAACAUUUAUCAUGAUAUAAGGAAAUAAAUAAUAAUUUUAUUAUUGCCUCUAGGGCAUAUUUCCUUCAAUAAUGUGGAUCAUUUUCAUGUGCUUGAUGAUGUGGAGGGUUUGCAUGUGGUGGAAAGUGAGAAAUGGAAAGUUGAAUGGUUGCAUGGUGCUUGAUGAUGUGAAGGGUGUGUGUUUUGUGGCAAGUGGAAAGUUAAAGCUUUAUUGGUUGCAUGUGCUUGAUGAUGUGGAUGACUUGCAUGUAUAUUUGAAUGGAAGAUAGUAUAUGUGGGACAUAUGUGAUUAGGUGUAUAGGCUGCUCGUUAAGAUAAACAAGAUAGUGGGGAUGAACUUCUUAUGUAUAUAGGAUUAGUUAGUAGUGAUGGCCACCUGACGUAGUUGGGUAAGUGUUUUUCAAAGACUAGUCUCCCGGAGAAGCUCCCGGAAAGGAACCCGGAGGAAACUCGACAAGAACUUUUGCAGUUGCCUGUAAGGUGGGACAGAAUUGUUGAACUCAAAUAUAUGCAUGCGCGUAUUACUGGGUUACCUUUUCUUCCCUGCCAUCGAAAAAUAACUUUUCGGCAGAAGCAAUAUGAGAACCACAUUAAGGUAAUUGACAUUUCAUAAUGCACCUAGUUAGACCAUAUGUUCCUCGUUCUAAUUUUGUAUUAUUGUUAUUUAUAAUUUGUAGAGAUACCCUAAUUGUUCUCCAGCUCCCUCAUUGAGCGGUACUACGGGAACAAGUACCAGUCCAACUACCGCCCGAGGGGUGAUUCUCCCUCGAUUUUGGCAGCGGUGCUCAGGAGAUGGCCUAGCGGUUGUUUCGGUUAUUUCUCAAUAACCAGUAUCCAUCACUCCGACGCGACCCAUUUGGGAGGAAGUCGUGCAGCAAAGAUCAGAGCCCAGCAACUCCACGCGCACUGCAAGAGCAGACUAGAGCAUCACAUCCUUCGGGAUGGUAGCUAAAGCAAUCAACAAGGAAGGCAAUGAAUCCUGAAGAAGAGUCUUUAUAUUGGACAGUGCCUCAUGGAUCUCAGAUGUUGAUGGAGGCACAACAAUCGAAGCCUAAGAAUGAGCCACUGGACGAGCAGAACAUGGAGCAUGCGGCGGGGGUGCAGGCUUGCACCCAUCCCGUGCACGGUGUCCCGAGCGGAAGCAUCAAUUACACCGGAUGGAUCCAUGCAUCGGGGGCCGAUGGCCUUUUCCGAAGCAACGAAAAGGCCUGUUUCUAAGCCACGCAUGCAGGCGUACAACAAUAUAUUGAUACACGAUCUAUCUACCAAACUACAAAAAUUCAAUUUAUAAUGUUUCAACAUUUGUUAAUUAUGAAAAAAAAAACCUGGCGAAAACCAUUACAAAUAGAUCACAGACGAACUACUCACAUGGCAUGAAACCCCACAACCGCACAAGCGCCCGCCAAACUCUUCGAGUGCACAACAACACCAACCCCGACACGACUACCACGCAAGUGACCCGACGAGAACACCUCGACACAAGCAGGGCCGUACCCGAGAAAACAGGGGCCCUGUUCAACAUCCAAAAUUAGGCCCUUAAUAUAACCAUUGGCAAUUAGGAAAACAAAAAUUUAUACUCAACAAGCAAUUCUCAAAACUCAAAAUUAGUACAUUAUUUAGCAUAAACAUGCAUCCUUCUAGCAGUCCUUGAUACAAAAUCUUCGAUUUGUUUUUCAUAUAAGCAAAUCUUCCACAAAAUGCCAUUUGAUUAUUUUGCUAAAAACUUAUCAAAAGCAUAUUUUUUAGAUCGAAUGCUCAGUAUAUGAUGUGUUAGAAAUAGAACAUGUAAAUAAAAGGGAAUUAAGCGAAGUUUGGUUUAAGAGUUCUGGUAGUCUGAAGCAGCAACAAAACCUAAGAAGCAAAGGAGACACGUGAGAAAUAGAUGUUGGAUUGAGGGUGGAGUGUACCUAUACAUUGGGUUUCUUUUGGAGAAACUGUGAAGGAAUUAAGCUAUGAGCGUAGCAAGGGGUUUGCAUGGGUCGCUGGAAGUUAAAGAGAAUAGAAAGGAGGAGAGGCGUGCGUGAGAUGGAGUGCCGGGAUUUAUUACAGUGCAUGUUCCCAAGGAAUACCAGUAGUAGUCAAAAAUGAAUUGGUUGGUCAUUCAUAUUUGCCCAAGGUGUUUAAAAAAAAUAGUGUACAUGAAAAACUCGGGGCCCUGGUCACUUGGGGGCCCUGUGCAGUCGAACAUGCUGCACAUGUGUCCGGUACGGACCUGGACACAAGACAUUGGGCUCCUCCCAAACCACAACUACGACCCAGUCCAAGAGGACGAGUCGAGAGACAGGAUAUCAUCCAUCAAGGAACCACCUACGCCUUGCAUAUGGCACCACUCUUGCCUUUGCCGACCUUCUUUGGUUUGCCCCUUAUUUGGCUUCCCUAUCUGGAGGCAAGCAAUCGACAUGCCCAAACCUCUGUUUAAUUUAUUUAUUUUUUGUCAUGAAGAACAAAUGUUGAACAAAUUAUGAAUUGGCUUUUUGUAGUUUGGUAGAUGCAUCAUGUAUCAAUAUAUUGUCAAAAUAAUAUUCGAAGUUAUUUGGGUUUCUUGUUUGAUGAAGUUAAUACUAUUUGGGUUCUGAUGGACGCUGCUUUGACAUGGGCAGCGAGUGGAUGGAAAUGGGCCGUUGGAUGUUGUUUGGAUGGCAGGGAUGGAUGGUAACCAGACCAGCACACCAGCCAAGUUGAGUUCAUUUGACAAUCCCUGUCCGUCCACCACACCACCGGAGACAGACACGCCGCACCCAACGCCACUCGAAUUCCCCAUCGCCCGCGGCCGCCGCCGCCGCCGCUGCUCCGCCGUCGCGGCGCCAUGCUCCACCUCCGGCAGCGCGUCCUCUCUCAUCUCAUCUCCGCCGCGCCCUCUCCUUCCACCACCCCACUCCUCUCUCUCCACCGCCUCCUCUCCGCCGCCGCUGCCCCCCGCAUUUCGCAAAACCCUAGCUUCGCCGUCGACGACUACCUCGUCGAGACCUGCGGCCUCACCCGUGCCCAGGCACUCAAGGCCUCCGCCAAGCUGUCCCACCUCAAGUCCCCCGCCAACCCCGACGCCGUCCUCGCCUUCCUCGCCGGCCUCGGCCUCUCCGGCGCCGAUGUGGCGGCCCUCGUCGCCAGGGACCCGCGGUUCCUCUGCGCCGGCGUGGAGAUAACCCUGGCCCCCGUGGUCGCUGGGCUCACCGGCCUCGGCCUGUCAAAUGCCGAGACUGCGCGCCUCAUCUCGCUUGCCCCCGACAAAUUCCGCCAGAGAUCCGUCGUCUCCAAGCUGGAGUACUACCUGCCGCUCUUGGGCUCCAUCGACAACUUGCUCCGGCCGCUCAAACACGGCUCCGGCUUCCUCGCCUCCGACCUCGACAGGGAUGUCAAGCCCAAUGUGAAGCUCCUAGCAGAGUGCGGGCUAGGUGCUUGUGAUAUUGCCAAGCUGUUCAUCCAAAUACCGAUGGUCAUCACCUCCAGCCCAGAGCGCGUCCUCGGGAUGGUCGCGUCCGCCGAACGUAUAGGUGUGCCCCGUGGCUCUGGGAUGUUUAGGCAGGCGCUGCAUUCUGUCGCAUAUCUCUGCGAGGAGAAGAUUGCCGCCAAAGUAGAACAGUUGAAGAAGACAUUAAGGUGGUCAGAUGCCGAGGUCCGCAUUGCUGUGCCCAAGUUGCCGGUUUUGCUGAGGAGGUCAAAUGACGUGCUGCAGCGUAUGUCGGAGUUCCUGAUCUGCGAGGUGGGGUUGGAACCGACGUACAUUGCUCAUCGCCCUGCUAUGCUCACUCAUAGCCUGGAGGGCCGGCUCAGGCCCCGGUACCAUGUUAUGAGGUUUCUUAAGGAAAAUGGAUUGCUAAAUCAUGGCAGAGACUACUAUAAUAUGGUGGUGGCCAGCGAGAAGGUAUUUGUGGAGAAGUUCAUAUGCCCUCACGAGCAAGCUGCACCACACAUUGCUGAAGACUAUGCAGCCACUUGCAUAGGGGAGGUGCCUGCUAGAUUCAGAUUUACAUGAACCAAGAACAGGCUAUGAAAAUGGGUAGCUGCGUGUGCAACAACAAAAUUUCGACUCAUCGUAUUAAGCUGGUAAUUCAUGAUUAGGUGUUCUUUUCAUGACUGAAUUUUGGUUUUGUUGUGUCCAAUGCUUGACAUAACUGAUAACUUGAUUUCUGAACCCCAAUAUGUUGAUGAUAACUAAGAGAGUGUGACAUCAGGGCAUUCUGCAAAUGCUUUCAAGUAUUAAUGAAGAGUAUGUCUGCACACUGUAUAUCUUUAUGUUCUCAGUGGCAAUUGCAGCUUUCAGUGCAAUCCUGAAUCAAUUUAUCUUUCCAUGAAAAAGGGUUCUCAAUAUGGCCAUGAAGAUGAUAUUAAGUCCCAAAAUUUGUUUAACUUUUUUUUGCGGGAAUAAUUCUGGAGUUGUUGAUGGGCACAACAUGUUGAUCACCUCUGAGGGUGCAGUUUUGAUAGUCUGUUGGUUGUUUCCUCUAGUUCUUCAACUUAGCUGAAUGUCUUCAUUCUUCAUGCAGUAGCUUUGUUUAUAAAAUAUCAACUGUUGUGAAAGCAGGCCAUUGUUUUCUACUCCCUCCGUUUCUAAAUAUUUGUCUUUGUAGAGAUUUCAACAAGUGACUACAGACGAAGCAAAAUUAGUGAAUCUACACUCUAAAAUAUGUCUAUAUACAUCCGUAUGUGGUAGUCCAUUUGAAAUCUCUAAAAAGACAAAUAUUUAGAAAUGGAGGGAGUAGUACUUUGUAUCGGUUUUGUCCUUUAUUUUUCUCUUAUAUUCUUGGAUGGCUUACUGGCUGAUGAUGCUUUUUUCUGGGAGCAUCUGAUGCCAAAACUGAAUAAUAGUUGGACAACAAUGGGACGGAGGGAGUAAUAGUUAGACAAUGAUAUUCUUAAAUUUGUUAACUCGUUGUUGCGAACAAUUUAAUUGUUUCUGUUGAAUAGUUUUUGUUGGCCAUCCGCACAUAAUAUUCAGACAGGCUCUAUAAGUAUGUAUUUCGUUCUGGUAUCCAUUAGGCAUUAGCUUCAGGAUCACUGCAUGAUGAAUGUAUACUUCCAUAAGUAAUUUUCGUUCAGAGCUAGUGAUAUCUCUGUGCGUUUGUACGUUUGUUAGCUAAUGCCUUUGGUUGAAAUGUUUUUUCAACCAAAAACUGUAUUGGAGGCCCAAAUAGUACUUGAGUCUGUUUUACAGGUAACCAAAGUAUCUACCUGGAAGUUAUAUCCAUGAACCUUGGAGCAAAUUGUAUGAAUGUCCACUGUCAAAUUGAUUUCCCCAUAGCGUUCAUCCAAACUAUGCUGCAUGGUGAUGUGGGUAGGUUGGUGGUUGGUGACAGUUUCCUUGUUUGAUUGUGAUGUUAGCAGGGCCUGUUGAUAGUUGACCGACGCCAAUUCAGUGAAUGUCAGGGAUUCAGUGGAGUUAUUGACCGACACCAACUCUGUUACUGUACAACCUUCUCAUGGUAUGAUGUGCGCUCCGUUGAUAGCUUGUGGUUUCCUCCUAUGUACCAGAUCAGAUUUUGUUGAUAAACCUGAUUUUCCUGAGCUUAUAAUCCUGACUCUGAUUUCUCACCAAAAAAAAAGGUCCUGACUCUGUCAAGCGAAGCAUGUCUUGUUGUAUUUUGGAUCUGCCUCACACUCGCAGUAUUUGAUCUGAAGUUCCACAAAUGUAUACUGUUCGUCUCGUCUGCCGAGCGAGCGGCAACCAGGAGCGAAUUGUGAUCUCUUGAUGAAAUCUGCAAUGUGCAGUUGUUAUGUAGUAGUCCUUGUAUGGGUGGUCCGUGGUCCAUUGAGGACCUCCAUUUAUUUUCAUUUUGUCAUUGUUGUCCUACCCAAUGCCUGUUUUGUAGUAAUAUAAAUAAAAUAUUCAACUUGAAAGAUAUUAUUUUUCAUCAUGAAAAAAUGAAUGAUAUUAUUUUGCUUAACUUUUAGAAAAUAUAAUCAAUCAUGUCCUGUUUACAUGUCAGCAUUGGGCCUGGAAUUGCAAAAUUGAAUUUGUGGUUCCAUUCACAGUCUGUUUGGACGUUUUCAAUUCUGGAUUUUUUUUAUUUCGACGCUAAUUCCAUGUGGUAUUGUGAUAACCUCUAUUCAUUUUGUUUUAUGGUUUUCCCUGUUUUACUUCUACAAUUUUGUUUUCAUAUCCUGAACACUUGCCGUGCCACAUUCUGGAACAGUACUGACUGCAAGGAGGACAUGUACAGUGGUUGCUAAGAGCAUCUCCAACAGCUGCCCUAAGAUAGGGUACUUGAAAAACUGUUUAAGGCACCAAUUUAUGUUUCUUCUUCUCCACAGCAGCCCUAAAAAGGGCACCACUACUCCAACAACUGCCAUGAAAUGGGGCACACAAAACAACCAAACUAACAUGAUCAUUGCAAAUUCGAUCCAAACAUUCAAAGUUUUAAACAUGCAAACUUAACAUAGUUUGGCUACAAAUUUAAACUUAAACUACACAAUUGCUCCUCUUCACUAAGAUUGUCAUGGUCAAUGUCGUCAUCCUUGUUGGGCUGAACCUCGUCACCCGACUCGACCUUGAUCAACCUUGAUGAGGGGCCAACCUUGUCCUCCUUCACCGCUUUCUUCACCACCUUGUGGCGCUACGCCCAGGACUUUACCUCUGCUUGUUGAGGUCCAGAUUUUCUGCAGCGAACCUCGCCAUAGCUGACUCGUCGCUCUCACGUAUGUCGCCUUGCUCUAGGAUGACACAACUUUCCUUUUUGUCAGCAUGGGACACAUUCGGGACCGAUGAACACCUACACCUGCGGGAUUCAAGCCAAUGCUGCUGCUCGUCGCAUGUCAGCUUGGCGACGUAGCGGCUGGAUUGCCGCAGACGAACACAACGGAAGCCGUCUUUCUUUUUCGCUUGGGGCGUGGUGACAUCGUCGGCGACAUGGGUGGCGACCGGUUCACGUGAGGCGGGGGGAGUGGUAGGACGGUAUCCGGUGGAACCGACGACGGAAGUGCGCCAGUGGUGGAUUCGGCUGCAUUUGUUAGCGUUGGAAGCAGGGGGUAAGCGAUUGUGUGCGGCUGCAUGGGGUUGAGGCGGUAGUGGCGAUCGGAGGAAUAGAGGGGGAAGACGAUCUGGCGGCGGGGCGGGCGGCAGCGGCUGUGGUGGCCGUAAGCAACCAGAUUCUGUGGUGGCGGCGUGACCCGGGCGGCAGCGAUCUACCAUGCACUACUCUUCAUCGCUGUCCACGACGCCCACGGACAUGCCGACCUCGUGGUCAUGGCGGCGAGGCGCGGGAUGGCAGAGGCGGAGUUGGCAUGUCUGUGUAGUGGGCACGAGCCUCGUCGAUGGUGAUGCCAGCAUGUGUUGGAAAUAUGCCCUAGAGGCAAUAAUAAAAGUAUUAUUAUUAUAUUUCCUUAUUCAUGAUAAUUGUCUUUUAUUCAUGCUAUAACUGUAUUAUCCAGAAAUCGUAAUACACGUGUGAAUACAUAGACCACAAUAUGUCCCUAGUGAGCCUCUAGUUGACUAGCUCGUUGUGAUCAACAAAUAGUCAUGGUUUCCUGGCUAUGGACAUUGGAUGUCGUUGAUAACGGGAUCACAUCAUUAGGAGAAUGAUGUGAUGGACAAGACCCAAUCCUAAGCAUAGCACAAAGAUCGUGUAGUUCGUUUGCUAGAGCUUUUCUAAUGUCAAGUAUCUUUUCCUUAGACCAUGAGAUUGUGCAACUCCCGGAUACCGUAGGAGUGCUUUGGGUGUACCAAACGUCACAACAUAACUGGGUGGCUAUAAAGGUGCAUUACAGAUAUCUCCGAAAGUAUCUGUUGGGUUGGCACGAAUCGAGACUGGGAUUUGUCACUCCGUGUAAGCGGAGAGGUAUCUCUGGGCCCACUCGGUAGGACAUCAUCAUAUGCGCAAUGUGAUCAAGGAGUUGAUCACGGGAUGAUGUGUUACGGAACGAGUAAAGAGACUUGCUGGUAACGAGAUUGAACAAGGUAUAAGGAUACCGACGAUCGAAUCUCGGGCAAGUACAAUACCGCUAGACAAAGGGAAUUGUAUACGGGAUUGAUUAAGUCCUUGACAUCGUGGUUCAUCCGAUGAGAUCAUCGUGGAACAUGUGGUAGCCAUCAUGGGUAUCCAGAUCCCGUUGUUGGUUAUUGACCGGAGAACGUCUCGGUCAUGUCUGCAUGUCUCCCGAACCCGUAGGGUCUACACACUUAAGGUUCGAUGACGCUAGGGUUAUAAAGGAAGCUUGUAUGUGGUUACCGAAUGUUGUCCGGAGUCCCGGAUGAGAUCCCGGACGUCACGAGGAGUUCCGGAAUGGUCUGGAGGUAAAGAUUUAUAUAUAGGAAGUCCUGUUUCGGCCAUCGGGACAAGUUUCGGGGUCAUCGGUAUUGUACCGGGACCACCGGAAGGGUCCCGGGGGUCCACCGGGUGGGGCCACCUACCCCGGGGGGCCACAUGGGCUGUAGGGGGUGCGCCUUGGCCUACAUGGGCCAAGGGCACCAGCCCCAAGAGGCCCAUGCGCCUGGGGAAACCCUAAAGGAAGAGUCCCAGCAGGGGAAGGCACCUCCUAGGUGCCUUGGGGGGGAGGACUCCUCCCCUGGCCGCCGCCCCCUUGGAGAUUGGAUCUCCUAGGGGCUGGCGCACCCCCCCCCCUUGGGAUCCCUAUAUAUAGUGGGGUAGGAGGGCCUCUCAAACACACCUUUUGCCUUUGGUGCAGCCCCUCCCUCUCUCCCAAGUUCUUCUCCUCUCCCGUGGUGCUUGGCGAAGCCCUGCAGGAUAGCCACGCUCCUCCACCACCACCAUGUCGUUGUGCUGCUGUUGGAUGGAGUCUUCCUCAACCUCUCCCUCUCUCCUUGCUGGAUCAAGGCGUGGGAGACGUCACCGGGCUGUACGUGUGUUGAACGCGGAGGUGUCGUGCGUUCGGCACUUGAUCAUCGGUGAUUUGAAUCACGACGAGUACGACUCCAUCAACCCCGUUCACUUGAACGCUUCCGCUUAGCGAUCUACAAGGGUAUGUAGAUGCACUCUCCUUCUACUCGUUGCUGGUCUCUCCAUAGAUAGAUCUUGGUGACACGUAGGAAAUUUUUUGAAUUUCUGCUACGUUCCCCAACAGUGGCAUCAUGAGCUAGAUCUAUUGCGUAGAUUCUUUGCACGAGUAGAACACAAAGUAGUUGUGGGCGUUGAUUUUGUUCAAUAUGCUUACCGUUACUAGUCCAAUCUUGUUUCGACGAUAUUGUGGGAUGAAGCGGCCCGGACCGACCUUACACGUACUCUUACGUGAGACAGGUUCCACCGAUUGACAUGCACUUGGUGCAUAAGGUGGCUAGCGGGUGCCAGUCUCUCCCACUUUAGUCGGAACGGAUUCGAUGAAAAGGGUCCUUAUGAAGGGUAAAUAGCAAUUGGCAUAUCACGUUGUGGUUUUGCGUAGGUAAGAAACGUUCUUGCUAGAAACCCAUAGCAGCCACGUAAAACAUGCAACAACAAUUAGAGGACGUCUAACUUGUUUUUGCAGGGUAUGCUUUGUGAUGUGAUAUGGCCAAGAAGAAUGUGAUGAAUGAUAUGUGAUGUAUGAGAUUGAUCAUGUUCUUGUAAUAGGAUUCACGACUUGCAUGUCGAUGAGUAUGACAACCGGCAGGAGCCAUAGGAGUUGUCUUUAUUUAUUGUAUGACCUGCGUGUCAUUGAACAACGCCAUGUAAUUACUUUACUUUAUUGCUAACCGGUAGCCAUAGUAGUAGAAGUAAUAAGUUGGCGAGACGACUUCAUGGAGACACGAUGAUAGAGAUCAUGAUGAUGGAGAUCAUGGUGUCAUGCCGGUGACGAUGAUGAUCAUGGAGCCCCGAAGAUGGAGAUCAAAAGGAGCAAAAUGAUAUUGGCCAUAUCAUGUCACUGUUUGAUUGCAUGUGAUGUUUAUCAUGUUUAUGCAUCUUGUUUACUUAGGACGACGGUAGUAAAUAAGAUGAUCCCUUACAAAAUUUCAAGAAGUGUUCUCCCCUAACUGUGCACCGUUGCUGCAGUUCGUCGCUUCUAAGCACCACGUGAUGAUCGGGUGUGAUGGAUUCUUACGUUCACAUACAACGGGUGUAAGACAGAUUUACACAACGAAAACACUUAGGGUUAACUUGACGAGCCUAGCAUGUACAGACAUGGCCUCGUAACACGGAGACCGAAAGGUCGAGCAUGAGUCGUAUAGUAGAUACGAUCAACAUAAAGAUGUUCACCGACGUUGGCUAGUCCGUCUCACGUGAUGAUCGGACACGGCCUAGUUGACUCGGAUCAUGUGAUCACUUAGAUGACCAGAGGGAUGUCUAUCUGAGUGGGAGUUCAUAAGAUGAACUUAAUUAUCUUGAACAUAGUCAAAAGACCUUUUGCAAAUUAUGUCGUAAGCUCGCGUUGUAGUUCCACUGUUUAGAUAUGUUCCUAGAGAAAAUAUAGUUGAAAGUUGACAGUAGCGAUUAUGCGGAUAGUAGAAAGCUUAUGUCCUUAAUGCACCGCUCAGUGUGCUGAACCCCAAACGUCGUUUGUGGAUGUUGCGAACAUCAGACAUACACAUUUUGAUAACUACGUGAUAGUUCAGUUAAAUGGUUUAGAGUUGAGGCACCAAAGACUUUUUCGAAACGUCGCGGAACAUAUGAGAUGUUUCGAGGGCUGAAAUUGGGAUUUCAGGCUCGUGCCCACGUCAAGAGGUAUAAGACCUCCGAAGAUUUUCUUAGCCUGCAAACUAACAGAGAAAAGCUUAAUCGUUGAGCUUGUGCUCAGAUUGUCUGAGUGCAACAAUCACUUGAAUCGAGUGGGAGUUAAUCUUCUAGAUGAGAUAGUGAUGUUUCUCCAAAGUCAUUACCACCAAGCUGCUAGAGCUUCAUGAUGAACUAUAACAUAUCAGGGAUAGAUAUGAUGAUCCUUGAGGUAUUCGCGUCGUUUGACAUCGCGAAAGUAGAAAUCAAGAAGGAGCAUCAAUUGUUGAUGAAACCACUAGUUUCAAGAAGGGCAAGGGCAAGAAGGGAUACUUCAUGAAACGGCAAAUCAGCUGCUGCUCUAGUGAAGAAACCCAAAGUUGAACCCAAACCCGAGACUAAGUGCUCCUAUAAUAAGGGGAACAACCACUGGAGCAGAAUUACCCUAGAUACUUGGUAGAUGAGAAGGCUGGCAAAGUCGAUAGAAGUAUAUUGGAUAUACAUUAUGUUAAUGUGUACUUUACUAGUACUCCUAGUAGCACCAGGGUAUUAGAUACCGGUUCGGUUGCUAAGUGUUAGUAACUCGAAACAAAAGGCUACGGAAUAAACGGAGACUAGCUAAAGGUGAGCUGACGAUAUGUGUUGGAAAUGUUUCCAAGGUUGAUAUGAUCAAGCAUCGCACGCUCCCUCUACCAUCGAGAUUUGGUGUUUGCGUUGAGCAUAGACAUGAUUGGAUUAUGUCUAUCGCAAUACGAUUAUUCAUUUAAGGAGAAUAAUGGUUACUCUGUUUAUUUGAAUAAUACCUUCAAUGGUCCUGCACCUAAAGGAAUGGUUUAUUGAAUCUUGAUCGUAGUGAUACACAUUUUCAUGCCAAAAGAUAUAAGAUAGUAAUGAUAGUACCACUUACUUGUGGCACUGCCAUGUAAGUCAUAAUGGUGUAAAAACGCAUGAAGAAGCUCCAUGUUGAUGGAUCUUUGGACUCACUCGUUUUUGAAAAGUUUGAGACAUGCGAACCAUGUCUAUUGGUGUAUAUGCAUGAAGAAACUCCAUGCAGAUGGAUCGUUUGGACUCACUUGAUUUUGGAUCACUUGAGAUAUGCAAAUUAUACCACAUGGACAAGAUGACUGAAAGCCUUGUUUUUCAGUAAAAUGGAACAAGAUAGCAACUUGUUGGAAGUAACACAUUUUGAUGUGUGCAGUCCAAUGAGUGCUGAGGAAUGCAGUGAAUAUCGUUAUGUUCUUACUUCACAGAUGAUUCGAGUAGAUGUUGAGAAUAUUUACUUGAUGAAACACAAGUCUGAAUUAUUGAAUGGUUCAAGUAAUUUCAGAGUGAAGUAGAAGAUCAUCGUGACAAGAGGAUGAAAUGUCUAUGAUAUGAUCAUAGAGAUAAGUAUCUGAGUUACAAGCUUUGGCACACAAUUAUGACAUUGUGGAAAUUGUUUCACAAUUAAUACCGCCUGGAACACCAUAGUUUGAUGGUGUGUCCGAACAUCAUAACUGCACCCUAUUGGAUAUGAUGCAUACCAUGAUGUCUCUUAUCGAAUUACCACUAUCGUUCAUGGGUUAGGCAUUAGAGACAACCACAUUCACUUUAAAUAGGGCACCACGUAAUUCCGUUGAGAUGACACCGUAUGAAUUAUGGUUUAGAGAAACCUAAGUUGUCAUUUCUUAAAGGUUUGGGGCUGCGAUGUGAAAAAGUUUCAGGAUUGAUAAGCUCGAACCCAAAGCGGAUAAAAUGCAUCUUCAUAGGACACCCAAAACAGUUGGGUAUACCUCCUAAUUCAGAUCCGAAAGCAAUAAGGAUUGUUUCUUGAAUCGGGUCCUUUCUCGAGGAAAAGUUUGUCUCGAAAAGUUGAGUGGGAGGAUGGUGGAGACUUGAUGAGGUUAUUGAACCAUCACUUCAACAAGUGUGUAGCAGGGCACAGGAAGUUGUUCCCGUGGCACCUACACCAAUUGAAGUGGAAGCUUAUGAUAGUGAUCAUGAAGCUUCGGAUCAAGUCACUACCAAACCUCGUGGGAUGACAAGGAUGCGUACUACUUCAGAGUGGUUCGUAAUCCUGUCUUGGAAGUCAUGUUGGUAGACAACAAUGAACCUACGAGCUAUGGAGAAGUGAUGGUGGGCCCAAAUUCCGACAAAUGGUUAGAAGCCAUGAAAUCCGAGAUAGGAUCCAUGUAUCAGAACAAAGCAUGGACUUGGGUGGACUUGCCCGAUGAUCGGCAAGCCAUUCAAAUAAAUGGAUCUUUAAGAAGAAGACGGACGUGGAUGGUAAUGUAACCAUCUAUGGAGCUCGACUUGUGACGAAAAGUUUUUCACAAGUUCAAGGAGUUGACUACGAUGAGAUUUUCUCAUCCGUAGCGAUGCUUGAGUCCGUCGGAUUCAUGUUAGCAUUAGCUGCAUUUAUGAAAUCUGGCAGAUGGAUGACAAAACGAGUUUCCUUACCAGUCUUCGUAUGGAAAGGUUGUUUUUUGUCGAUCCUAAGGAUGCUAAAAUGUAUGCUAGCUCCAGCGAUCCUUCCAUGGACUGGAGUAAGCAUCUCGGAGUUGGAAUGUGCACUUUGAUAAGAUGAUCAAAGAUUUUGGGUUUAUACAAAGUUUAUGAGAAACCUGUAUUUCCAAAGAAGUGAGUGGGAGCACUAUAGAAUUUCUGAUGAGUAUAUGUUGUUGACAUAUUGAUGAUCAGAAAUGAUGUAGAAUUUCUAGAAAGCAUGUAGGGUUAUUUGAAAACUGUUUUUCAGUGGAAAACCUGGAUUAGGCUACUUGAACAAUAAGCAUCAAGAUCUAUAAGAUAGAUCAAAAUGCUUAAUAGUACUUUCAAAUGAGCACGUACCUUGACAUGAUCUUGAAGGUGUUCAAGAUGAAUCAGUCAAAGAAGGAGUUCUUGCCUGAGUUGUAAGGUAUGAAGUUAAGACUUAAAGCUCGACCACGGCAGAAGAAAGAGAAAGGACGAAUGUCGUCCCCUAUGCUUUUAUCAUAGGCUCUCUACAGUAUGCUAUGCUGUGUACCGCACCUGUAGUGUGCCUUGCCAUGAGUCAGUCAAGGGGUACAAGAGUGAUCCAAGAAUGGAUCACAGGACAGCGGUCAAAGUUAUCCUUAGUAACUAGUGGACUAAGGAAUUUUCUCGAUUAUGGAGGUGGUAAAAGAGUUCGCCGUAAAGGGUUACGUCGAUGCAAGCUUAACACCUAUCCGGAUAGCUCUGAGUAGAGAUACCGGAUACGUAUGAUGGAGCAACAAUUUAGAAUAACUCCAAGUAGAACAGUUAUUUGGAAUAGCUCCAAAUAGAGUGUGGUAGCUACAUCUAGGAGAUGACAUAGAGAUUUGUAAAGCACACACGGAUAUGAAAGGUUCAGACCCGUUGACUAUAACCUCUCUCACAAGCAUAACAUGAUCAAACCCAGAACUCAUCGAGUGUUAAUCACAUGGUAAAUGUGAACUAGAUUAUUGACUCUAGUAAACUCUUUGGGUGUAAGUCACAUGGGGAUGUGACCUUGAGUGUUAGUCACAUAUCGAUGUGAACUAGAUUAUUGACUCUAGUGCAAGUGGGAGACUGUUGGAAAUAUGCCCUAGAGGCAAUAAUAAAAGUAUUAUUAUUAUAUUUCCUUGUUCAUGAUAAUUGUCUUUUAUUCAUGCUAUAACUGUAUUAUCCGGAAAUCGUAAUACACGUGUGAAUACAUAGACCACAAUAUGUUCCUAGUGAGCCUCUAGUUGACUAGCUCAUUGUGAUCAACAGAUAGUCAUGGUUUCCUGGCUAUGGACAUUGGAUGUCGUUGAUAACGGGAUCAUAUCAUUAGGAGAAUGAUGUGAUGGACAAGACCCAAUCCUAAGCAUAGCACAAAGAUCGUGUAGUUCGUUUGCUAGAGCUUUUCUAAUGUCAAGUAUCUUUUCCUUAGACCAUGAGAUUGUGCAACUCCCGGAUACCGUAGGAGUGCUUUGGGUGUACCAAACGUCACAACAUAACUGGGUGGCUAUAAAGGUGCAUUACAGAUAUCUCCGAAAGUAUCUGUUGGGUUGGCACGAAUCGAGACUGGGAUUUGUCACUCCGUGUAAGCGGAGAGGUAUCUCUGGGCCCACUCGGUAGGACAUCAUCAUAUGCGCAAUGUGAUCAAGGAGUUGAUCACGGGAUGAUGUGUUACGGAACGAGUAAAGAGACUUGCCGGUAACGAGAUUGAACAAGGUAUAAGGAUACCGACGAUCGAAUCUCGGGCAAGUACAAUACCGCUAGACAAAGGGAAUUGUAUACGGGAUUGAUUAAGUCCUUGACAUCGUGGUUCAUCCGAUGAGAUCAUCGUGAAACAUGUGGGAGCCAUCAUGGGUAUCCAGAUCCCGCUGUUGGUUAUUGACCGGAGAACGUCUCGGUCAUGUCUGCAUGUCUCCCGAACCCGUAGGGUCUACACACUUAAGGUUCGAUGACGCUAGGGUUAUAAAGGAAGCUUGUAUGUGGUUACCGAAUGUUGUUCGGAGUCCCGGAUGAGAUCCCGGACGUCACGAGGAGUUCCGGAAUGGUCCGGAGGUAAAGAUUUAUAUAUAGGAAGUCCUGUUUCGGCCAUCGGGACAAGUUUCGGGGUCAUCGGUAUUGUACCGGGACCACCGGAAGGGUCCCAGGGGUCCACCGGGUGGGGCCACCUACCCCGGGGGGCCACAUGGGCUGUAGGGGGUGCGCCUUGGCCUACAUGGGCCAAGGGCACUAGCCCCAAGAGGCCCAUGCGCCUGGGGAAACCCUAAAGGAAGAGUCCCAGCAGGGGAAGGCACCUCCUAGGUGCCUUGGGGGGGAGGACUCCUCCCCUGGCCGCCGCCCCCUUGGAGAUUGGAUCUCCUAGGGGCUGGCGCACCCCCCCCCUUGGGAUCCCUAUAUAUAGUGGGGUAGGAGGGCCUCUCAAACACACCUUUUGCCUUUGGUGCAGCCCCUCCCUCUCUCCCAAGUUCUUCUCCUCUCCCGUGGUGCUUGGCGAAGCCCUGCAGGAUAGCCACGCUCCUCCACCACCACCACGCCGUUGUGCUGCUGUUGGAUUGAGUCUUCCUCAACCUCUCCCUCUCUCCUUGCUGGAUCAAGGCGUGGGAGACGUCACCGGGCUGUACGUGUGUUGAACGCGGAGGUGCCGUGCGUUCGGCACUUGAUCAUCGGUGAUUUGAAUCACGAUGAGUACGACUCCAUCAACCCCGUUCACUUGAACGCUUCCGCUUAGCGAUCUACAAGGAUAUGUAGAUGCACUCUCCUUCUACUCGUUGCUGGUCUCUCCAUAGAUAGAUCUUGGUGACACGUAGGAAAUUUUUUGAAUUUCUGCUACGUUCCCCAAUAGCAUGCACCGGUGAGGAGGGUAGCGCUGACUCUUCCUCGACUGCGUCCUCCAUUGGGGCAGCGUAGGCCUCCGUCUGCCUGCUGGUCUGCCAGCUGACAAAAAUUGCCGCCAUCUCCCUUUUCUGCUCGGAAGAGAGGUUGCCCAGAGGGCUUUGAAGCGUGAAGAGAAAGGAACCAUAGGAGGAUGACUGCGGCUAUGGCUGGGCCUGGAGUUUAUAUAGCGUGUGGAUGGCAAUGGGUCGUGGCAGUCUGGUUAAUGGUGGGCGACAGAUGGACGGACGGGAGGCGUCGGAGUAGGUUCCUCGGCAACAACAUAUCAUUAAUGUAGGGAGACGGAUCGACAAUGUGUCGUUUAAACAUGGAAUAGUUGCCUGCACCGAGAAGCGCCACGGGCAGCGCUCUCUCGGCCGAUACGUUGCUUCAAUGCCAGCAACAGUGAGUGGUUGUGUCUGCUCUGGCCAGGCAUGAAUGCGACAUUGACGCUCUGGAGCGGCGCUGAAUGUUUUGGGCGGGAAGUGCGCAUGGGUGAGGGAGGCCAUUCUUGUCAUGACUUCCUGCAGGAUGGGCUUUGUAUCAGCGUACUAGGAUCCUAUGUCGGCGUCAUCCAUGGUGGCGACAGCGGCUGCAACAUCUCGAAGUUGUCAAAGAGGCGGCUGGCCAGACUAAGCGAUGGCCUAGCGUCGGGGUCGGCGGUGGUGAUGAGCUUGUCGAAGUGUUGUGGCGACAAUUCACCUCUUGGGGCUAGAACUCCUCCUGGAAGGACCAGAGAGUGGUGUCCAUGGCGUCGCCGAAGCCUAGCGGGAGCGACUCCAUUGCCAUCGGUCGAUCCUUACUUCCUAGCUCCUAGCUCUUUGUCACGCACUACUCUCGCGCUGGUGUAACCUGGUGGGAACGACUUAAAAAGAUGUUGUCAUCUAUCUCGACCUGUUUCCCGAGGCGUUGGAAAUGAAGACCAGCUCAGAGAAUCACUGGCGUGCUUUGUCUCCCCCAUCAUUUCGCCAACAAAGAAGUCAUCCUUGACUUGACUAUUGACCAUUCCAUCCCUACCGAGCCGCCACUUCGAAGUAUUUACCUCUGCCUUUCUUUUUUGAGAACAUACCCUUCAAUCAAAAAGAAAAAACAAGAAAGAAAAGUUCCUCGUCUAUGAUUUAAUCGGCCCUAAGGGAGUUUACUCGACCCAUUGUCCAGUCUCCCGCACUGCUCAAGUGUGCGACUCCGUAUGAGGACCUCCUUCCCUUUUGCUCUGCCCACUCUCCGUUCACACGGUUAUCAAAGCAGAGGAAGAGCGGGCAGCAGGUACCACGAGCCCUCUGUCCCACACAUCUAUCAAGAAGCAAGUGUAGUUCACCGGUUCCACCGAAUGCUCCUAUCUCUCGGCAAAGAUCGUGUGAGUGUGCAGUUAUGCUUCGGAGGCUUCACCAUGGAAUAGAUCGAUUCAGUUCGGGGCCGGGCUUGCGGCGCUGAGCUUGCCGCCGCCGCGGCGACACCGUCCAGAGGAGGUCAGGGGAUCGAAGAAGGUGCCCACCGGCGACGACCGCAUUGCAUGACAAACACAUGCCCGAACCACGCGGUUUGAGGGACGGCGUUGGAUACCCCAACAACUGCCUUUUGAUAAUACCACCACAGAACUCCCACCCUACUUGUCGGUUUUGUGAACAAAAUUAUGAAAGUCAUUGUCAAAAUAACAAAUGCUGAACAAAAUUAUGAACCGGACUUUUGUAGUUUGGUAGAGACGCAUCGUGGAUCAGUACAUUGUCAAAAAAAUCUUGGAAGUCAUUUGGGUUCUAUGGACGCUGCUUGCUUUGGGCAUCGUGCAGAUGGAAAUAAGCCGUGGGAUAUCAUUUGGAUGGCUGUGAUUGGAUGGUAACUUGGCUCAGCCAAGUUCAUCACACGACUCCACUAAAAGAAAAAGACCUCAUCACACGACCGGGGCCACACACGCCGCGCUCAACGCCACUCGAAUCUCCUCACCGCCGCCGCCGCCGCCGCCCCGCCGUCGCGGCGCCAUGCUCCACCUCCGGCAGCGCGCCCUCUCCCAUCUCCUCUCCGCCGCACCAGCUCCUUCCACACCCCCUCUCCUCUCUCUCCACCGCCUCCUCUCCGCGGCCGCGGCCGCCAUCUCCCCGAACCCUAGAUUCGCCGUCGAGGACUACCUCGUCGGCACCUGCGGCCUCACCCGUGCCCAGGCACUCAAGGCCUCCGCCAAGCUCUCCCACCUCAAGUCCCCAUCCAAGCCCGACGCCGUCCUCGCAUUCCUCGCCGGCCUCGGCCUCUCCGGCGCUGAUGUCGCCGCCCUCGUCGCCAAGGACCCGCAGUUCCUCUGCGCCGGCGUGGAGACAACCCUGUCCCCCGUCGUCGUCGGUCUCACGGGGCUCGGUCUAUCCCCUUCUGAUAUCGCGCGCAUCGUCUCGCUCGCCCCGGGACAAUUCCGCCAUAGAUCUGUCGUCUCCAAGCUGGAGUACUACCUGCCGCUCUUGGGCUCCAUCGACAACUUGCUCCGGCCGCUCAAACACGGCUCCGGCUUCCUCGGCUCCCACCUCGAGAGGGUGGUCAAGCCCAAUGUGAAGCUCCUGGCAGAGUGCGGGCUAGGUGCUUGUGAUAUUGCCAAGCUGUUCAUUCAAAUACCGAUGAUCUUCACCGCCAGCCCAGAGCGUGCCCUGGAGAUGGUCGCGACCGCCGAACGUAUAGGUGUGCCCCGUGGCUCUGGGAUGUUUAGGCAGGCACUGCAUGCUGUCGCAUUUCUCAGCGAGGAGAAGAUUACUGCCAAAGUGGAACAGUUGAAGAAGACAUUGAGGUGGUCGGAUGCCGAUGUUGGCAUUGCUGUGUCCAAGUUGCCGACUCUUCUGAGACGGUCAAAGGAAGUGCUGCAGCUCAAGUCCGAGUUCCUCCGCUCUAAGGUGGGCUUGGAACCGGCGUACAUUGCUCAUCGACCCGCUAUGCUCACUUACAACCUGGAGGGCCGGCUCAGGCCCCGGUACUAUGUUAUGAGGUUUCUUAAGGAAAAUGGAUUGUUAAGUCACGGCAGAGACUACUAUGCUAUGGUCUCGAUCAGCGAGAAGGUAUUUGUGGAGAAGUUCAUAUGCCCUCACAAGCAAGCUGCACCACACCUUGCUGAAGACUAUGCAGCUGCUUGCACAGGACAGGUGCCUGCUACAUUCAGAUUUACAUGAACCAGGAAGCAGGAAAAUGGAUUGCCAGAGCGCGAGUGGAACUACUAUUCAGCAGCCUUGGUGACAGAAAAUUUUCAUGGAAAAGUUCGUAUGUCCUCACAAGGAAGCUGCCCCCACCUUGCCGAAGACUGUGCUGCCACUUGUAGGGAAGUGCCUUCUAAUUUCAGAAUUACAUGACCAAGAAUGGGCCAUGAGAACUGCGCAUGGCGCAAAAAUGUUUACACUAUGUGUAGUGAGCUGGUAAUCUCUGUCUGUUCAUUGCCUGAGUGGAUGUUGGUUGUCUGCUAUAGUAUGUCAGGUACAUGCUAAUUUGGCAUCGCUAGUCCUGAAUGAAACUGAUAAUUUUAUUGUUAGUCCUUGUAUGUCAAUCAACCAAUCUUGGUGGCUGGGGCCUUGCUAUACCACACGUGAUUCUCAACGCUCUGUUAGUUGAUGACACUCUGAAGCUUCCUUCAGUAACAAGUACUCCUACUUUUAUGACCUGACGUGUGGGGGGUUUUACUCAGAGAAGCUCCUACUUUUCUCUAUCUGAAUUUUGCUAGUUUGGUAAUCCUUCUCGUAUUGUAUGUCCAUUGCAUCAUUCAGUAGAGAAGAAAGAUACACUGCAAUUAACCUGUCCAUCCUGAUAUCAUAUUGUCAUGCAUACUGAGAACUAAGAGUGUGACAUCAGGGCAUUCUGCAAAUGCUUUCAAAUAUAUUAAUGAAGAGUAUAUCUGCAGGACCUAUAUGUUUAUGUUCUCAAUUGCCAUUGCAGCUUUCAAUGCAAUCCUGAGUCAAACUAUCUUUCAAUGAAAAAAGGUUAUCAUUUUUUGCCAUGAAAGAUGAUAUGAAGUCCCAAAAUUGGUUGAACAUCUUUUUUCGUGGGAACAAAUCUGGAAUUGACGUGUUAGUCACUGCUGAGGUUGCAGUUUUGAACUAGUCUGUUGGUUGCUUCCUCUAGUUCUUCUAAGCUGAAACUCUUCAUUCUUCCUGCAGUAGCUUUGUUUAUAAGACAUUAACUGUUGUGAAAGCAGGUCAUUGUUUACUAGUAGUUUAUAUCAUGUUUUUGUUUAUUUUUCUCUUAUAUUCUUGGAUGGUCUACUGGCUGAUACUUUUUCUAGGAGCAUCUGACGUCAAAACUGAAUACUUCAGUAGUUGGCCAGUAGCAUUUUGUUGACAGCCUACCCAUGUAGCACUACGUAACAGAUAUUUCAAAGGCCCUUGUAUUUGUACCGGAGACACAAAUUGAUGCUUGUAUGGUAUGGUGCCGAAAGCAAAGGGCAUUUCAUACAAUAUGAAGGAACUUAUGUUAAGGUAAUCUUAAAAAGGGUCAUGUUAUUACCUGAGCCAAGAGAUGGUCCCAGAGAUGCUAUCUUAACCAAGCUUGGUCUUAACAUUUAAGGUAAUGCAGUAUUUUUUCUCAGUUAUACCCAAUGUCAUCUCUUCGUACACUCUUUUCAGUUAAAUCUCAGUCUAGGCAUGCAAGUACUAUCUGUCAGAUAUAGCGUAGUUAUAGAAUCUUGCAGAAUUUCAAACACAGAAAUUGUAGACUUACUGGUGGUCCUCAAAUUAAGAAUGAAGUCAUGUGAAGAAAGGAUGGUGCACAUAUGUUUAUUCCUGAUAUUAGGCUGUAGAAAUUGGAAGAAAUGAGAUCUCAGCUGUGUGCUUGCAGUAACACAAAGGAGAUGGGCACAUGCUAUUCUUGGCGAAGAGCUCUUAUUUGAAAUGAAGAUCAGUUGUGUGUCUCUUCUCUAGUGCCUAGUUUAGCCUGCGGGAAUUAUAGAAAUGAGAUUAAUGCAAUGAAGGUGAGGGGAAGGGGUCUAUUAAGGAACGAGGUGACUUGCUAGGUGAACUUGAAUUUGAAAAAAAAGUACUUUCAGCAAGUAAGAAUUAGCUGGGCAAUAAAGAGGAGCAUACUGACUGAAUUACUGAAUGUUCUAGAUGAUGGUGCUUUCUUUCUUCCUGGAGAAGAUGCGAUGAAAGUGGAUAUAGACUCACUUCUUUCUUGUUUCCAGGAGAUCAACCAAGCAUGUUGGCUGGGGCUUUGCUAUACCACACGUGAUUCUGAAGGCUCUGUUAGUUGAUGAUGCCCUGCUGCUUCCUUCAGUAACAAGUACUCCCUCCGUCCGGAAAUACUUGUCAUCAAAAUGGAUAAAAGGAGAUGUAUCUAGACGUAUUUUAGUUUUAGAUACGUUCCUUUUUAUCCAUUUUGAUGACAAGUAUUUUCGGACGGAGGGAGUAUUUAUAACCUGACGCAUGCGGGAGUUUUAUUUAGAUAAGCUCCUAAUUUUCUCCUUCUGAAUUUUGCAAGUUAUGCAAUCCUUCUCGUAUGGUCCUAGACUCUUUGUAACCUAUAGGCUAUAUGUAGGUUACCCUAGGUGCAUGCACUGUUCCACUGUCAAAGGCAAUUAAACAACCCAAUGUGCUCAUGCUAUUGUUGUCCUUUGGAGUCAUCAGCAAAUGUUCAGACUUCAGACUAAACUUGAUACAUCUAUAAUUCUACUCGAAAAGAUGAAUAAUUUACUCAUUCCAUUCAAGGAAUUGCAAAUCCAAAAAAUGCAGUGAGUUUUUGUUUGGUGAACCAUGCAGUGAGUUGACACACUAUUAUGUUAGUUAUGGCCAAAAUCAGGGGCGUGCCCAGCAAAUGGAGUUUAAUAUGCCCACCAUAUUAAGUCAAAUACAGAACAGUGAACAUUUGGGGAUUUUUUCAGAGGCUAAAUGGUAUUAGUUAUAUUACAAGUAUCAAUACUGAACCUGAUACUUGCAUGGUAAAUUACUUCCAGUCUUGUUUUAAGCAUCCUCUGGAAUGGAGACUCGUGCUCUGAACUUUUGUUUUGUACGCUGGGAAAUUUCUGGUGUUAAGGGUCUUCAUUCUUACUUUACCUCUAGGAGCAGUGUUGCGGAAUCGGGUACCGAAAUCUGUGUGCAGAAAAGCUGCUGUUCGAUGCCGGUGGGAGCUAUGCAACCUGUGAAUUAUGUCUUGCCAUCUUCAUUCGUACAAUUAUGCGAUGAACCAGAAUUGGAGGACAGGAUUGCACUCACGAGCAGGUACAAACUUACAGCAUUAUAAUAGCUGUUUCUGUUUUACUAGAUUAUAUAAUCAUGUUCUGCAUUGUAGCUGAGGUUUAUUUGUCCUUCGUUAAUCAUUAACCAACUUGUUUUGCUUAUGUUUUUUAGGGUGGUUAUGGAAUGAAUCUAGCCCCCUUUUUUCGCAAGUAGAAUGAAUCUACCCCCUGUGAAACUGGUUGGAAAGAUAUUUAUUGUGCUUGAUAGAUCUAUAUGUCCUGCCAUGGGUACACCGCCUGUGCCACUUCCACGGGUCUCACUGUCUCAGUUAGUGUCAGGGAGAUGAUCGGGGGUCUAUUCAGCACCUGGAGGCUGCAAAAUUUGCAAAUAGCCAAUUGCUAAUGAAAUGGCAGAGAAACAUCAUCACUAAUUCCAUCCUUCAGUGCAUUUUACAAGUGAAAUGGCAGAAAUAUAUAGUGGUGUCACUUCGAUUGCACGCAACCGAAAGUGUUUCUGAACCAGAAUUUGGGAAGAACCCCGAAACAUGUUCAUGUCUUUUGUAGACGAGAUGUAGCAGUUUCUUAUUAGAUGAUGUUUUCCGUGGAGUAUAUUGAUAAUUCCAGGGUGCGUGAUCCGAUAAGCUUCCCAACCAGUCCGCCGAGCGAGCGGAGAUUCUCACCAAGAGAGAGACAGAAAUAGACCAGAAAGCGGUGUCCAUCAGACCUUGAUUGCUGCUGCUGCUCAAGGUGUGAACUAAUAGCAGAUAUAGGUUACUUGAACAAAAUACUAGCUACCUGGAGGUGUGCUUGUAUUAUAUAUGCACGCGCUCCAUGUGAGCUAGCUAAGCUGAACAUGAUAUCUUUAUUGUGUUCUCUACCUAAAAUAAGCUUAUCGUUUACCCCCAAAACCAUGUUAGUUGAUGGAGCAAGCUAAGCUGGACAGGCUGGAUGGUUAAUCAAUAUCUAAUCGUGUUCUCUGCAUAAAAUAAACCUAUCGUUUACCUCCCAAACCAUGCCAUCAAUUGGAACUGCCUCUUUUAAUUCCUCGUGGCUCACAGCCUGACGAGGUUUGCACCAUGAUAGAUUCCUCCCACUUCUUGCAGGUCAGAUCAAUCUCUUAAAUGCAUCGAAUCAGAUGAUUUCCUCUCUUUUCUUUUGGUUCUUCUUGCUUUUCUUCUUCAUCGUAUUUUGUUUGUAUCAACUAUGCACAUAUAUUUUUUCUUUUCUUUUGUAAGCUAGCUAAUACUACCUCCGUCCCAAAAUAAGUGUCUCAACUUUAUACUAAAUUGUACUAAGGUUAAGACACUUAUUUUGAGAUGGAGGGAGUACCAUCGGAUUGAUCUGGUGGAUCGACUCUUUAGGGGCCAGGAAUUAUGGCGGGCCACAGGCAAUAUCUUCAUGAUGACAGCGAUUGGAGUGAGAUCAGUACUAUCAACAGUUAUGCCGUGUUCAUGGGUUACAUCAAGGGCUUGGGUUUCCUGGUGCUUACUUGGACCACCUUCAUACUUCUCGGUGGUUGUCUCUGUGCUACUCGGUGUCUGACAUUCAUCACCCUUGUAUCUUACUAUGCUUCUUCUUUUAACUCAACUCAUUUUUUUGGUUUCUGUGUACGUACGGAGCUUAUUCGUACAAUCAGUUAUUAUUAGAUUUCCCGGGUGGGUUUUUAUAGGUUUAAAAAGCUUUAUAUCUGUGCUUAUAUGAAACAAGAGUUUUACGUCCUUAUCAUUCAUUUCCAGCUGUAUGUGCUAUCCGAUGUCUUGGGUAAUCUUCUUGGCAUGCAAGUCAUUGUAGCAUAUGGUUCAUAUUAGAGAGAACUCCGUAUUUCAACCCUAAAUUGUCACGUAUGUCCAAUAAUUUACCCUAAACUUUGAAAUGCCCUCUCCUCAAACCGUUUUGGUGAGUUGAAGUGGUUUUGACCAGUUGACCACCCAGUCAGCCGCCUAGUCAGCUUCCACGCCACUCAAUAUUUUUGUUGAAUAUGUAUUUUAUUGCAUGUUUAAUCUGUUUGGUAGAAAAGUUUGAAACUUUCCCAGAUUGAUCACCAUGGUAGUGUUGAUUUUACAAAAACAAAUUAUUAUUUUUGGACACUUUCAUCUUUGUCAAAUUUUGACAAAAAAGGGGGCUAUAUGUAUUUUUCUGUAUGUUUUAAUCUCUCUGGCAAAAACGUUUGAAGCUUUCCCAGAAUGAUCACCAUGUUAGUAUUUAUUUUACAGAAAUUUUUCAAUUUUUUCCUUAUUUUUGGGGGUCAAAAUUUGACAAAAAGGGGCUGAAUAUGUAUUGUUUUGUAUUUUUGAAACCAUUUUGCGAGACGGUUUGAAACUUUCCCAAAAUGAUCACCACGGCAGUGUUGAUUUUACNNNNNNNNNNNNNNNNNNNNNNNNNNNNNNNNNNNNNNNNNNNNNNNNNNNNNNNNNNNNNNNNNNNNNNNNNNNNNNNNNNNNNNNNNNNNNNNNNNNNNNNNNNNNNNNNNNNNNNNNNNNNNNNNNNNNNNNNNNNNNNNNNNNNNNNNNNNNNNNNNNNNNNNNNNNNNNNNNNNNNNNNNNNNNNNNNNNNNNNNNNNNNNNNNNNNNNNNNNNNNNNNNNNNNNNNNNNNNNNNNNNNNNNNNNNNNNNNNNNNNNNNNNNNNNNNNNNNNNNNNNNNNNNNNNNNNNNNNNNNNNNNNNNNNNNNNNNNNNNNNNNNNNNNNNNNNNNNNNNNNNNNNNNNNNNNNNNNNNNNNNNNNNNNNNNNNNNNNNNNNNNNNNNNNNNNNNNNNNNNNNNNNNNNNNNNNNNNNNNNNNNNNNNNNNNNNNNNNNNNNNNNNNNNNNNNNNNNNNNNNNNNNNNNNNNNNNNNNNNNNNNNNNNNNNNNNNNNNNNNNNNNNNNNNNNNNNNNNNNNNNNNAUAUGUAUUUUAAUUGGUUUGGCAAAAAUGUUUGAAACUUUUCCAAAACGAUCACCAUGGUAGGUAUGAUUUUAUAUAACUUAUUCAAAGAAAGUUUGAGGAAAAAAAAUACAGUUACCCCAUGGGAAUCAGCGCCACUUUCAUUUUUUUUUUCAAUACUGGGUGACGUGGCAGUUGACUGGGCGGUCAACUGGUCAGAACCACUCCAAUUCAUCAAAACUGGUUUGAGGAAGAGGGCAGAGUUGAAACUACCGGUUUUGCAUGUUUACGGUUCGUAACUUAUACGGUUUCAAAGUUAAGGGUUGAUUCUUAGACUGGUGGGUUCCAACCCGGAGGGAUCAUAAAUGUGCCAAUAGGGUCAUAACCAAAGAAGUCUAAGUAAUUCUGGAUGUCCAUGUUGCGAGGUCCAUGGGAUGGUCCGGGGAUGUCCAUGUUGUGGCCUAAUUGAAUUUCCAUGUCGUCCCAUGUGGGAUUAGUACUUUCCUGCGGGCGAAAAUGAUUUGUAAAUAAUAGCCAUGGAAAUGUUGCAUGCGAUUAAUUACCUACUCCCUCUGUCCCAAAAUAAGUGUCUCAACUUUGUACUAGCUCUAGUACAAAUUUGUAAGCUCGAGACACUUAUUUUCAGACGGAGGGCGUAUUAUAUAAUACAGUAACAUACUUGAGUGGUGUUGUAGUAUUGUGAUUCUGUCAUUGAUGCGAUUAUUUACCUAUUAGUACUAUAUAAUAACAUACUGGUGCUGUAGUAUUGUGAUCCUGUCAUUGACUGUCGGAGUAUUGUCCUCUGUACUCGCCCAUCACUGGAGGACCCAAGGCAAGCUGUUACAAAAAUGAACUGUUACAUGAUAAUAUAUGUUAUCAUCAUAAAUGUACAAGAAAUGCCGAUAGGAUGAUAUAUGUUUCUGUAAAAUCAACACUACCAUGGUAGAUCCCUUGCCUUGAGUGUAUGAGCAUUGUCCGGCGUACAGGAUGAUCUUGGGUAAACGAUCUCCUCAGGCGUUGAGAUCCCUAGUGUGGAGAGAUAGGACUGAGAUCCAUCGCCUUGAGUGUAUGAGCAUUGUCCUGCAUACGGGAUGAUCUCCGGUAAAUGAGUCUCCUCAGGCAUCGAACCCAAGCCAAACACCAUGCCAUGGCCCUGAGAUGUAUGCCCUUGACUGAGCGCCCCUGAAUAAGGCCUACAUAGUACUCCCUCCGUUCCAAAAUACUUGUCGCAGAAAUAGAUGUAUCUAGAACUAAAAAAUGUCUAGAUACAUCCAUUUCUACGACAAGUAAUUCGGAGCGGAGGGAGUAGUAGAGAUUAGUCAUGUUGUAGCAACGGCGUUGUCGUACUCGGACCCUCCCGUCGUGUCCUAGUUGGCUCAUACGCGCCUCACUCAGUCUGGACGGCCGAGCCACACUCAGUCUGGCUGACCGCGCUUCUGGCAUAUCGUAUGCUCCAGUGUCGUCCCGACCACAAACCCAUUUUUUAAUACCAUUGUUGCUGAUGUCCAAAAGGCACUUCAGGUGUGACUUUCCCUUUUGUAGCAUGCCUUGCACCCGCAAGGCGAACUCCGCCACCUCCCCUAUUUGGUUAAACUGAUCACCCUAAAUGAAAUAUGGUUGUUAUGACACUGAAUUUCAGCUACGUGAAACAACAACAGAAAUGUUUGUACCGUGUAGUCACGAAGGUAAGUUGUUGACCGGUCAAUCUUUCCAUGUAACUGCUCCCCGCGUCUGAGAUGUGCUAGCCUCGGAGCUAGAGAACAUGUUAGCAGAAUAUGCGUGUUGUUGCGGUACCACUGCUUGUACACAUCAGUUCUUGUGUCAUCGUGUGGUCUUCAUAAGGAAAUAAUUUUAUCAGCAGGUUUGUGUACAUAAAACAACAGAAAUAUAAAAUUAACUAGCUUGAUGUACUAUAUUUAUUGCGCUUCACUGUUCAACAUGUAUGCCGGACACAACUUCGGUGCCUUAAACCUACCUUUGGGUCACUGACGUGUGGGCCAGUCACCUGUUGGGCCCACAUGUCAUAGACACAAAGGUAGGUGCCUUAAGGCACCAAAGCAUCGUCCAUGUAUGCCCAUUGACUGGGGAAAGUAUCCAGUGCUCCUAGCCUUGGGGUACUCCCAGUGCUCCAAUGUCAAAAAGCAUUUUUAAAAGUUUCAAAAAAUUCUGGAAAAAAACAAGAAUGUUCACAAGGAAUGUCACUACAUCCUCUAAAAAUUUUAGGUCCAAAAUCGAAAUGUACAUUGAGAACCAAAAAAGAGAAAUACAAAUAUGAAUAGUGUCAAUGUUGCUUUUGUCUCUUCUUUACACUAUUCAUGCUAGAUUUCACAUUUUUGUUUCUCAAUGUAUGAUUUGAGUUUGGACCUGAAAUUUUUAGGGCUUGUAGUCAUAUUCAUUGUGUACAUUCACAAUUUUCUCAGAAUUUUUGAAGCAUUAAAAAAAUGUUUAUUGACAUUGGAGUACCGGUAGUACCCCAAGGCUGGGAGCACCGAAUAUUCCCCCAUUGACUGUUGUGUGCAUUCUAGGUCGAAACCACCCCUACCUUUAUUUUCCAGCUUGAAAUCCAUGUACCAAAGUAUGAAGUUUUAGUUAAAAAAGAUGUUAAUGAUUAGAAAACACUAGAGAAAUUAUUUAGGGUGGUCGGAGCUUACUUAUGAAUUUCGUCGUCGACACAUUUCGGUAAGGAUGGUGUGAUAUCCUGAUAGAGGUUGAACUGCUUCAUGAUAUGCUUCGCAUUAUAGAGCUCAACAAACCACAUGUACAAUAAGUCACAGUGAGUGAGCCUAAAGCCGCUAUCUCUCACGCAGUGGUGUUGGUGCAUUAUUGUGAAUUGAAGACCAUAUUAAUUUUAUUCUAAGUUCAUGGGUUCCAUGUGAUUAGUAACUCAUUCAAAACUUCAAACUAGUGGUGGUAUUCGGGGUAACAACCGUGCACGGUGCACCACAUCUGUAGGCCAUUUGUUUUGGGACAUGUGUCCACCGGCUUGCCAUAGUUAAAGGGCUUUAUCCCAUCUUAUCACAGUUGUACGAGCGUGUGGGCUAUAAUAUUUGGGGUCGUCCAACGGAGAGGUGUUCCCAAGACUCUUCCCAAGAUCACAACUGGAGAAACUCAUAGGAAACACAAAGUAACAUAGCUUUCUUACCACCUAUUUUUCAGGUGGCAUCACCCCCCCCCAUAGGUACGUAUGACAGAGCAUAGCAGAGCCGAAGUUGUUUUGGGGGUUCUCAGGUAAAGUUUUUUCUAGUAAUCUUAUAUUCUUAAUGAGGCCGGGGAUAACUAUGUCACCGUGUGAUGAAGGGAAAAUCAUACCGAACAGGAGCAACAAAUACAUAAACAGAUGCCUCUUCAACUUCUCAUGAUCUGGGUGUGCUGGUACGUUUUUUAAAUGAGUCACGAGGCAAAUUGAAUGGGACAUCCCGUGCCCCUCCAGAACAAUUUGAUUCAAGCAUUGUUACCCCAAGAUGGAGUAAGACAUCGUGCCGCCAAGAUGCUGAGCAUGUUGGAGGGACCAACGGCUCACCACUAAUUGACAGACCCGUGAUCAUGGACACAUCUUUCAAGGUAGGCACAAGCUCCCCCCAACGAAAGUGAAAGGCGUGGUUCUCAGGUCUCCACCGGUCAACGAGGGCGGCCAAAAGAGACGGGUCUAACAUGAAUAGGUGAUCAUUAGAUGCAUGCUUAGCAAAAGAAAGUAAUCCACGAGCCUGAAGGUGUGGAACGAAACAAGGCUUGAUAUCCAUUCGUUCUUUAUGGUUCGAAUCUUGAAGGUCCGAGGAGGAUUUUUUCAUGAUGAUUGAACCAAACGUGGCAACGGUGGCGGCAUCGUGCUGCCCUAGCAAAAGGUCUGGCACUUCGGUCAUAACCCGUACACACAUAGUCAUUAGAAACAAAAUUUAACCUCACCAGUAGAAAUAAAACUUAACACCACUUAUACAAAUAAAAGUUAACAUCGUGAGUUCAAAUAAAAUUAAACAUGCGAAGUAGAAAUAGACCUAAACAUCCCGAGUUCAAAUAAAACUUAACAUCUCGACUACAAAUAAACCUAAGUAUCAUAAGUACAAAUAAAAGUUAACCUCAUGAGUAUAAAUAAAAUUAUAUCAUGCGGGGUUGUUGCUUCGGUAUGGGCAUUCCCACCGUAGGUGCUCUGCCAAUGCGACACCACCUUGGUUCUUCUGAUGCUUACUGUCUAUGGUCCAUGUUGUUGCGAUGACUCCAAGACGAACAUCGUCCCUUGGCGGUUCACAUCGACGUCUGGUCCAGAACCCAUUUGUUUAUUCCUUACCACAAUUCUCUAUAGUGUUGAUCAAUGCCUCAGGCCCAGAACUCAGCGGUUUAGGUGUUAAAACAGAUUGUAAGUAUUGAAGUAAAGAGAGAUGUAUGGUUCGAUGUUGAUGUUCUAAUCUGCAGCCGCCUAGAGGGCAUGACUACACGAGUAGCCCAAAAGCUUGGGCUUGUUGCAAGUGCACUCACACAUUGUUUGGCCGAGGGUGACAGAUUGCUUUUUUGAUCCUCUGUGGUGACGUUUCACAAACUUGGCUCGCACGUUGACUUGCCACUUAUUCCUAAGUGCGCCCAUUUGACUACAACUAUGGCUUUGAGAUUCUUUGAAUUCUCGUCCAGAUAUCUUUGCAUCUUUUCAGACCAUGGCUUGUUCAUUGCAACCUGUGCCUUGGCAACCUGGAUUGUCUGCAAAGUACCGGUUACAAGUUUCGUUGAUCAUCGUUGUGAUAGGGAGAGCUCCCACACCUUUAAGAACGCCAUUGUACACCUCUGACAUGUUGCUGGUCACUAUACCGUAGCAAGCCCCAGCGUCGUGAGCCUGCACCCAUUUGUAUAAUUGAGGGCAAUUCUCAACGAUCCGUCAGAUUUAUGGUCGUCCUACGACCCCUCUUGUCUUCUCUCUCCGGCAAGGCCGCGUGCUCUCUCUGUCCAUUGAUUCCUGACCAGGCCACAUUCAUUUUGGCUGCACAUCCUCUUGAAUAGCUUGAACUAAACAUUGUUUUUUCCUAUAUUUUUUUGUCUUCUUCUCUAAAGUCAUGUCAGCCGAGCUCCUUGAGUAUUGUCUUCCUAUACUUUAAUUCUCUGAACUCAUACCUGGAACAAUGUUUUCCUGUCAGGUAAGUAUGGAAGGGUUGAGAAGGAAUCAUUCAGACAAUAGAGAAACCGUAUGCACUUGCAAUGGUGUUCUGUUUCCCUUGUCAGGUAAAUUUCAGAGACAUUUUGCAAGACAUAACUGGAGAAAAGUGUUCUCUCACUUCACAAGAACACUCAGUAUAGGUGACUAAAUUCGCUAAACAUCUUGUCUUGACCAAUUUAUACUGUGCAGUGCAAUAUUAGUAUGUACAUUAAUGUGUUUUCCAUUGAGGAUCUCCAACACCAACGAAACAACUAGCUCAAGGAUCUUUCAAAAGAAUUCAUCAUUAAGCCAGGCAACCACAGCUUGUGCGUAUAGUAAGGAUAACUUCUAAGACCGCCAUACCAGAAUUUUUAUAACAGUUUGCAGAUAUACUUGUAUGUAUACUAAAAAAUAAUAAUAUGAUAGCACACACAUAGUAAAUCUGGAAUCUAGCUUUACAUGUUUAGUUUGUACAUAAUACAUUGAAAAGCUAGUGUCGCAAGCACACAUAGACUGGAAUAUUUGGAGAUAUCUACUACUCUCUCCAUCCGGAAUUAAUUGAGGCUCAAACGGAUGUAUCUAGGAAGUACAGUACUAUAUUGGAAAUUUGGAACAGCGAUAUUGAUUAUUAGAAUUACUGACUUCCAGGUUGUGGCCCUCGCAGAAGCAUGCUUUCUCUCUUCAGUUUUUCUGCCCUGACAGUCUCUAACUUGCGCCUAUCGAUACUCUUCUCUCCAGGUUCUUUUGGAGGCCUGCCUCUUUUUUUAGGUUGAAUAUCACCUGAUGUACUUCCUUGUUUUGAAAGCUCACCUGAUGUACUUCUAUCUUUUCGAGGCCUGCCCCUUUUCUUAGGUUGAUCGCUAGGUUUCAGACAUACUAGAGCAUUUUCUCCUGCUGAUGCUGACGCCUGAAGCAACCCUGGGAGUGGUAGGUUGUUUGACUGUUGGCCAUUUUCCGCUCUGACCACCAUCUG
rnacentral:lncRNA from 1 species